GAAAUUUCUUCCUCUUCUGGUAGCCGUCGAGAACUCUUUGCUGCUGAGAUGCACCUGAAGAACGUACUUAAACAAGUAAAACACCUUAUAAUUUGAUAUUUAGGACACUUACAGUUGGUUUAAAGAUUGCAUUUUCCGUUUCUGUUUUUGACUGGUUCAGGGUAAAACUUUUUCCCACUGUGUUAGAGUGCAUUUCUGUUAUUAUAUAGUUUCUUAGAAGAGAAUGCGCUUUUUGGAAUCUCAGGCUGAAGGAUUUGCUGACAUGGAAGAGUUCAGGGAUCUUCAAGCUUGCCUUGAUGAAGUGAAGACGAAACUCCAAUCUGGUCCCGUGGCUACCUAAGUAUCAGGAACGUGCUAUUUUUGAAUAUCAGGAAUGUGCUAUUAUUUUAGUUCGUACUGUAGUUGAGACCUUAACCAUGACUGAAUAUCUUGUAUUGCUGUACCACCUUUUCUGUAACAAAACAGUCUAGUUUUAGUAUUUUUAUUAUUUUUGUAUUUUCAGUGCUGUAACUAAUCUCAUUUGACAAUGUAAAUAUAUGGCUUCAAGUUAUUUAAAUGUAAAAUCAAGUGUUGUUUUCAACCUCUGUUCUUUUAUGUAUAGCUUACAUGCCGUGAUUUCAUUAACCUCAAUUUAAGGACAAUUUCAUAUCUUUUUUCUUUCUGCUUUUCUUUUAUCAUUUAAGAACAAAUAUGAAUAUAUUUCAGACAGCAUUUAAACAAAGCAACCGAACGUCGCUGGUUUCUAUUAUUACAUUGACAGCAAUAAAACAAAGAAGCAACUGAAAGUUAUCUUCAUAUGAGAAUGAAAGCUUUUCAGCAGCAUAACACUAUUCAUUUCCAAACGAGUUCCUCAACAUGAGAACAAAUUCGUAGACCUUUUCUGGGUCUGGAAGGAUCCUGGCAACAGUUUCCCUUUGCAUGCACUUGUUCAUCCAAGCGGAGAAUUUGGGGCACUCAUUCGCAUCCUUAAAUCACCCAAAUUUCUCAACCGCGUAAAACCAACAAAUUUCUCAACCCCCAAAUUUGGGACAUCAACGAAUCCAAAGCUAUCCCCGCCAAAGAAAUCCUUCUCCCCUAAAGCUCCCUCUAGUUGCUUCAAUAUCUCUAUAAAUUCAUUCUUUGCCGUCUCCUGUGUUUUAAAAAAUCUAUUGUAAUGGAUCUAUUGUAAAUUUAUCUAACUGCUUGUUAUAAUGCUUCUAUUGCGGUGUUAUUCGAGUUGUCAUUUUCAGUUUUAUUUUAUUUGUUCUUUAAACAUAGUUAAUUUGAAAUGUUCUUUAAUAUCCAUUACACUUGAGAUCAUCAAAUAAGUGAUUCUUGAAUAUAAUUGCUGUUGUUACUCGAAUAAGAAAAGAAAACAAAAAAUAGCUAAGGUAAAAGUAAAUGGAAAUGAGAGCAACGUGAUUUUGCAAAGAGAACUUCACACUAUCAUAAAACCGAAAACAUUACAAUUUAAAGCUUUAAUAACAACACAUCAAAGUCAAAUAACGACCCACUAGAAUCAUGGUCCAAAGAUUGUGCCAUGAUCACAACAUGAACUACAAAAAAAUAACCAACACCAGAAAAGUAGGAACAGUUUGAAACUUUCAACUAAGCAGCAUUUAUGAUUCCACAUCAGCAGCCCUAAACACAUCUUCUAACAAUCGCAACUGCUCAUUUUUGCUUCUGCCAAUAAAGAGUUGAUUGUAACCAAAGAUUGUUGUCUUUAUUGUCAUUUGAGAGUAACAAAUUACUUACGCAGUCACGUAAGUUGUUGGUUGGCCUCGCACAUUUUUGAGAAGUUUGUUUCUGAAGGAAACCAGCUGAGCCGCAACCUCUUCCAUGCUCAUUCGUUCUCUCGGCAACUCUGAAGAGCAAAUGGCUCCGAUUCCCAGUACGGAAACCAAGCACUCUUUACCACUAAAACUUCUGGUCCAUUGUUUGUGAGCAUUGGCGUUGCUUUUCUCCCCUUCUUCUCUUUCUACAAGAAGCACUGGAUCAACAAUUUCAGCGAGUCUUUCAGGAAGAGCUUCCUUGACAAAAUUAUGUAGGGUUAGAUUGCCUGUAAACAUUUCAUUCGUCGGCCUCUUUCCUGUAAACAUUUCCAGCAAGAGUAUUCCAAAACUGUACACAUCUCCACUUGUUGAGACUUCGCUCCCCAUUCCGUACUCUGCAAUUCGAAAACUAAAAUUGUUGGUUCAACUAGUAAAAUCUCAAAGGAUUGAAAGACAAGUUAAUUAAAUAAUAGUAAUUACCUGGAGCAGCAUAACCAACGGUUCCUUUUACUCCAACAGAGCUUGAUUGAUUAGAUGACAAGUUAUUGGUGGCUUCCGGAAGGAAUUUUGCUAAUCCAAAAUCACCUACAUGGGCAGUCAAUUCACUAUCCAGAAGAACAUUGCUUGGCUUGAGAUCACAAUGGACUAUUGGAGUUUCGCAAUAAUGAUGAAGAUAAUCCAAUGCAGAAGCAACAUCAACGGCAAUACUCAGUCUUUGCAGGAGAUUUAGAUUCUUAAGUGCCUCACGGUUUGGAUGCAACCAUUCCUCCAGGCUUCCGUUAACCAUGAACUCAUAAACUAAAGCCUCGAAAUCAUUUCCUUGGAAGUCAACACUUGCACAGGAAGUUAUUAUUUUGACGAGAUUCCGAUGCCUAAUAUUUCUCAAGGCCUGACACUCCGCUAUGAAACUCUUUGAAGCUCCUCGAUGUUGAAGAUUAAGCACCUUAACUGCCACCAGCGUUUCAUGAUCAUCAUGAUUGAGGACUCCUUUAUAGACCGAACCAAAGCUACCGGCACCAAUCAAGUUUUCCAAAGAGAACCCGUCAGUUGCUUUGAACAGAUUCUCAUAGGACACUCGUAAAACCGAAGCCAAGAGAGCUGAUGGAGGAGUGGCCGGCUUCCUUUUUGAUUUGCCCCGCCAGGAAGUAAUUAUCAAACACGACAUCCCUGUUACUAACAAAAUUCCUGUAACAACAGGAAUAAUCAGUUUCAGGAAACGGGAACGUGAUUGCAUUGAUUCUUUGAUGGAACAAGUAGAUAAAUGCAACUCAGAUAUGCCACCACAGAGGUUAUCAUUUCCGUCAAGAGAUAUAGCACUCGAAUUGCUGAAGACUCCUUUUAUUGGUACUUCACCCUCAAAAUGAUUAAAAGACAGAUUUAAAUUCUGCAAAAAGGGAAAGUUUUCCAGAUAUUUUGGAAUUCGGCCAGACAAAUUGUUCCUCGAAAGAUCAAGAUUCUCAAUGCCUCUCAAAGAACUGAAUGAUGAAGGGAUAUUCCCUUGAAAGAAAUUACCAUUCAUGAUGAGUUGUACCAACAUAAUGCAACUUCCUAUACUGCUUGGAAUUUCACCAGACAAUUUGUUCUCCGAUAUGUCUAUAAAACCCAGAUUUUUCAAGAUACCAAAAUUAGAGGGCAAAGGACCAUUCAAAUGGUUUUGAGAUAGAUCAAGAUAGAUUGACAAGGAAGAGAGGCCAAUCACUUCAGUGGGUAUGGUACCACUGAGGUUGUUAUUGGAGAGAUCUAAUAAUAUCAAGUUUUGGCAUUUCCCUAGACUUGAUGGAAUGUUUCCCUCUAACAUGUUUUCCGCAAAAUCUAGUAUAGCUAACGAUGUCAAAUUUCCUAUAGAAGAUGGAAUUUCCCCCCAAAACUUGUUCCCCAGAAGCCACAACGUCUGCAGCUUAUGAAGAUCUCCUAUACUUCCCGGAAUUCGGCCUGUGAAUUGGUUGCCCCCAAGGUGUAAAAGCUCUAAGUUAACAAGAUUUCUUAAUCGAUUUGGGAAAUUUCCGAACAACUGAUUGUUUCCAACUAUUAAUAUUCUAAGUCGGGUUGACAAGUUCCCCACAGCUUCAGGUAACAUUCCACCAAAAUUGUUGUCACUAAUUUGCAGUAGCUCUAGUCUGGAAGCGUUGACCAAAGAAUUGACAAAUUCCAAGUCAUCCUUUUUCCCAUUUCCUAAGUGAUUCAGAUAAAAACUAACCCAUUGGAGUUUAUGUAAAUUUUCCAAACUAGGCACCUUUCCACUGAAUCCAUUCAUUGGGAUUGUAAGUCUCAUUAGAUUUGAGGCAUUGGAUAUUGAAGCAGGAAUAGGCCCAGUAAACUGAUUACCACCAACGUUUAAUCGUUCAAGAUUAGGCAGAGUGAAGCCUAAGUCUGAUGGAAGGCUUCCUUGAAGUUGGUUAUGAGGGAAAUCCAAAUAAUUAAGCGAAGACAAGUUGUAGAUUGAGAAAGGGAUUUCACCUGAUAGCUUAUUUACUCCCAAUAAUAUAUCACGCAUCCUCUUUAGCUGACCCAGUGUUUCAGGAAUUUGUCCCACAAAUUGAUUUGCAGCUGCUGAGAGGACCUCGAGUGAUGACAAAUUGCCCAAGGAAGAUGGGAUUUCUCCCGAAAAAUUGUUGUAGUGUACUGUGAGCAUCCGGAGCUUUGAUAUGGAGCCUAGUAACCCAGGAACUUUCCCCACAAGCUCAUUGACGCCUAACCUGAGGGAUUCAAGGUUAACGCAAUGCGAUAUGUUGUCAGGAAUUUGACCUCCGAAUGUAUUGUUGUUCAGCUCCAAAAUUCGUAACCUGAACAGAUAUCCAAUCUCUUGAGGGAUUUCGUUGCGGAAGCUAUUGUUUUUGAGAUCUAACACUCUGAGAAAACUCAAAUUACCAAUGUGAGGCGACAGAGACCCCUGCAAGAGUAAAGAUGGAAGACGUAAUCCAGUCACCCUUUGGUGCCGUCGACUGCAAGUGACACCUUUCCAUUGACAAAAGUGCCUGGAAUAGUUCCAUGAUCUCAAAACCUCAAGAGGGUCAUGAGUAACUUUGGCCUUGAAUUGAAGCAAUGCAAGUUGAUCAGUUUCAUUGCUUUUGAGCAUAUAAUCGGUUGAUUGCAAGCUGAAGCUGAAGCAACAUAAAAUAAAGAAACAAAUGCUUACAAUGAUUGAACUCAUCAUGUUUACAAAAUUCAUUUAACUGCCGAAGGAAAUUAAAAUGAUAAAACUUUUAUAGAGGUUUGUAAGAUAAAAUAUGUUUGUAUAUAUUUUGCAAUGAUUUAUGGACUCUGUCUUUGAUGCUCAAAUGUGAACCAGGUGGCACCGUGACAGUGAAACUAAUACUUUUUCUUUUUCUAAUAAUAUUAAUUAUCAUAUUUAUUACUAUUGUAAGAAUAAUAUACUGCAGCUUUAAAGAAAGACUCACCAUACUCUCUUUUGAGUUUAAUCACCAAUAUUGAAAAGGAAAAAAAAAGUAGGGCAAGAGAAAGGUAAAUACGAUGGGUGGAGUGUUAAGACUACUGUUAAAUGAGUUGGGAAACGUUCAAAGCACGAUGGGAAUUAAAGAUUCACAACACCUUUUUUCUAAAAUUUUCAAUACAGUCUCCCCCAAAAUUUGCUAGUGCAACAAAGAGACGUCGCGCCGUUAACAAUUUUAAACUGUAAAUGACAUGUCGUUUUCACAGAAUUCGUUUAACUGCCGGAGGAAAUUGAAAUUAUAAACUUUUAUAAAGGUUGGUAAGAAAAAAUAUACUUGCACAUAUUUUUUUUUCAAUGAUUUAUGGACGCUGUACUUGAUGCUGAAAUGUGAACCGGCUGGCACCGGGACAGUGAAAUUAAUGCUUUUUGUUUUUCUAAUAAUAUUAAUUAUCCUUUUCCUUUAAGGAAGACCCGCCACACUCACUUUUGACGCUCUAUCAGUUUCCAGCAUGUUGUCGUUUUGUAUUUUAGUGCAUUAAAGAAAUCCACAAUGAAUAUAAAAUAAUUUAAUCAACAGUAUUAGAAAAAGAAAAAAAGUAGGAUAAGAAAGUUAAGUAUGAUGGAUGGAGUUUCACAUUUCUGUUAAAUGACUUAGGAAAUGUUUAAAGCACCACAGGAAUCAACGUUUCACACGCUUUUUAGAUUUUUUUUCUAAAAGGAAAAAGAUAUUCUCACGAAAGAAAGUACAAAAUUUCACACAAAACGGUGCAUUUAAAUAAAGUAAAAUUGCAAAAAUACUCAAAAUAUAUAAGAUUGAUCAUUUACACCCUCCUUGUUUUUUUUGGGUGAACUAUUUCUGGAAAAUGGGCAGAGCCUAGUUUUGGUUCAAAAUUUGAAAUAACAAAUGGUAUAUUGGUGGAAAACCAACGACAUAUUUUCUAAUGCUUAACCUAAAUGGGAAUUAUAUCGGUUUGUACUGUCAAUAUAACAAACAACUAACUAAAUUAUUUAGAAGUCAUGAAUAAAAAUGGAUAGAACAAGAAGUAUAUUGCUAUUCGAUGCAAGAUGUUGGAUUAUUAAACCAUAAUAAAAUAAUAUAACUACACAUGUGCAAUGUUAUUCACUAAAAAGAUUUAAUUUAGAUAUUAAACAGUUAGUGCAACUGUAUCGAUCUCAUCCUCAUUAAUUUAGAGUUUGAGAACUCAUAAUAAAAGAAAAUAGAAAUUUAAACAUAGAUCCUAUCCUAUUAAGUAGAAUCAGAAAAGAAGUUUAUAGAAAUAAUUUUUCACGGAAGCAAUGAAAUAUUAAUCCGGUUGAUGGAUAUAUUGGUGAACACAUAAUAGAAUAUUAUAAUAGAUUUUUAUCUAUCAAGCAAAGGGAAGAAUAUAAUUGGAAUAACAAAAGAAUUAGAAGUAAAUAGUAAUAUGCUAAUAGGAUAUAAAGGAUUAUUAUUAAUUAUCGUAUUUGUGUAUAUAUAUAUAUAUUUUAAAUGAUUUAGGGACUCUGUACUUGAUGCUGAAAUGUGAACCGGCUGGCACCGGGACAGUGAAACGAGUACUUUUUUUAUUAUUACACGGCCUGUCGUUUUCAAAGAAAAAUUUUAUCAUGGUAUUCUUAUCCCCUAGCUGCCGUUUGUCGUUUGGAAUUUCUCUGUAUAAGAUUUUAAAGCAGCAAAAAUUUCGCCAUCUCGCGCCGGGGGGGUGGGGUGGGGGGAAGAUGAUGAUUCCGUGGAAUAUUAUCUUCGACUUAUCUGCUAUAAUCAGUGCUAACCGAUUUUGACACAUUUGCAGUAACGGAAGGGUUACAAUUACACGAGAUUGACACGAGGUAAUUAGCUAGUCAAGUCUCCGUGGGAAAAUUGUAAGCACUCAAGACUUAAAAAAGACUUUAUAAAGUAAGGCGUAUUAUGGAUGGUGUGGUUUGAUUCUCACUUGCAUCAAUUGUUCUUUUCAUUUUUCAUUGGAGGAAAGGAAAUUCAAGAGCCUGGUGUAUCUAGCAAAUUUUGUAACACGUUCUUGUAAGAUAAAAUAAAUAAAUAAAUAUAUCGGAUCCUAUUUCAUAGUUUAGUUAUAGGGUUAUUCGGAUGUCUGAAUUCAAAACAAGUUAAGUUUAAUCUCUAAAUAAUUUUGAGGAAAUCUUUCUACAAGGAGAGUUUGAAAUCAAUCACUACCCAUGUGUCAUUGGUCAGAUAAAUAGGUUAAGAACUCUAAUCCUAUCCCGACACAAAAAAAAAUCGUAUCGACUCGGACCUAGUCCAUUUUAAAUAACGGUUUAUUUAAAAUAAUUAUUUUUAUAAUAAUAAUUACUACUAUUAGUUGUCCUAUUAUUAUUAUUAACAAUAAUUAUUUUAAAUAAAAAUUGUAAUUAUUAUAAUAAAUGAUGACAAUAAUCAACUAAGAUUAUUUUGGUAUUGUAAUAAUCAAUUCCAAUUCCAAUAAAAAUUAGAUACAUUAGUGACAAUAUAAAUUAGGGUAGGGGUGGGCAAAUUCGGUUUGGAUCGGUUUGGGACAUAUCCUCAAACCGAUCCAAACUAAUCGGUUUGAAAUAUUUUCAAACCGAUAUCAACCUAAAAUUUUUUUAAACCGAACUGAUCCAAACCGAUUGGAUCGGUUUGGAUCCGGUUUGAACUUAUUAGCUAAAAUUUCACUUCUUUUAUAUUAUUUUACCUAAAUUAUUUGUUAUUUUUUUGUGUCCGCAAUCUAAAUUGAUACCUCUUUUAUAUUAUUCAUAUCUACUUUGAUAUCUACAUAACAAUUCAAAGAUACAUCCAUACAAGUUUACAGCAUAAUACAUCCUAAUAAACAAGUUCUUAACCUGUUCAUUCAAAACAAACUCACAAAAUUAAAAUAAACUUAAACCACACUUGACAAUUAAAAUAUUGUGCAUCUUGUCCGUCAAAAUUUAUAGUCCAAUUACUUUUGAUUUGUUAAAAUCUGCAUAAAAUGAUAAAUAUAAUUAUUUAGAUUGAUUAACUUAAAAUAUAAUGUAAUUAUAUAAUAUUUCUGGAUUGGAUCGGUUUGAAUCGGUUUGGAAUCCUUCCAAACCGAGUGAUGUCGGUUUGCAAUCCAAUAAACUGAAACCAGUUUUUUUACUAAUGAAACCGAUCCAAACCGAUCCAAAAGGUCGGUUUGGAUCGGUUCGGUUAAAAUAUGCCCACCCCUAAAUUAGGGGUUAUUUUUAGAAACCUCCCCUGAAGUUUAGUGUAUUGACAGUCGGAUAGAAAGUAUUCAUAUAAUUACAGGGACCUCCCCUGACGUUAGUAUUCCGCUAAGUGGACUGUCAGUUGACUAUUGAAAUUCCAAAAAUGCCCUUGCCGCAAAAAUAUAUUUUUAACAUAGAGGAGGUUGCGCUCUGAUCCUUUGUUCUGAAUUCAUUUUUUAUCCUUUGUUCUUAGUCACGGUAUAUAAGCCCCAUCCUUACCAAACAAAAUUUUAGAUCAAACAUGCUUAAAGAAAAUGGAUAAUGCAACAUCUAAAAUAAUUUUAAAACACAAAACAACAAAUACUCCACAUUUCAAAGUAAUAAAAAAAUAAAUAAUCGUAGUGCAAAUAGAUUAAACCUGAGCAGAUUUAUAGGCAUUAAGAGUAUUCUCAACGGCGACUUUCCUCUCAUCGCCAGUCUUAAACUCAGCCAAGUUAAGCAAACUCAUGUCGAAACCAAAAUUAGAAUUUAGAAAGGAAAAAAACAGAAUUGAGAAUCAAUUUAUUUUUUGGGAGCACGUGAGUGAUGAGUUUUGGAAUCUAAAAUGAUAUCAAGUUAUGAAGUAUUUUUGGUGUAAACGCAACAGCCAUGAGAGGAGAGUGACGAGAAACUUCCAAAAAGAGGUGAAAAAAAAAACAGAAGAGAAAAAGGCCAAAAGGAAAAAGACUCAAAAAAACAAAAACAGAGAGGAGACGCAAGGGCAAUCAAGCAAGCAGACAAACAAUUUAAAACCUGAGCAGAUAAUCACCCUUCAUCUUCAAAUAAAACACCUUGGAAUCGGCAGCGGCAGCGGUGGGAACCAAUUUCUGGUCCAAUAAUUUCAAGAUCCCGCCACAGGAUCUCCAUCAACUCGGCUUCGAUCUUCGAUCUGUACUCCUUAAUCACGGAGACAUGGUCUUGGUUGCCGUGCGACUCGUCCUUCUGCUCGAUGGAGGACACGAUGCACCAAGAGGCGCGCCGUGCGCCGAUGACGUUCUUGUAGGCGACGGAGAGGAGGUUCCUCGCUGGUCGAGGCAGAGACGACGACUUUUUCCAUGUAUUGGACCAUCUCCUCGUACCACUCGGCUUGCUCCGCAAGUUUUUCCAUGUAUACGUUUUCUUCCCGUGGAGAAGGGGCUGCCAUUGUUCCGUUCAGUUAUCUUUGUGUUUGUUUGAAUUUUGUUUUUGUUUAAAUUUUAAAUUUAUUUUUACGUAUUUACCCUUUAUAAUAACGUUAUACGUAUUUUUGUAUUAACGUUAGGGGAGGUCUUUGUAAUUACAUGAAUAUUUUCUAUCCGACUGUUAAUACACUAAACCUCAGGGGAGGUCCCUAAAAAUAACCCUAUAAAUUAUUACAGCUAAAAUAAAUAAUUUAUAAUAAUUCUAAUUCUUUAUUUCAAUUCUAUUUUGAUUCUAUCUUAUUCCGAUUACUGAUUGGUAAGCAUACCACUAAACGAAAUGAAACUGUCCAUACACAAUAAAAUCUCUUUAAUUGAUCAUCUAGCCCAGCUAAAAUCAACGGUCCCGAAAGAAACAAUUUCGGAACUACUCAAGCCUGCAAAUCUUGCACUGUCGUAGUAAGUUACAGGAAUUUGAUUGGACGAUGUAAUAAAGAUGAAGGAUAAGAUCGCCAUUCGCCAAUCAAUUUUCUGUCCGCAUCAAGCAAAUAGGCCAUCUGUGAGGCGCAAAAUGAGUUAAAAAGAUGGAUAAUUUUGGAAUCCAUUAAUCCACAAUGAACAUAAAACAAUUUAAUCAACAGUAUUAGGAAAGAAAAGAAAAGUAGGAGAAGAAAGUUAAGUAUGAUGGAUGGAGGUUCAGAUUACUGUUAAAUGACUUAGGAAAGGCUUAAAGCACCACAGGAAUCAACGUUUCACAAAGCUUUUUUCCCUUUCUGAAAUAUUCGGUGCAGUCUCCCCCAGAUUUUGCCAGUGCAACCAAGAGACGUCAUGCCGUUAUCAAUUAUAAACUGUAAAUGACAUGUUGUUUUUACAAGACAUAUUAUGCGUCGAUACAUACCUAUGAAUGGGUUCAAGAAAUUCAGCAGGUUGCGAAACAAUAAGAUUCAUUCAAUCCGCGUAGAUAUCUGACUGACUGAAAUUAAAUAAACGAUGAUGAUAAGAAAUUUGAAAUCAACAAAUCUCGGCACAUCUAUUCUGCAGUUUGGCCGUACUUCAAAUAACCUUGCGAUAAAAAUUUCAUAAAAAAUCUCAGAAAGAGGACAGAACAACCAAGGCAUCAGCGAAAGCAAUCGAGGCAGGGCACGCUCAAGCCACGAAUUAGAGGAAUUUUAAAUAUCAAAACCUGCUCAGAAUAAUAAGAAAUAAAAUGAAACUACAAAAGGCUCAGAUUUUUGGAUGAGUGAAGGGAAGAUGAGAAGAUGAAAUGCAGAAAGUCAAGAAAUGAAUAAACCAAUAUUAAUAAUCUUGGACCCACAGCUCUAAUUUGGAUUAAGCAUCCAUCUACCUAUGUGGAUAAUAUUUUUGCUAACUUUUCAGCCAUGCAGCAGGAUCAUGUUCGUCCUGUUUUAUUUGAUAGAAGGAAUUUUCCCCUGGAAGAAAAUGAUGAGUCGUUUCAACGUCAUGCAACUGCCUAGACUGCAUGGAAUUUCACCAGACAAUGACAAUUUAUUCUCAGAUAUAUCUAACGCCCCCACAUUUGCCAAAUUUGAAGGCGUCCGUUUUGAGACUGAUAAAAACGUUUUCCAAAAAUUCGGGAUUCAGGUCGAUCAGACCGGUUAUGUUUUGCAAAACUUGUAAAUUUUCAGUGAUCAAAAUUCAAAACUUUGCAAAUAGGUCAAAAUAUGAAAAAUACUUGAUAUAUUAUUGAAUACUCAUUUUGUUUUGCAUUAAUAUACGGCUGUGGGUGCUAUCUAGUUCUAUUAGUAAAAUUCCUUGGGUUGAAAACAAGAAAACUAGCAUUUGAAACUCACCCAUAUGGAUGGGAAAGAAAUUUAGUUACCAUUGGAUUAAAAAAUAAUAAUAACAAUUAGAAAAAAAUUGUAAGGCUUCGACAAGAUUUGCUAAUCAUGUAUAGAUUAAUAUGAAGAUUAAGAACAUCACCUAAGCCAAUUAUUGAAAUUGAAAUUUUAGGAGAAAAAUUUAUGUGGGUUUGGCCACCAAUUUAGCAUUAGGAACUUAUUGUUUAGGAAGCUAUGGUGGGUUUCGUAGUGGGACUUAUCCUCUUUAAUGCAUAUGGUGAUUUUAAACCAACAUUUAUAUAAUCCCAUUAUAAAACUCAUCAAACCUUCUAAAAUAACUCGUUGAGAUAGUGUGCUAGAUCCAUAUAAAUAUUUCUCCAACUUCUUAGCUUGAAGCGAUAUUCAUUUCCAUUGAUAGUUUAAUGGGCAAAGCCUUUUGAAUUCUCCAGGUUAUCAAGUUAUUUUUUGCUGGAAAAUGCAAUCCGGAUAUGAAUAGAUUUUUUUGUGCAAUCAAAUUUUCUAUGUUGACGCAUCCUCUAGAACUUUCAGUAAAUUUUAUGGAGAAGCUUUAAUUUCUUAGUUGUUGAUUUCGAAUAAAAAAUUAAACUUAACUUUAAAAUUACAGUUGUAAUUAUAAAAUAUUUACUGAAUACAUUAGUGUUAAUACUACAAAUUGUUCCAUUAAAAGUCUCUCAAAAAGGAAGAAGUGACUUAAAAAAUUAAAAGAAUGCAGGAGCUGAAGUUGGCAAUUUUGUAAAUUGCAAUGGCAAUUGUGGGCUAGUAAAAUCCCUCAAUGAGUCACAGCACUAGCAAUUUCGUAAUAUACAUUAGUGGCAAUUUUGUAAAAUUGAAGUUGUGAUAGUUUUGCAAAUAAAAGUAAAAGCUUUUUGCCUAAAUUCGGCUGAGCUAAAAGCCAGCUUAGCCCACACUCUCCUUCGCCACCGGUUGACGAGCUCUUCCUUCAAUUUUUGAACUUGAAGUGAUGCCCCAUCGAUGUCCAGAAUUUUUAAAGUCAGAAUGAUGAUCCUAAUGAUUCUUUUUAGAUAGUCACCUGUACGUUGACGUGUUUAAUUGAUGUUUAUUUAAGCAGAAAUUGAAGUUUGAUCCCUGAUUAAUUAGAUGAGAACACACAUUCAUGAGUAAAUACUUAAAAUUAAAUUAAUCAAAAUAGUAUAAAUACAGGAGAAAAUCGAUCAUAUGCGUGCAGACAUCACAAUCGAAUUAUAUAUAUCACCGCCGCACAUAAAUUUGAUUCCCAUGAUAUGUGAUUAAUUAAUUAAUUUUUUUAAUAACAAUUAAAUUGUAAUGUCAAUUGUCCACAUAAGUUUUUUGUUUUUGUUGAUGAAAGUUAGUAAUUUUUUUCCAUCUUUUUAAAUAAAAGUUGUUAAUAAAUAUCAAGAAAAUAUUGGGACUUGAGAUCAGGGUCUACUUAAGUUAGAAUUUUUUAUUAGAAAAGCUAUAGCCAGCGAUGAAAAAUAAAGAAGUAACACAAGAUAAAGAGUAAAAUGAGAGAGCAUAUAUUAUAAAAAGAUUUUACCCAUUUCAAGUGUGCACCAAACAAAGAGACGAACUCUCAUUUUAUAGUUACAUAAUUAUUACAUGAAAUUAAUAAAAAUAUUAAGAAUUAUAAUUCCUUGCGAGAUAGUGGGAGUUAUAGAAAAGUCAAGAGUUGUUAGUGGAAGAUAGCAAGAAGAGUAAAAAAUAUAUGUUAUGAACAUUCACAUUUAUUUUAAUAAAUUUACAGUAUUUUUUUCGUUAAAUAAUAGGGUGUGGAGAACAAUUGGAAGGACUUUACGUGUGUUUAUAUAUUGACAUAAAAAUUGCAGGACGUGUAGUUUAGCGUUUCUUGGUUGUUCAGUGCUAGUUUUCUAAAUCUCGAGCGUGCGGGUUAUUUUUCGUUACCUUUAUCACCGAAAGGCUGUUUUAACCAACUAAGAACUAAAAGCUAAAACCCAAAACCCCCCUCUUGUUCUUUUCCAGGGACUUUACCUUGUCCUUGAUGGCCGAAAAGCAACUGGAAAUCCUCCGCGGGUACGAGCUGCGGCUCUUGCGCUGCACCCUCGCUCCCCCACCGUCCGAUCUUCGCAUUCAAUCGCAACCGUUGAACGAAGAAAGCCAAUGCUCUAUCCUUCCACUCCACGAGCACAUCAACAGCCUCAUCAACUCCAUCGAGUCCGGCCACUAUCUCCAGGCUCUGUCCUCCGACGAGGCUAAACACGCUCUCGACACGCUCGAUUUCGUCGACAUCAACGACUCAGCCGAGUGUGCCGACCGCGUCUACUCCGAGCUGCUCCAGCUUGUCGAAGCGUCUAUAGUGAACGAUUCCGAAAUUGACGUGGAUAAGGCUUGUCGAGUUAUUCUGCUCAUGUGUCUUUCAAUUGCUGCCCUUUUUUGGUUCACUCAGUGUAACGUGACUGGGUGAGUUUCUUAUUUAUAAAUUUUUAAAUAAUUGCAAUUAAUUAAUAAUAAAUAUUAGUAAAAAAUUAAUCAAAAAAAAGGUUUAGUGAUGAACCUUGUCGAGGUGCCUUCUAAUAGAAAAGAGCUCACGGCAAGAUGAAAUGCAAAGUAAGUUGUUUUAUGGUUGGGCGGUGUGUAGCCGUCUUGUUGAAGGCCAUAAGAUGUUAAGCAUAUUGCUGUUUAAUUUUUAAAUCAUUCUCAGUAAUAAUUCCUUUAGUAGAUUGAUGAUAAGAGAUUGCAUUGCAGAUGAUAACUGAGCACAAUUUCUGUAGUUGUAUCCCUGUACAUCCAUCUUAAUAUCCUCAUUAUAUUCACAUGCCUUUUACGGGUGUUAUUUCUGGAUGCAGAAUGCUUUGUUCCACGUCUGGAUACCAAAUGCUUUGUUCCACAAAGCUGAGCUGGUUGAAAAGCUAGCUGAUGAGGUCAACAUGUCCCUUAAGUAAUUUGAGGAUGAACACUGUGUUCCCGAAAGUCUUACUCUAAUGAUACUUAAAGAAGCAAUGAGAAUGGAUGUUGCAGCAGCUUUGCUGAACUCAACCCCAGUUCCAAAAAUGGAACAUGUGAAAAUGCAUUGUUUUUUUUUUUUUUUUUCUCUCUCUUUAUGACUUCUUUGGUUGGGAAUGUAUUAGAUAUUCACCUAAUCAGUAGGCCUUGAAGGGAUCCCAUGUUAGCCCCUUGAUGUUGGUCUGUAACUAAGUAAAUACUUGACCUUGAAAAAGCUUUUGGAGGCAUCAGUUCUCUCUGACUGUGUGCUACUUUUUGGAUCUGUUGAUUUGGUCAUUUGCUGAUUUAUAGUUAUUUUUCUGAUUCAGGAUGGGAUAUGGCUCCAUACAUAUAUAGGCAAUUGAUUCACAGCAGUCGUCAUGCUUCAUUGUAAUUAUAUAUACAAUACAGCAUCAGUUUUUCUUGAUUUUAAAUCUCGUAUUCUGAAGUGGUACUUCUGAUUCUCACAUGAUUUUUCCAUCUUUCAGCUAAAGUUUUUCUGUGAUCUCUUCCGUAUUAGAUGGGAGUUCACCCGUAGUCGCACAAAAGGGCGUGCUUUAGAGAUGAUGGACAAACUGGUAUGAUCUGUGAGCCUUUUCUUCUUAAAUAUUUUGUUACCUAAAUCAUUUUCAUUCAAAUUUACAAGAGUUGCCUAUGGAUCUAUAGAAGAUUCCAAACUUUCUGCAGCUAGUAGUUUCUUGGUUUCCGUACUGUCCAUCGGGUAAAGAUUGAAUGUGCAUCAUUUAUAAACUUGUCGGGAUCUUCCUUCUUAGCUUUGAGAUUGCUCCUGCAUAUAGGUAGAACCAAAGGCACAAAUGGUACUUGUUGCAAACACAAGCUCAUCCAACACUUCUGAUGUCUGCCCUUCAAUAAACCAAGUCAUUCAUACACAUGAUUCUACUAUUGGUGAUGCCUCUGAUGUUUUUGUGACCCCAAAAUUAUUGGGGAAUAGUCAUGAAUCUGAAUCUGGAGUCCAAUGCAUUCAUGCUGGUGGCUCAGCAGCCCAUUUAAAGGCAAUCCAACAGGCAGUGAUCUUGUCGAGGUGCCUUCUAAUAGAAAAGAGCUCACGGCAAGAUGAAAUGCAAAGUAAGUUGUUUUAUGGUUGGGCGGUGUGUGGUCCUCUUGUUAAAGGCCAUAAGAUGUUAAGCAUAUUGCUAUUUAAUUUUUAAAUCAUUCUCAGUAAUAAUUCCUUUAGUAGAUUGAUGAUAAGAGAUUACAUUACAGAUGAUAACUGAGCACAAUUUUUGUAGUUGUAUCCCUGUACAUCCAUCUUAAUAUCCUCAUUAUAUUCACAUGCCUUUCACGGGUGUUAUUUCUGGAUGCUGAAUGCUUUGUUCCACUUUUGGAAACCAAAUGCUUUGUUACACAAAGCUGAGCUGGUUGAAAAGCUAGCUGAUGAGGUCAACAUGUCCCUUAAGUAAUUUGAGGAUGAACACUGUGUUCCCGAAAGUCUUACUCUAAUGAUACUUAAAAAAGCAAUGAGAAUGGAUGUUGCAGCGGCUUUACUGAACUCAACCCCAGUUCCAAACAUGGAACAUGUGAAAACCAAAAAUGCAUUGUUUUUUUUCUCUUUAUGACUUCUCUAGUUGGGGAAUGUACUAGAUAUUCACCUAAUCAGUAGGCCUUGAAGGGAUCCCAUGUUAGCCCCUUGAUGUUGGUCUGUAACUAAGUAAAUACUUGACCUUGAAAAAGCUUUUGGAGGCAUCAGUUUCUCUCUGACUGUGUGCUACUUUUUGGAUCUGUUGAUUUGGUCAUUUGCUGAUUUAUAGUUUGUUUUCUGAUUCAGGAUGGGAUAUGGCUCCAUACAUAGAGACAAUAGAUUCACAGCAGUCAUCAUGCUUCAUUGUAAGUAUAUAUACAAUACAGCAUCAGUUUUUCUUGAUUUUAAAUCUCAUAUUCUGAAGUGGUACUUCUGAUUCCCACAUGAUUUUUCCAUUUUUCAGCUAAAGUUUUUCUGUGAUCUCUUACGUAUUAGAUGGGAGUCCACCCGUAGUCGCACAAAAGGGCGUGCUUUAGAGAUGAUGGACAAACUGGUAUGAUCUGUGAGCCUUUUCUUCUUAAAUAUUUUGUUACCUAAACCAUUCUCAUUCAAAUUGACAAGAGUUGCUUAUUUAUCGAUAGAAGAUUCCAAACUUCUGCAGCUAGUACUUUAUUGGACCCAAAAGCUUUUUUGCUUUUUCUAAGCUGCUAAUCAAGACUAGGUUUCUCUCCCUUAUAUCGCUAGAUAUGCCAUUAAUCGUUUGAUUUAAUUGUCUAGAGAGAUUAGAUACUUGCAUCUUUGCUUUUCACUUCACAAGUGAUUUCAUGUGCUAUCCUGUAUUCUGGUUCAAGAUUUUUGAUGGUUGCUUACUAUCAUAUUUUGCUUUGUUUCAGGUUGAGGGCAUUUCUAACUCUUCUCCCGGUGUGACUCAAAGUAUUCCCUUUUGUUAUGUGAUUUGCAUUCCAACUAUUCCUGCCCUGCGAAAGUAAAACUAUUUCUUCUGCAUCUUUGAAUGAUUGUGAUUUAAUUUUCUUGUCAUUUUGCCAACUAUCAUUAUGCUGUCAUUGUUUCAUAUCUUAUUUGACAUAUGUUGAUUUGGAUAGAUUUUAAUUGCUCUGUUUAUUCUCUUUAUAAUCUGUCUAUUUCGAUUUUUCUUCAUUUUAGGGAAUAUGCUAAACUUUUAGUAAGCCGUGGCUUGAUUGGAGAGGCUAUUAAAAAUUUUGAGGAUCUGGUGUUGUGGGAUAGUCUAAUACUGCAAUUGGUAUGAUGUCAUAGAUAACCAUUACCCUAAUCUCUCUGUCUAUCUCUCUCUCUCUCUCUUUCGUGUUGCUAAUGGGAGUUGGUUUUGUGUAUGAUGUAAAAAACAGCCUAUUGGGGAAGAAAGCAGCAGCUGUUGAACUAAUAAAAGCAAGGCUGUCUGAAAAGCCUAAUGACCCUACAUUAUGGUUUGUUGAUGAGCCUUUUCUAUGAUCCAUUUUAUAGUUACUUCUCAUUUCAGUUAAAUCCAUUGUUGAUGUCACUUAUUGCAAUCUAGGGAUGAUUGUUCAUUGGAUGUGAGGAUAUUGUCAGAAGAAAAUGAAACCUUUUAAUUUUAUCUUUUACUUGCUGUAGCCGACUUAAAAGGUCACUGUGCGUUCUUACUGAUUGCUUUUGGUCUUGCAUUUGAGUCAGUGGAUUUUAUACUCAUAUUCUGACAUGUAUUGUUAGCCUUCUGACGGUUCUGCACCUUGGUCCUAUAUUAUCUUCAGCAGUAUUAUCUAAAAGAUCAUUUUUUGCCGAAGAAUAUUUGCAUUCUAAACUAGAAAAGGAGGGGCCGCCCGGGCCCGGGGGGGGGGGGGGGGGUGUGUGUGUGUGAAGGAAGCAUCAGGAGGUUGUUUUCCACUUAUCCUCUUCCCUGCCUGCAUUUUAGAUGAUUCUGAUGCACCAGGUGCCGUGAAAUGGUUGAGAAAUACAUACCAUCAAGUGAAUUCUGAAAAUCAUAUCCUUUUUGAGAAUAUUUGGUGCUAGACAUUUGAAUAUGUGGCCACAAUUUAAACAAUAAAGAUUUUCUGCACUGAUUUCUUAUAAUGGAUAUAUGCAUGUAAUUAUAAUAUGAUAUCUUUUGAUUAUUGACCCAUUUGUUUAGAAAGAAGGGGAAAAAAAAAACAUGGUUGAAAGACAACUGUUACUUGACCUUAUCUUGGUCUGUUCACUGCCGUUUGUUUCCUAUAACUUCUGGUGAUAAUGUAGCCAGAAUGAUGAGUUGAAUUGUGGUUUACUGACUUGUGAUACAUUUUGUAGGUGUUCAUUUUUGUUUUCUAAAUUUGUUAUCUAAAGGAAUGACAAGUUGACAACUCAGCCUCUCUCUCUCUCUCUCUCUCUCUCUCUCUCUGUGUGUCUGUGUCAGGGAUCUGAUUUGUGGAAAGAAAGAGAUCGGUUUGAAAGGUUUUCAUAUGCAUCCUUGGAACUUUGUAAGGUUUACAUGGAAAUUUCUUCCUCUUCUGGUAGCCGUCAAGAACUCUUUGCUGCUGAGAUGCACCUGAAGAACGUACUUAAACAAGUAAAAUACCUUAUAAUUCGAUAUUUAAGACACUUACAGAUGGUAUUACAUUGACAGCAGUAAAACAAAGAAGCAACUGAAAGUUAUCUUCAUAUGAGAAUGAAAGCUUUUCAGCAGCAUAAGCCUUUCACUAUUCAAUUCCAAACACGUUCCUCAACAUGAUAACAAAUUCGUAGACCUUUUCUGGGUCUGGAAGGAUCCUGUAACAGUUUCUCUUUGCAUGCACUUGUUCAUCCAUGCUGAGAAUUUGGGGCACUCAUUCUCAACCUUAAAUCCCCCAAAUUCCUCAACCGCGUAAAACCAUCAAGUCAGUGGAAUGGCAAUCACAUCAACGAAUCCAAAGCUGUCCCCGCCAAAGAAAUCCUUCUCCCCUAAAGCUCCCUCAAGUUGCUUCAAAAUCUCUAUAAAUUCAUUCUUCGCCGGGGACCUCGCCCUUCGUUUUGCAUAUGUUGCAGACUGGAUCGAAUACCUGCCAAAAAAGUGGUGUCAUCUUUUAAGUUCGCAUUUAGAAAGAUACAAACAUUUACACUUGAGAAUUAUAGACUGACCUUCUUGUCAAUAAAAUCUGCCCAGAACCUUGCCUUAGCUCUCUCAGAAGCACAGGAUGGGAGAAGUGAUGGCGAAGGCCAAGUCUCGUCAAUUUAGUUGACUAUAAUAGUGGAUUAACACAAUGGUUCCCCAUCGUGCAGCAAAACUGGGACUUUCUUGUAGAUGGGGUUUGAUUUGAGCAACAGGUCACUCUUGCCCCCGAACAAGUUCUCAGCUCUGGCUUCAUAUCCAACUCCUUUCUCAGCCAAUGCAAUCUUUGCUCUCAAGCAAAAUGGGCUAACCCAACAGUCCAAAAGAACAACCUCUCCCUUUGACAUAUUCAACUAUCAAGGUUGGUAUUUAUAUAGGAGAAAAGAUGAAAUUCCCAAAGAUUGUGUCGCAAUCAAGGUUUGUUCGUUGGCACUUCGAUAAAGGAUGUGGCCUUGUUCUUAUCAUUUCUUAGUUUUUGAAGCUAAAUGUUUUACUUGGCUUUCAACAGGCACAAGAACAAGUUUGUCUUGUGUAAAUAAAAUAAAACCAUAAAAUUCCAUUAUUAGUGUAAAACCAAAAUAAUUAAAAUAAUAAAAGUGAGUUAGUCGUGCGUGUGGACCUCCUCUUUAUGAGUUUGUUAUCACACCAUAUUUGGUUUCUAUAAAUAAAAUAACUAAAACUCUCUUAUCUAAGUAAGAAUAUUGUUAUUUUGAAAUACCAACUCAAUCUCUAACAAAUCUUGAGAUAUAACUUAAGAUUCUUGAGCUUCCAAUAUAAAACAAGUAAGAUUAACAUAACUUUUUCACUUCCUUCCAUCAAAGAAGGGAAUAAGUUAUAUAAUUUAAUUUAUGUUUAAUUAAAUUAUUUUAAAUGGGUAAUAAUUAUAAAUUUUUCCACUUUAUUUAAUUAACUAGAUAAGACCAUAUUGUAAAUUCUUACAUUUAUCACUUUAAUCUCUUUCCUUUUUCAUUCCAACUCCGGUACAAACUAUUCCUUUUCAAAAAGUUGUACUCAAAUUGAUAAGUCUUGGAAGACCAAAACACUAUUUAAAAUUUAUUAUUUGCUUUAGUAGCUUUCAUGGGUGCAAGGUAAGGAACAAAACUCGGUGGAUUUUAUGACAAAAGCUUUAUCUUAUGUAGCACUUUUUUCGAUAUCUCGAACUUUACUCUUUAAGAAUGUUGUAUAAUAUUUCUACAAUAACAACAAACAAAUUAUAACCCUGAAAGAUCUAUAUACACCUCGAUCUCUAGCUAGUUCUCUACAAAAUAUGGCACUAAGUAACAAUGUAAUCGGAGCCAUCAACUUUGUUGCCGUACUUCUUUCAAUCCCAGUCAUCGGUGCCGGAAUCUGGCUUGCCACCGAGGCAGACAAUUCUUGUGUCAAGCUUCUACAAUGGCCAGUCAUUAUUUUGGGAAUCUUGAUUCUAGUCGUGGCUCUAGCAGGCUUUAUUGGAGGAUUUUGGCGCAUCCCUUGGCUCCUUAUACUUUAUCUCGUUGCCAUGCUCAUUCUUAUAAUAUUGCUGGCUUGUCUAGUUGUUUUCAUUUACAUGGUCACGAUUAAGGGCUCAGGUCACCUUGCACCCAGUAGAGCGUACUUGGAAUACCGCCUCGAUGAUUUUUCUGGAUGGCUACGUAGAAGAGUUCGAAGCCCUUACAAAUGGGAUCGGAUCAAAAGCUGUCUCAGCUCGACACAGAUGUGCCCUGAGUUGAACCAUGUAAAAAUGAGUUGCAAAUACUGUUUGGUUACUGAGAAACAGAGAGAAAAUUGAUGAAUAUUCCAGAUCUUAUUAUUUCAUUAAUUACAAAUGAGUAAAUCACAAGUCUUUAUACUUGCAUUUCAUUAGUAAAAGCUAUUAACGAAACUGAUCUGUAUUAACUAACUAAUACUAACUAACUAAUCACGCGAACUCUCAUUGCUGCAUAACAGAAUCAGCUGACUCAGCAUUGUUGACGUGGCAUUGCUGACGCACCUUAGCUUCUGACUUCUUCUCUCUUCUUAGCUCAGCACAAUGAGCUUUCUUCACAGCCCCUCUCAAACUCAAGGGGCAUAAAUGCACAUUGAGUUUGUUCCUCAGAUAAAUGAACUGAGAAGAGUUUAAGGGCUUAGUCAUUAUGUCUGCUAUCUGUUCUGUACUAGGAACAUAUAGAAUCUUAAGAUCUCCAGUUAGAACCUUAUCUCUGAUAAAAUGCAGAUCGAUUUCUAUGUGUUUUGUUCUUGAGUGAAACACUGGAUUAUGAGCAAGAUCUUUGGCACUUACAUUGUCACACCAUAUAACUGGUUUCUCCACACGACAUAGAUUAAUCUCAAGAAACAAAGAUUUUAUCCAUGUUAUCUCUGAAACAGCUGCUGCAAGUGCUCUGUAUUCACUUUCUGCAGAAGAUUUUGUAACUACAGAUUGCUUCUUUGAGGACCAUGAGAUUAAGUUGUUUCCUAGGUACACACAAUAUGCACCAGUGGAUCUUCUGUCAUCAAGAUCACUUCCCCAGUCUGCAUCUGUAAAUGCUGUAACCUUCAGCUCACCUUUCUUAACAAAUUUCAGCCCAUAGUCUUGUGUUUCCUUCAGAUAUCUAAGCACACGUUUGCAUGCCAUAAGAUGUUGAAGUGUUGGUGAAGAUACAUACUGACUUAGCUUAUGAACUGAAUAGGCAAUUUCAGGUCUUGUCAAAACUAAAUACUGAAGACCUCCUACAAUGCUUCUGUAAUGAGAUGGAUCUUCUAUGUAAUAACCCAUUUCCCCUUCUAUAUUCUUCUGCAAUCUGUAAUCUUUGCUGCUGCUCAUUGGUGUAUCUAUUCCUUUACACUCGAGCAUAUCAGCUUUAGCCAGCAAGUCUCUGAUAUACUUCCUUUGUGAUAGAUACAUACGGCCAAGAUCAUACAAAACUUCAAUUCCAAGAAAAUAAGAUAACUUUCCCAGAUCCUUUAAUGCAAAUGCAGAACUGAAUAGCUUGAUAAAAUCUUCCAGCUCAUCACAAUUUGAUCCUGUAAUCAAUAUGUCAUCCACAUAUAUCAGGAUUAAAAUAAUUGAUCUUUUAUUCUUUUUCAAGAACAAAGAUGAGUCAGACUUAGAAUUCUCAAAUCCCCAUUGCACAAGACUGUUUCUCAGCUUGUCAAAACAUGCUCGUGGAGCUUGUUUCAAACCAUAAAGUGCCUUGUGAAGCUUGCACACAAAAUCAGGUCUUUUGGAAUCAAUAAACCCUUCUGGUUGACUCAUAUACACCUCCUCAAUUAAAUCUCCAUUUAAGAAUGCAUUAUUCACAUCAACCUGUCUUAUUUGCCACUGAUUCAUUACUGCUAGACUCAGGACUAUUCUAACUGUUGCUGCUUUCACCACUGGACUGAAAGUCUCAAAGUAGUUCACUCCUUCUAUUUGCUGAAAUCCUUUAGCAACCAACCUUGCCUUAUAUUUUGCAACACUUCCAUCAGUAUUUGAUUUCACUCGAAAUACCCAUUUGUUGCCAACAAGUUUGUGAUGUUCUGUUCUUGGCACAAGUGUCCAGGUACCAUUUGACAUUAGUGCAUCAUAUUCAGCUUUCAUUACUUGAAACCAUCUCUCAUCAUUGAUAGCCUCCUGAACUGUAUCUGGUUCUUUAUGCAACAAUACUGCAGUAUAUACCUUUGGCUUAAAGAUACCUGCUUUCCCUCUAGUGAUCAUGGGGUGUUGGUUUAGUGAUGGUGAGGUUGUCAUUGUUUGAUUGAGAUGAGGGAUAUUGUUAUUGUGUUGGUUUUGUGAAUUUUCAUUUGAGGGCUGUUCUAAUGUUGUGUCAGGUAUAGAAGGUAACAUUAUAGGUGCAGAUGGAUUAUUUCUGUCUGUGUUUGAGGGUUGUUGAUCUGUUACCUGUGUUGAGACUACUGUUGAAGGAAAAAUGUUGCCACUGGAGUAUGCUUGAGAGAAAGAUUCAUUGCUGGUGACUGAAAAAUCUGUUAUGACAGGUAAUGUUGAUAACUGGAAAACUUGUAUAGGAGUAAUUGUGCAAUAUGUAUCAGACUUAGAUUUAUUUGAAUUAUGAAAGCUAGGAUCAGCUGCAAAUGGAUAAGAGUGUUCAUCAAAGACAACAUGCCUAGCUAUAUAUAUAUGUCCAGAGGGGUGAUAACACUUGUAGCCUUUAUGAGAUGGACUAUAACCAAGAAAAAUGCAUUUGGUUGUGUGAUAGUCAAACUUGUGCUUAUUGUAAUCUCUCAGAUAUGGAUAACAAGCACAUCCAAAGCAUUUCAGCAUUUUAUAAUCAGCCUUGUGUUUAUAAAGCUUUUCAUAUGGAGUAGACAUCUUAAGUGCAGAAGUAGGGAGUCUAUUAAUGUGAUAGACUGAGGCAUGAAAAGCAUCCCACCAGAAUUGAAAAGGGAGUUUGGCUUGAGCUAGAAGUGUCAGUCCUAAUUCUACAAUUUGUCUGUGUUUUCUUUCAACAAGUCCAUUCUGAUGAUGAGUGUAAGGGCAAGAGUGUCUAAAGAGAAUGCCACAUUCAUUUAGAAAGGCAGUAAAUGGUCUGUAUUCUCCCCCCCAGUCAGAUUGUAGAAUUUUGAUAGAAGUUUGAAAUUGUUUUUCAACUUGAAGUUUGAACAGCUUGAACACUUCUAGAGCUUCUGAUUUAAGUUUCAAAGGAUAAAUCCAGGUGUAUCUGGUAUGAUCAUCCACAAAGCUAAUGUAAUAUCUAAAGCCAUCUCUAGAAUAUGCUGGUGAGGGACCCCAUAGAUCAGUGUGAACAAGUUCUAGAGCUGAUGUGGAUUUGAUAUCAGUGAUUGGAAAAUGAAGUUUAUGAAAUUUUCCUAGUUGACAUGCUUCACAGAAAUGCUUUGUAGCUUGAUUAACAAUAUUUGUAGAGCACAAAUUGGGAUGCACAAGCUUAAGCAAAUGAAUUAGACUUUGAGUAUUAGGAUGACCAAAUCGUUUGUGGAGUAAAGACAUUUUAUUGAAUGAAUUAGUGCUACAAGUAUUCUUAUUUGACUGAAAACAUUUUCCAGAACAAGAACUAUUAACUGAAGUGCUGAAAUAACACUGAGAUAGCAUGGACACAGGCUUAUUUAUUGAGCUCUGAGAUAGAAAAGAGGUAAAUGUAGAUUGUGAUGAUGAACUCAGCUGCAAUUUGUAUAAACCUUUCUCAGCAAUACCCAGUAGCAGAAUUUUCCCUUUCAGUAUAUCCUUCACAAAGCAAACAGAACCAAGGAAUUCAACAGAUAAGUCAUUAUCAGUGGUCAGUCUAGAAACACUUAUUAAAUUCUUUGUAAUAGAUGGAACAAGCAGUAUAUCUUUAAGUGCAAUGCAUGUACUUGCAUAUUGUAUUUUAGAGCUUUGAAUUGUAAGAUUGGCAUUACCAACAUGUGUGAUUGACAAACCUUUACCAUCACCAAUGAUAAGCUUGUCAUUACCUCUAAACUCAUUGCUGACAUGCAUAUUUGCCAUACUAUUUGUUAGAUGAUGUGUAGCUCCACUGUCAAGGUACCAUCCUUCAUCUGUUGGUCCUUCAAAGUUAGCAGCAUAAGCAGCUCCAGCUCCACUCACAGGUGAGCUCAUUGAGUCAGAUAUGUAUGAAGAAUAUGGUGUAUUAUACACGUGAGGUAUCCCUGAAUAAUCAGCUGCAGCAGGCCAUGAAUCUUCAGUAGGUGCAUUAAAAUAUGUCAUAUAGGCUGAUCUCUGAUUUCUUCCUCUUUUCAUGUGUUGAGGUAUAUAAUUUUCUUCAAACCUAUGCCAACAUUCUACUGCUGUGUGUCCAGAUUUAAAACAGAUCUGACAAACAACAGUCUGUUCCUCAUUACCAUCAGAAUUCGACAAACCAGAAUUAACACUAUAUUGUCCUCUCAUGAAUUGUGCCUGCUUAUUAUUGUUUCCAAUCAUUUGACCUCUGCCAAGAUUAUUACCAAGAUUUCCAGAUCCAGAGGGAAAGCCUCUUGGAUGAGAAUUGAUAAACAUUCCUCUUCCAGUAUGAAAAUUGUUUCUUCCAAAUUGAUUUCCACCAUGAAAUCCUCCAUUAUAUCCACCUCUUCGAGCACUACCUCUUGUUUGAGCAUAAUAAGCAUUCAUCAUACCAUAGCCAUUAUUAUUAUGAGAAACAUUAGCAAGAUUUGCAUUGAACAUCUGUUUUUCAUUUAGACUCUGUUCUAAUCUUGUUUCAUGCGUGAGCAGCAAUGCAUAGGAAUCAUCAAAAUCUAGCUUACUAGCAGUAAUGAAAGUUGCUAAAUCUAGAUAGCCUGGUCCAAGACCAUUAAGGAUCUGUUGUAACAGAUCUUUGUCAGAAACUGGACUACCAGCACAGGCUAAUUUAUCUGCUAUUUGUUUCAUUUUCAAACAAUAAUCUUCUACAUUUAGUGAAUCUUUUCUCAAAACACUCAUCUCAUAUUUGAGUUGAAGAACUCUAGCUUCAGAUUUUGCACCAAACUUUUUCUCCAAUGUUUUCCACACAUCAUAUGCAGUAUUACAAGAAUGAACAUGACUGAGAAUACCUUCAGUGAUUGAGCUUAAUAGCCAGCUUAGUAAUGUCUGAUCCUGUGACCUCCAGAUUAUAUAUUCUGGAUUUUCAACUUGUUGUGUAACUCUUCCCAUUGUUUCAGCAUAGCUUCCUGAAGUAAGAAAUUGAGUAGGUGCUGCCUUUUCUCCAUUGAUGUAGCCUUCAAGUCUGUUUCCUCUUAUAGAAGCUAAUACUUGAUUUCGCCAGAGCAUAUAAUUGGAUCUAUCCAAUUUGAUUGGCGUAAUGAAUGAGAAGGUAGUUUGUAUUGAUUGAUUCAUGUUUGUUGUGUUUGGAUUUGUGUUUAAAUUGCUUGAGCUUACCAUAUUUCUGGCUCUGAUACCAUGUAAAAAUGAGUUGCAAAUACUGUUUGGUUACUGAGAAACAGAGAGAAAAUUGAUAAAUAUUCUAGAUCUUAUUAUUUCAUUAAUUACAAAUGAGUAAAUCACAAGUCUUUAUACUUGCAUUUCAUUAGUAAAAGCUAUUAACGAAACUGAUCUGUAUUAACUAACUAAUACUAACUAACUAAUCACGCGAACUCUCAUUGCUGCAUAACAGAAUCAGCUGACUCAGCAUUGUUGACGUGGCAUUGCUGACGCACCUUAGCUUCUGACUUCUUCUCUCUUCUCAGCUCAGCACAAUGAGCUUUCUUCACAAACCAGAGUUAUAGGAUGGCUCAAGAUUUCUUCAAUGCACAUAUUACCCCUUUACAGGUAAUUAUAAUUAAUUAAGUUCUCGAUUACCAUUAAUUUUAUUUUAUUUUUUUCCAUUAAUUUCUAGAAAUUAAGAUUUAUUAGAACUCUAAAGUUAAAUUCUGAUUAAAAUUUUAAUUUUUAACGUACACAUUCCUCUUUAUAAUUAUGACCGUACGUAAUUUUAUAGCAGAGGAUAAUUCCUACCCAUUAAUUAAGCUAACCCACACGCCCAUGGAACAAUGAAGAAGUAGCUAAUAAAGUAAAAACACUGUAUUAGAUUCGGAAAACCAAGUUUCAAAUCUUCUUUUCAAAAAUAUUCUUCGUCUUUAUCUUUAUUGCGUGCCUUUGUGCUUUUUUUUUUCUAUUUAUUUAUUUUUCUUGUUUACAGUCUGGAUGUUGUAAGCCUCCGACAGAGUGUGGUUACACAUUUGUAAACCCAACAUAUUGGAUAAGUCCAAUUAACAACGCGGCGGACAUGGAUUGCCUACAGUGGAGCAAUGACCAAAUGCAGCUUUGCUAUAAUUGUGAUUCAUGCAAAGCAGGAUUACUUGCUAAUCUGAAAAAGGAGUGGAGAAGAGUAGAUAUCAUAUUACUCGUUACUCUUGUUGCUUUGAUAUGGGUUUAUCUGAUUGGAUGUUGUGCUUUUAGGAACGCCAAAACUGAAGACCUCUUUCGCAAGUACAAGCAAGGCACUUACACGUAAUUGUUAGCUGCACGUAAACUCUCUUUGAUAGUAAUAUUAAUGUGUAAUUAGGGACUGGCUUGAAUUGUUAUUUUGAUAAUUUUAUGAAUUUUUUGUUUAAGAUCCGUCUUCUUGGUUACUUACAUUUGGUUAAAUUAUGUGUGGGGUUUGAUUUGAUGACGACAUAAUCUUGAGUUGUGCGUGCGUGAUUUGUGGAGGGCGCCGAAAGUAGGUGGCUUUUGAAUAUUUGCUUUUUAAGGAGAAGGGAUUUCGCACUUCCGCUCCCUGCUUGCUCGCAUAGGGCAUUAAUUGUAGCUUUGAAAAAAGUUCUGCUUCAGCAUGCGCAAAAGUCAAAGAAAUGGGACAUGUGCUCAUGCAUUAUGCAGCCAGCAUAUGGGUGAUAGCAGACGUAUUUAAUCUUUUAGUCUUUGUUGACAACUCAGCCUCUCUCUCUCUCUCUCUCUCUCUCUCUCUCUCUCUCGCUGUGUCUCUGCGUCAGGGAUCUGAUUUGUGGGAAGAUAGAUAUCGGUUUAAAAGGUUUUCAUAUGCAUCCUUGGAACUUUGUAAGGUUUACAUGGAAAUUUCUUCCUCUUCCAGUGGCCGUCGAGAACUCUUUGCUGCUGAGAUGCACCUGAAGAACGUCCUUAAACAAGUAAAACACCUUAUAAUUCGAUAUUUAAGACACUUACAGUUGGUUUAAAGAUUGCAUUUUCCGUUUCUGUUUUUGACUGGUUCAGGGUAAAACUUUUUCUCACUGUGUUAGAGUGCAUUUCUGUUAUUAUAUAGUACCUGUCAAAAUUUUCCAUUCCAAUUAGUUACAGAGUGAAUUCUGUAAGGUGUGGCGCCCCCUUGAAGGCCAGGAGAGCCGUGUUUAGGGCUUAUCACCCCUCCAAGGUGUAAUCCCUUGUAUCCCUGUAGCUUAUACCAGAGGUCCGGAGUACUGCAGACUUGUGGAGAUACGGGGCUAUGAGUUUCCAUCUUUCGGACAUCACAACACUUGUUCUGGAGAAAUUAUGGGUUUAUUUCAGAACAGAGGAAGGUUACUUCAUUAAGAGGAAUGAGAGAUUUACAAUACACUAGAUUUAGGCUCCAAGACUCGAUGCCUAGAUACAAACCAAGGGUUCCCUUUUAUAGGCACAAGGGAACCACUAUUACACACUGUAGUCAUUAUUGAUCCUUAUCUCUAAGGAAUCUAUUUUACAACUCACUCCUUACUUUAUGUCACACUCAUACUCUCAUCCUUAUCACAAAGGAUGGUACACAAUACAUACGAAUACAAAUACAUAUAUUAUUAUUAUUAGAGAUACAAAUACAUAUAUUAUUAUUAUUAAAUAUACAAAUACAUAUACGAAUACAAAGGAUGGUACACAAUACACUCUGAUAAUAAUAAUAUAUGUAUUUGUAUUCGUAUGUAUUGUGUAUCAUCCUUUGUGAUAAGGAUGAGAGUGUGAGUGUGACAUAAAGUAAGGAGUGAGUUGUAAAGUAGAUUCCUUAGAGAUAAGGAUCAAUAAUGACUACAGUGUGUAAUAGUGGUUCCCUUGUGCCUAUAAAAGGGAACCCUUGGUUUGUAUCUAGGCAUCGAGUCUUGGAGCUUAAAUCUAGUGUAUUGUAAAUCUCUCAUUCCUCUUAAUGAAGUAACCUUCCUCUGUUCUGAAAUAAACCCAUUUUGGUAUCAGAGCCAUAUUUCCCAAAAGGAAACCCCUGGGUGUGCAACAAUAUUAUGCUCUGUGGUUGCCGAAACACUUCGGAUCCUCCACAUCAGAAAGUUGUUGAAUACUGAUCUACCUGUCAAAAUUUUCCAUUCCAAUUAGUUACAGAGUGAAUUCUGUAAGGUGUGGCGCCCCCUUGAAGGCCAGGAGAGCCGUGUUUAGGGCUUAUCACCCCAAAGAAAACCCUUUGUUUUCUCUUAGCCAUGGAAAACUCAAACAGUAAUAGAUCUGGAAACCAAACAGUUUCUGACCAAGGAUCCACUUCGGCUAUCAGAGUUCUAACUGAUAGUUCACCCUCUAUAAACUUCCAUUACGAAACCCAAGAGGAUGAAAGCAGUGAGAGAGCGGUUCAGUCCUUUAGACUUGAUCCGUUAGAUCCCUAUAGAUACUACCAUAUCAAUUCUACUCUUAAUCAAUUAAGAGCCAUAAUUCCUAUUAGACAACCCAAGCUUAAAACCAUCUAUAAAUCCUCUGAGAUUACUGUCCAGUUCAUCUCCUCCAGUUCUAAAGAAACAUACCUUCCUAUAAUCUCUACCAAUGAGGUUACAAGGUAUAAGCUACAGGGAUACAAGGGAUUACACCUUGGAGCAAUCUAGAUAGGAAUACAACCAUUGUUCCUAGCUGGAAAAGAUAUCACAUGCUUCAUUGCCAUCCUUGACACUAGAUGGCAAACUUUUGAGAAAGCCUUGAUCACUGCUGUCGAAGCAGGACUCAACCAAGGUCAUGUUGUUCUCCAAGUUGAACCCAACUUCACCCUUGACAUACACAAGCCAUUUCUCACAGAUGCCAUUAAGGUAUUAAUUCAGGUCAAUGGUCUAACCAUAAAACCUGAUGAAUCUGCCUUGGCAAUUCACCACACCAUGACCUAUAAAGUCCAAACCCAUCUGUUCUCUAUGAGCAGCUCUGGCAGGCCCAUUACCAGAUUUCUUGCUGGUGAUGGCAGAGUCUUUCAACCUCGGACUUAUAGGCAAAAUCAGCUCAUUUUUCUACCUCAAUGGAUCAAUGAGUAUGAAAAAAACAGCAAGCCUCAACAAAUCCAUGAGGUUCCAAAGAUAAGCCGGUUACAAGAAGGAAGGGUAUCAGUCUCUUUUCCCACUGAGACUAAAGCCCUCUAUCCAUGUGAAAAAUGCCAGCUUGAAGGAAGGCAUCCCUCCUUGUGCACUCAUAUGCCAAGAAGAAUCACCUCCUGCAGAAUCAUGGGUCCAAUUAACAUGAUCACCACUCCGGAUCUUGAUAAUGAAUUCCUCAAGGAUAUUCCUGGAGGAAUGUAUGUUGCCAAAUGGGUAAUACAAAAAACCAACCCAACUGAAUUUGGCCCAAUUGAGAAGGCGAUCAACUGGUCAAACAUCAAUGCUGUUGAACAGAACCAAGCGUUGGGAGACAUCAUGGUUACCCAACAGCAAAUUCUUGCUGACUUAGCUGUUAUCAGAAAACAGCUAAAGAAAACCAGAAAACAGCAUAAGGUGACUACCCAGCAGUUUUCCCAAAUGCAUGACAGUGCCUCCAGAUCUAUCAACAUGAUCGUAAUGACCGGAGCUGCAGAUGAGGACGGAAUGAGAAGAACCAGAGAAAGCUAUCAAAGGACAAAAGUGUCCAGGCACUGGAAGAGCAAGCCCACAAAGCCAUGGCAUGUCUGGGAAGAAAAUGCAUCUGGCAACUGUCAAAAGGCAUUUUGGAGAAGCUAUGCUCCACCUCCACAAUAUCCAUGGCCCACUAAGGCUACAGGAUGGGAUGAGGAUAAAGAUACGGAUACUGAAACAAGUAUCUCCUCUGAUGACCAGAUCCCUCUUAUACCAAUUCUUAUGCAAAGAGCAAAUCCUCCAAAUCCAUUCUAUGUGGAUACUCGAGCUAGAUUUGCAGCAUCCACACCAACACAGGGUCAAACCUCUGAUCCUACAAGACAAGAGCAAACUCAACACCCAUCAGGAACAACCCAGUUCACUGCCCCAGAAUUCGCUAAUCCUGCUGCCCAACCAGAAGCAUCUGGAGUAGAAUCCACAAAUCAAGAAGACAGGGCACCACAUAUUGAUGAGGUAAAUCAGGGAGACGAAUGGGAAACCCGUGUCCAACUUGGGCAUUCUACGACGGGAAAAAUGUUCUGGAACAUCGAUAGAAUGAAGCCAAAAGAAAUAUUGGCUUACUUUGAAAAGAUGGUAGCUUGGUAUGAAGGAGAAUGCCAACGAACUCCCCAGUUGAGCAGAAGAUCGGCAGCAAUGAGACUUGUUGCAGGAUUCGUUGGAUCAUUGAGAAGAUGGUGGGGAAGAAAGCUCAGCAGAGAACAAAAGGAAUUCAUACUCAGCAGAGAAGACCCUUGUGGAAGCUUGGUAGAAAAUCUAUCCUUGGAUUUUCUCGGCCAACACACAAGAGAAGAAGAAGUAGCUGAAAAACAAUUUCUCCAGAACAAGUGUUGUGAUGUCCGAAAGAUGGAAGAGUACUACCUAGAGCAAGAAAGGUUGUACUACAUCUUUGACAAACAAACUGACACCAUCCACAGAACAUUCGUGCUAAACAUGCCAGGCCCAGUAGCGGAAAUGAUGGAGGCUAAAUUCAAAGCUGAUGCAAUUGUUGAUUUAGCACAGCUUAGCCUUGCUCAGCUCUAUCAGAUAUCUAUGGAGCUGAUCCAAAGUCAUUGCAGAUCUCAAGACUUAAGAAGGCACAUGAAGCAGAUUGAGAAAUCCUCUCUGCAAAAAUUCUGUAAUGAGGAACCAAACAAAUUUGGUUGCCACCAUACAGACAAAAUGUGCUCUUGCAAGAACAACAGGCAGAAAAGGCCAAAGAAACCCUGGAAGCCCUACAAAGGAAAGAAAUACCGUUUCAUCAAAAAACGAAAACAAAAGAAAGGCUCGGGGAGAUGUUUCAUUUGCGGAAAGAAAGGUCACUAUGCCAAACAGUGCAAAUCCAAGAAAAGACUUCCAGCAAAACUUCUCCAGAUGAUCCAGCAGGAAGAUUUUGAUGAUGACAUCUAUACCUGGUCAGAUAGCCCUACGGUGUUGUAUACACAAUGGAUAAAUAUCCUCUUUCAGACGACGAUGAUACAGAUUCUCUUUCUAGCACUGACAGUGAUUCUGAUGAUGAUCCUGUCAUGACCAUCCAUGAGCCUCUCCAAGCUAACCUGGCAAUGGCCCCUGCCUCUCUCUUCAGACCACAUAUAAAGGUUAUCCUCAACCCAUCUGAGGAUAAACAGGUAGCACUCACUGCUCUUAUUGACACUGGAGCAAUGUGCUCAUUCAUUCGAGAAGCUUGUGUUCCUUCCACCUUUUAUGUUCCUACUAAGGUCUCGUUUGGCUCCGCUAGUGGAAGUAACUUCUCCAGUAAAAAGAUUACCCGGCCUAUAGAAAUCCAGCCCUUUAUGAUAAGGCAUGGCUUCUUUGCCUUUGAUUAUUCAGGCGAAGAUAUCUUGCCAGGCACCGACUUUUUAAGUCUGAUUGCCCCUUUUGCCUUCUUUCCCGAUGGCUUCUCUUAUACCAUUCGGAAUCCUCACACGGGCACCACUAACACUUUCUGGGUACCCUGGGUUGAAAAACAAUCCAUUUUUGGGGAGGGUGGAAAACUACAAAAUUACACCAUCCAUAAAUAUGAACCCCAAAUUAAAGAACUCCUUGAAUGCUGUGCAGAAGUGCCAAACCAGUUUUGGGCUAGAGAACAACAUUUUGUGUCUCUACCAUACAAGGAUGGAUGGACCAUGCCUCACCAGACGGCCUCUCAUCCAGGCAUUCCUCAUGACGAAGAACUAUGCAAAACAGAGAUCCAGGCUCUUAUGGAUCUAGAGCUCAUCAGGCCCUCUAAGUCUCAUUGGGCUAGCCCAGCAUUUUAUGUCAACAAGCAUUCAGAACAGAUACGUGGAAAAAAGCGAUUGGUAAUUCACUACAGAAAACUGAAUGAUUGCUUGCAGGACAUAAGAUACCCCAUUCCACGGAGGACACACAUUUUAAAACGCAUUGCUGGUGCAAAAGUGUUUUCAAAGUUUGACAUGAAGUCAGGCUUUUGGCAAAUUGGGAUUAAAGAAGAAGACAGACACAAGACAGCAUUUGUGGUCCCCCACGGGCAUUAUGAAUGGAAUGUGAUGCCUUUUGGCCUAAAGAAUACACCGUCAGAAUUCCAAAACAGAAUGGAUGAGGUGUACAAAUCUAUCUCAGGAUUUUGCCUUAUCUACAUUGACGAUGCUCUUAUCUUCAGCAACAGUGAAGAAGAACAUGCUGAACACCUGUCCCAAUUCAAGGCACUAACCUAUAAACAUGGGUUAGCUUUGUCAGAAUCCAAAAUGAAGAUAGGCCUUGAUGAGGUGGACUUUCUAGGAUUACACAUCAAGCAGAGAUUCAUCAUUCCUCAGCCACAUAUAGCUGAAAAAAUAUCCCAAUUCCCAGACCAGCUGUCAACCAGAAAGCAGAUCCACCAGUUCCUCGGGAUAAUCAACUAUGCAGCAGACCAUGUGCAGGAUCUGUCAAAGAUGACGAGAGUCAGAUAUCAAAGCACUUAAAGAAGAGUGCCCCACAAUGGUCGGAAGACGCAACAAAAGCAGUGACAGACUUAAAGCAAAAGUGCCAGUCACUUCCACCAUUAAAGAUACCUGACAAGGGACAGCUCAUCCUCCAGACAGAUGCAAGUGACCAUUAUUGGGGAGCACUGUUGAUAGAGGAAUCCGAGGGAAACAGAAAAGUGUGUGGCUAUAAAUCAGGCCAGUUCAACGAUGCUCAAAGCCACUACCCCUCCUCCAAAAAAGAAGUCUUAGCAGUUGUCAAAGGGAUCAAAAACUUUCAAUUCUUUCUUUCACUAACUCCCUUUGUGAUUGAAACAGACUACAAAUACCUACAGGGAUUACUCAGGAGAAAAGAAGGAGAAAUACCAGAUCCACAGCUUGCAAGGUGGUCUGAGUCUCUCUCGAGAUUCAAGUUUGAAGUAAAGCACAUCAAAGGAGAAUCCAACACUGUUGCGGAUUUCCUUUCCAGACCGAUCACCAUGAUCAAAAGAAGAAGCCUUCCAAAAAGAUGGGACGAAGGCAGUUCUAGUGCUCACGCAGCCCGAGCACACUUUCUCAAAGAUCUUAACAUCUUCAUUGCUUGGCUUCCUUCGGAAGUUCAAGAUGACAUCUUUGAGAAAGUCAUCUGCCACAAAAGAGAUCCAGAAGAUCAAGCUCUGACAUGGCGGGUAUGGCAGCUCAUGGCCAUGCAGGAACACAGACCUGCCCAUAACAAACAAUGUCAAAGAGCUUUUGAUCCACAUCCAAAUCCUGACCAGAUGCAUGAAACGGUCUUCAAGGUCGGUUGCACCUUCCACUAUGUAAUAGACGAGAACUCCAACUGGGGUCACUAUGUUAUCUGCGAUAUAACCCCUCAAGCCUAUUACAUAACUUGGUACUGGCCCAACAUUUACCCAGUGGCAAUCCUGUUUGAACCACAUCUGAUCCAUACCAGCAGGAGAUAUGGGAAGGGAAGAUGGUUCGACCGAAUGUUCGCUCCUAUCUUCGAAGACAUCCUAACACUCCGGCUAAUCAACGGAUAUCACAUCACUCACUCUACUAUAGUGAUUGUGAAACUCACAGAUAUCUGGGGAAGAUACAAGCAGCCUCUUGUGCAGGUGGUCCAGCAUGACCUCAACCAUGAAGAAAUUGAUUCCAUGUGGACAGGCUGUUGGAAUGCUAGAAAAGCUUUAGCUGAGGUAUACGGAACUAUUCCAAUGUAUAAUACUCAUAGCCCCGUAUCUUCACAAGUCUGCAGUACUCCGGACCUCUACUACAGAGAGGAGAUCAGGAAUCUCAAGCUUCAUGGAGAAGAAGAUGAAGCAGCAGACUUGCAGCAGUGGUAUAAUGAUUACCUCACUCGCCAUGGCAGGCCAAAAGAAGUCACUUAUCUGGACACUCCAGAUAUUGAAAGAUGGAGGAACGAGCUUGAAGAAAUGGCCCAUUGGCUAGACCUCCAAGAUUGGCCCCAACCUGAGUUAGACCCCCAGCCGGAUAACAUUGAAGAUCCCAUAUGGCCAAAUAUGGGAGAAGAUAUGGAUGCAGCAUCCGAAGAACGAUGGAACCACAGGUCAGGACGUAGCACACCAACAAGUGGCAACUCUGGACUAUAGCGGAAGCUUAGUGGACCCUACAGUGGAAGCAAUGGUGAUAAUAAUAUAUGUAUUUGCAUUCGUAUGUAUUGUGUACCAUCCUUUGUGAUAAGGAUGAGAGUGUGAGUGUGACAUAAAGUAAGGAGUGAGUUGUAAAGUAGAUUCCUUAGAGAUAAGGAUCAAUAAUGACUACAGUGUGUAAUAGUGGUUCCCUUGUGCCUAUAAAAGGGAACCCUUGGUUUGUAUCUAGGCAUCGAGUCUUGGAGCCUAAAUCUAGUGUAUUGUAAAUCUCUCAUUCCUCUUAAUGAAGUAACCUUCCUCUGUUCUGAAAUAAACCCAUUUCAUGGUUAGACCAUUGACCUGAAUUAAUACCUUAAUGGCAUCUGUGAGAGAUGGCUUGUGUAUGUCAAGGGUGAAGUUGGGUUCAACUUGGAGAACAACAUGACCUUGGUUGAGUCCUGCUUCGACAGCAAUGAGAAGAAAAUGCACUUUUUGGAAUCUCAGGCUGAAGGAUUUUUGGUGCUUUAACUAAUCUCAUUUGACAAUGUAAAUAUAUGGCUUCAAUUUCUUUAAAUGUAAUAGCAAGUGUUGUUUUCGACCUCUGUUCUUUUAUGCAUUGCUUACAUGCCGUGAUUUCAUUAACCUAAAUUUAAGAACUGUUUGAGGGAAAUACAUCGAGGAGACCAGACGUGAUGAGCAGGUGUUUGGUGGUGGAGUUCUGCGAGCAGGAAUAUUCUCCUCGUCCACGAAUAUGCCAUUCGCGAGACCGAAUUCAUGUUAGAGGCAUAAGGUCAUUCCUGCUAAGGGUCGAGGCGAGGAGACCCGGUCAACGGCAGUUGGCAAGACGUGCCUUCCUAUCCGAGAAUCAAGGCACGAGGUCCAUCUCCAUUUGCCCACAAUGACGACAAUGGGGCAUCCACAUCCGAGGGUGGGGAGAAUAACGGGCGUAAACUGCGGAAGAUCGGGACUCAGAGGAAGCCUAUAAAAAGGUAGCCAACAAAGGUAAAAGGGUUAGAUUUUUUGCUAUUUGAACUAAGAAAAUAGAGAACUCGAAGGUCUGAGAUUAGUGAAAAGCCAUAAGAUCCGUGGCAAGCAUUCCCAGAACCUUCAUAUCUGACUUGAGCGUCGGAGGGUUUACGCCGGGAAAACAACCGGCGUGCUCUGACCUGUUUCUGUGGACGCAAGGAUACUUAGAGAAGAAAGCGUACGAGGAGAGAUCCUGAUCGAGGUGAGGUUGAUCGAGCAGACAUCCUGGUCGUUGGAAGGUGUAACCAGAAUCUCGCAUCAACAAGAACAAUUUCAUAUAAUUUUUUUUCUGCUUUUCUUUUAUCAUUUAAAAACAAUACUACGCACACACACACGCAUAUAUUUCAGAAAGCAUUUAAACAAAGCAACCGAACGUUGCUGGUUUCUAUUAUUACAUCGACAACAAUAAAGCAAAGAAGCAACUGAAAGUUAUCUUCAUAUGAGAAUGAAAGCUUUUCAGCAGCAUAAACCUUUCACUAUUCAAUUCCAAACAUGUUCCUCAACAUGAUAACAAAUUCGUAGACCUUUUCUAGGUCUAGAAGGAUCCUGGCAACAGUAUCUCUUUGCAUGCACUUGUUCAUCCAUGCUGAGAAUUUGGGGCACUCAUUCUCAAGCUUAAAUCCCCCAAAUUUCUCAACCGCGUAAAACCAACAAGUCAGUGGAAUGGAAAUGACAUCAACGAAUCCAAAGCUAUCCCCGCCAAAGAAAUCCUUCUCCCCUAAAGCGCCCUCAAGUUGCUUCAAAAUCUCUAUAAAUUCAUUCUUCGCGGUCUCUGGGACCUCGCCCUUGCUUUUCCAUAUGUUGCAUACUGCAUCGAAUACCUGCCAAAAAAGUGGUGUCAUCUUUUAAGUUCACAUUUAGAAAGAUACAAACAUUUACACUUGAGAAUUAUAGACUGACCUUCUUGUCAAUAAAAUCUUGCCUUAGCUCUCUCAUAAGCACAGGAUGGGAGAAGUGGUGGCGAAGGCCAAGUCUCGUCAAUGUAGUUAACUAUAAUAGUGGAUUCACACAAUGGUUUCCCAUCGUGCAGCAAAACUGGGACUUUCUUGUAGAUGGGUUUGAUUUGAGCAACAGGUCACUCUUGCCCCCAAACAAGUUCUCAGCUCUGGCUUCAUAUUCAACUCCUUUCUCAGCCAAUGCAAUCUUUGCUCUCAAGCAAAAUGGGCUAGCCCAACAAUCCAAAAGAACAACCUCUCCCUUCGACAUAUUCACUUUCUUUGUUCUUGUUUCUUUUACUUGGUUGAUAGUAAUUAAACCUUGAGUAUCAAGGUUGGCAUUUAUAAAGGAUAAAAGAUGAAAUUCCCAAAGUUUGUGUCGCAAUCAACGUUUGUUCGUUGGCACUUCCUUAAAGGAUGUGGCAUUAUUCUUAUCAUUUCUUAGUUUUUGAAGCUAACUGUUUUACUUGGCUUUCAACAUGCACAAGAACAAGUUUGUCUUGUGCAUACGGAGUUUACUAUGGACAAGCCGAAUUGUAAGUAACCAUUUACACUAAUCAAUCGGUAUUGUCCAAUGAAAAUAAGUAAUGUAAACUUAUCAAAAAAAAAAGUAAUGUAAAAAGUGUCUAGGAUUUUGCCUAAUAUUUCUUAAAAUAGGCUAAUUAAGCCCAAUUCUGGUGCUAGAUUGGUUCAACUUUGAAUCAAACUUGGAAACAUUUUGCUUUAGAUUAUUAUUAUUAAUUUAGAAGAGUCAAAAAGCUAAGAGUAUCGUUGGUAAAGCUCAAACAUGUGUAAUAUCACAUAUUACUUCUUUUUUUUUUUUAUACAAGUAAUAUCACAUAUUACUAGUGAGUGAGUUUCAUAAACUUUCCUAUUGAAAAAGACACAUUUUGGGUUGUAAAUCCUAACACAAUAUUUAUUCAGUUGUUGAGCCUGAAAUAUUACAGAUAUAUCAAAUAUUAUUUGAUGUGGGCGCACAACCCUGCGUCUUCUUAAUUAGGACAACCAAUGAAACCCUGCGUCUUCUUACAUAACUUGUAUGUACACAUUGGCGGGAUAUCCCAAUUAUGUACUCGUUUGUCUUCAUGUGUUUUAAAAAAAUCUAUUGUAAUGGAUAUAUUGUAAAUUUAUCUAAUUGCUUGUUAUAAUGCUUCUAUUGCGGUGUUAUUCGAGCUGUCAUUUUCAGUUUUAUUUUGUUUUUUCUUUAAACAUAGUUAAUUUGAAAUCCAUUACACUUGAAUCAUCAAAUAAGUGAUUCUCGAACAUAAUUGCUGUUGUUACUCGAAUAAGAAAAGAAAACAAAGUAUAGCUAAGAUAAAAGCAAAUGGAAAUGAGAGCAACGUGAUUUUGCAAAGAGAACUUCACACUAUCAUAAAACCAAAAACAUUAAAAUUUAAAACUUAAAUAACAACACACCAAAGCCAAAUAACGACCCACUAGAAUCAUGGUCCAAAGAUUGUACCAUGAUCACAACAUGAACUACAAAAAAAUAACCAACACCUGAAAAGUAGGAACAGUUUGAAACUUUCAACUAAAGUGGGAAAGACCAGGAUGGCACUGCAUGCCCAGCCCACCAACAUUAAAUGCUUUUUUCCCUUAUAAUUUAUCAGUCACAUAAUUUAGAGUGAAGACUUUAAUGCUGUGUUUACUUGCUGGAGUGGGAGUGAGGAGUGUGGAUUCCUCCCACUCCAGCGUUUACUUUCUCUGAAUGGGAAGGGAGUGGGAAUUCCACUCCGUGGGCCCCACCCAUUUUUGGAGUGGGGAGUGGGAGUGGGACUCCCAUAUUCCCACUCCCACCUCUCCCUUUUUUACCCUUUUAUUUUUUUAAUUUAAUUUAAUUUAAUAUUUUAUAAUUAAUAAAAUAAAAUAAAUAUUAUUAUAUUUAUUUGAAUAAUAAUAUUAUAUUUAACUAAAUAAUAAUUUGCAUUGAUUCUAAGUUAAAAUUAUUUUAAAAUAAUAUUAUUAUAUUAAUAGAGAAUUAAUAAAUAUAAUAUUAUUAUAUUUAUUUUAAAAAUAAUAGUACUAUAUUUAUUUAAUAUUAAUAAAUAGUUUAUUCUAAGAAAAUAUUAAUUUUGUACUAAAUAAUAUUAUAUUAUUAUUUUAUAUAAUAAUAAAUUUAAUAUAAUUAUAUUAAAUAAAAUAAGGUUUCAUUUUGUAUUAAAAUUAAUAAUUUAUUGUUGAUAAUUAAGAAUAUUAAUAAUUAUAAUAAAUUUACAAAUAUAAUAAAAUAAAUAUUAUUCAUUAAAUAUAUUUUUUAUUAGUUUUGUAAUUAAAAAUUAUAAUUCUUUAAAUAAGAAUAAAAUUGUAAUUUGAAACUAUUUACUCCCAAUCCAAGACAAAGUAAACACAUAAAUUGGAUUUUGAUCUCUAUUCCAUGCUUCCAUUCCAGUGUAAGUAAACAACCUACUCUCACUCCCACUCCACACUCUCAAUCCUAGGAUUUCCACUCCUCAGGAUUCCCAAUCCAAUCCAAAAAGUAAACGCUACCUAAAAGCAAAUAAAUGAAUUGGCUGAAUCUAGCUAGGAUGCCAGGAUGGGCACGGAUCCACAGAUAACAAGUAACAGUCUUUAAAUCUUCUGUUGUAAGUUCUUACGCCCCUUUUUUUUUAUACGACGAACCCCCGAUUCUACCCUCCAAAAUCAACAAUAGAGAAUUUAGUCUUAGCCUCUCAAGAUGCACUCAAACCUAAGGAUGGCAAUGGAUCAGAUCUGACCCAAGAUCCAUGUGAUCCAAAUCCAAUUGGAUCGAAUUUGGGUCGGAUUAAAAUAGAUUUGGAUCGGAUUUGGAUAUCGAUGCGUGGAUCUAAGGCGGAUCUGGAGCAAAUUCAGAUUUAUCUUAAUAUCUAUAUCCAAAUCCAUAUCCACUCACCAUUUAAUGUAAUUUUAUUUUAAAAAAUUCUUAACAAUUAUGUAAUUAUAAAUGAUGAUAAAAUUUAUUCAUUAGCAUGUAUUUAAGAAUCUUAAAACUUAAAGGUACUUAAUUGAUAAUAAGAUAAAAAUUUAUCAAGUGUAAAAUAAAAUUAGGAUAGUCUGCCCUAAUUUUUUUAAGUUUUUCACUCUACAAUUUAGUCUCUUUUUUCCUCUUUAGUCUACUCUCGCUUCUCCACUUCAUUUGAAUGCUUGGAUCAGUUCUUUAAUUGUUAGGAAAAUCCAUAGACUUGAGUUUAUUUUUCUAUCAUUUUCUCAUAAUCUUAUUUAUUUUGUAUAAUCACUAAUCAAUGGUGGCUAUCAACUAUAAAAUAAUUAUGUUAAUCAUAUAUUUAGUUAAAUAUGAUCAUAAUAAAAAUAAUAAAGCACUGAAUAUAAUAAAUCAUUUUUAACUUAUAUGUUAUUAUUUAAUGAUAUAGGAAUGAUGAUGGUGUGCAGUGGAUAUCAAGAUAGUAAAUGAGACAUUAGAAUAUUAUAAUGAUCUUAUUCAUGCAAUUACUUUUUAUCGAUAUUUUAUUAUCUUUUUUAUUUGUUUAUUUUGGUGUAAAAGCAGAAGCUACAAUACUUAUUAGAUUUUUUGUACAAAUUAUAUAAUUUAAUUGUUACCAAUGCAUUUUAGUCUUAAAUUUUUUUUCUAAAAAAAAUUGAUCUCUUAUUAUUGAGAUUUAGAAUUCAUGAUGGAUCUAGAGCAUAUUUAGAUUGUAAUUUUUCAAUUUGGAUUUGGAGCAGAUAUAGAUCUUUAUUUUUGUUUCGAAUCUAGAUAUGGAGCGAAAAUAUAGAUCCAUAACGGAUCUGGAGCAGAUACAGAUCUUAAUUUUUAUUACGGAUCUGGAUAUGGAGCAAUGUAGAUCCAAUCCAUAUCUGCUCCAUUGCCAUCCCUACUCAAACCUUGAGUAUGGUUUUUACUUACGUAUUAUCGAUUAUGAUUUUAACUAAUCUCUCUUGUCAACGAACUUUUGGUUGAUUAUGGACGCCUUUUUUUUUUUAAUCUAAACAAUAUAAGAUUUCGUACAAAUUGAAUUUGUAUAGACCUCAUCAUUUGGAACUUGUGUUGUAUCCAAAAAUAUCACCCAACCCAAAGAAAAUAAGUUCAAUUCUAUAACUCAUUCAUUUUUCUUAUAGCCCAAUGGAUUGAGAGAAUAGGCGUCAGAGGAAACUUUAUUUCAAUAUAUAAAUAUAGGCUUGCAUACAAUGCAAAAUCAUAUAUUCGAACCAAUAGGCGAAGCAUUGUCCCUCGUUGAUCCACAUGAGCCAACUAGUCAAAGUGGAUCCACAUGAGCCACUUUACAGACUGGGCAUGCAUUGCAACUGUUCAUUUUUGCUUCUGCCAAUAAAGAGUUGAUAGUAACCAAAGAUUGUAUUCUUUAUUGUCAUUUGAGAGUAACCAAUUACUUAGGCAGUCACGUAAGUUGCUGGUUGGCCUCGCACAUUUUUGACCAGCUUGUUUCUGAAGGAAACCAGCUGAGCUGCAACCUCUUCCAUGCUCAUUCGUUCUCUCGGCAACUCUGAAGAGCAAGUGACUCCGAUUGCCAGUACUGAAACCAAGCACUCUUUAACACUAAAACUUCUGGUCCAUUGUUUGUGAGCAUUGGCCUUGCUUGUCUCCCCUUCUUCUCUUUCUACAAGAAGCACUGGAUCAACAAUUUCAGCGAGUCUUUCAGGAAGAGCUUCCUUGACAAAAUUAUGUAGGGUUAGAUUGCCUGUAAACAUCUCAUUCGUCGGCCCCUUUCCUGUAAACAUUUCCAGCAAGAGUAUUCCAAAACUGUACACAUCUCCACUUGUUGAGACUUCGCUCCCCAUUCCGUACUCUGCAAUUCGAAAACUAAAAUUGUUGGUUCAACUAGUAAAAUCUCUAAGGAUUGAAAGACAAGUUAAUUAAAUUAUUGUAUUUACCUGGUGCAGCAUAACCAACGGUUCCUUUUACUCCAACAGAGCUUGAUUGAUUAGAUGACAAGUUAUUGGUGGCUUCCGGAAGGAAUUUUGCUAAUCCAAAAUCACCUACAUGGGCAGUCAAUUCACCAUCCAGAAGAACAUUGCUUGGCUUGAGAUCACAAUGGACUAUUGGAGUUUCGCAAUAAUGAUGAAGAUAAUCCAAUGCGGAAGCAACAUCAACGGCAAUAUUCAGUCUUUGCAGGAGAUUUAAGUUCCUUGGUGCCUCAGCGUUCGGAUGCAACCAUUCCUCCAGGCUCCCGUUGACCAUGAACUCAUAAACUAAAGCCUCGAAAUCAUUUCCUUGGAAGUCAACACUUGCACAGGAAGUUAUUAUUUUGACAAGAUUCCGAUGCCUAAUACUCCUCAAGGCUUGACACUCCGCUAUGAAACUCUUUGAAGCUCCACGAUGCUGAAGAUUAAGUACCUUAACUGCCACCAGCGUUUCAUGAUCAUCGUGACUGAGGAUUCCUUUAUAGACCGAACCAAAGCUACCGGCACCAAUCAAGUUUUCCAAAGAGAACCCAUCAGUUGCUUUGAACAGAUUCUCAUAGGACACUCGUAAAACCGAAGCCAAGAAUGCUGAUGGAGUGGCCGGCUCCCUUUUUGAUUUGCUCCGCCAGGAAGUAAUUAUAAAACACGACAUCCCUGUCACUAACAAAAUUACUGUAACUACAGGAAUCAUCAGUUUCAGGGAACGGGAACGUGACUGCUUGGAUUCUUUGAUGGAACAAGUAGAUAAAUGCAACUCAGAUAUGCCACCACAGAGGUUAUCAUUUCCAUCAAGAGAUAUAGCACUUGAAUUGCUGAAGACUCCUUUUACUGGUACUUCACCCUCAAAAUGAUUAAAAGACAGAUUUAAAUUCUGCAAAAAGGGAAAGUUUUCCAAAUAUUUUGGAAUCCGGCCGGACAAAUUGUUCCGCGAAAGAUCAAGAUUCUCAAUGCCUCUCAAAGAACUGAAUGACGAAGGUAUAUUCCCUUGAAAGAAAUUACCAUUCAUGAUGAGUUGCACCAACAAAAUGCAACUUCCUAAACUACUUGGAAUUUCACCAGACAAUUUGUUCUCAGAUAUAUCUAUAAAACCCAGAUUUUUCAAGAUACCAAAAUUUGAGGGCAUAGGACCAUUCAACUGGUUUUGAGAUAGAUCAAGAUAGAUUGACAAGGAAGAGAGGCCAAUUACUUCAGUGGGUAUGGUACCACUGAGGUUGUUAUUAGAAAGAUUUAAUGAUAUUAAGUUUUGGCAUUUCCCCAGACUUGAUGGAAUGCUUCCCUCUAACAUGUUUUCCUCAAAAUUUAGUGUAGUUAACAAUGUCAAAUUUCCUAUAGAAGAUGGAAUUUCCCCCCAAAACUUGUUCCCCUUCAGGCCCAACCUCUGCAGCUUUUGAAGAUCUCCUAUACUUUCCGGAAUUCGGCCUGUGAAUUUGUUGCCCCCCAGAUGUAAAAGCUCCAAGUUAACAAGAUUUCUUAAUCCACUUGGGAUAUUUCCGAACAACUGAUUGUUUCCAACUGAUAAUAUUGCAAGUCGGUUUGACAAGUUCCCUACUGUUUCAGGUAACAUUCCACCAAAAUUGUUAUCACUAAUUUGCAGUAGCUCUAGUCUAGAAGCGUUAACCAAAGAAUUGACAAAUUCCAAGUUAUCUUUUUCCCCAUAAUUUCCUAAGUGAUUCUGAGAAAUACUAACCCAUUGGAGUUUAUGUAAAUUUUCCAAACUAGGCACCCUUCCACUGAAUCCAUUCUUUGCGAUUGUAAGUCUCAUUAGAUUUGAGGCAUUGGAUAUUGAAGCCGGAAUAGGUCCGGUAAACUGAUUACCACCAACGUUUAGUACUUCAAGUUUAGGAAGAGUGAAGCCUAAGUCUGAUGGAAGGCUUCCUUGAAGUUGGUUAAAAGGAAAAUAAAAACCACUAAGCCAAGACAAGUUGUAGAUUGAAAAGGGGAUUUCACCUGAUAGCUUAUUUGCUCCAAACGAUAUAUAACGCAUCAUCUUAAGCUCGCUCAGGGUUUCAGGAAUUUGUCCCACAAAUUGAUUUGCAGCUGCUGAGAGGACCUGGAGUGAUGACAAAUUGCCGAAGGAAGGUGGGAUUUCUCCUGACAAAUUGUUGGAGUGUAUUACGAGAAUCCGGAGCUUUGGUAAGGAGCCCAGUUUCCCUGGAACUUUCCCCACUAGCUCAUUGAAGUCUAACCAGAGGGAUUCAAGGUUAACGCAAUGCGAUAUGUUGUCAGGAAUUUGACCUCCGAAUGUAUUGUUGUCCAGCCUUAAAAUUCGUAACCUGAACAGAUAUCCAAUCGCUUGAGGGAUUUCGUUGCGGAGGCUAUUGUUUUUUAGAUCUAACACUCUGAGAAAACUCAAAUUACCAAUGUGAGGCGAAAGAGACCCCUGCAAGAGUAAAGAUGGAAGACGUAAUCCAGUCACCCUUUGGUGCCGUCGACUGCAAGUGACACCUUUCCAUUGACAAAAGUGCCUGGAAUAGUUCCAUGAACUCAAAACCUCAAGAGGGUCAUGAGUAACUUUGGCCUUGAAUUCAAGCAAUGCAAGUUGAUCAGUUUCAUUGCUUUUGAGCAUAUAAUCGGUUGACUGCAAGCUGAAGCUGACGCAACAGAAAAUAAAGAAACAAAUGCUUACAAUGAUUGAACUCAUCAUGUUUACAAAAUCCAUUUAACUGCCGAAAGGAAAUUAAAAUGAUAAAACUUUUAUAGAGGUUGGUAAGAUAAACUAUGUUUGUAUAUUUUUUGCAAUGAUUUAUGGACUCUGUACUUGAUGCUCAAAUGUGAACCGGCUGGCACCGUGACAGUGAAACUAAUGCUUUUUAUUUUUCUAAUAAUAUUAAUUAUCAAAUUUAUUACUAUUGUAAGAAUAAUAUAAUACAGCUUUUCCUUUAAGGAAGACCCGCCACACUAACUUUUGACGCUCUAUCAGUUUCCAGUAUUUUGUCAUUUUGUAUUGUAGUGCUUAAUCCACAAUGAAUAUAAAACAAUUUAAUCAACAUUAUUAGAAAAAGAAAAAAAGUAGGAGAAGAAAGUUAAGUAUGAUGGAUGGAGGGUCAGAUUACUGUUAAAUGACUUAAAGGUUUAAAGCACCACAGGAAUCAACGUUUCACAACGCUUUUUUCCCUUUCUGAAAUAUUCGGUGCAUUAGUUGACUAGAAUUAUAAUAUAUCAAACAACUACAAGAAAUAUUUUAAUUUAUCAUUUUACUAUUAUAUAUUUACAUAACUUAUCAUUUUACUAUAUUUCCGUAGUACCAUUAGUUGACUAGAAAAAUGUUAAUUUUACUUUUGAAAAAAAACACAAAUGGAUAUAUUAAAUAUUUUUAGCUACUUUUUAUUUUGAAUUUAUAAUGUUGUAAUACUUUGUGUUAUUAUUACUUUUUAUUUUGCAAAAACAAAUUAUAUAAAGAGAAAAAUUAAUAUUUUAUCAAUUAACUAAUUGAUCUAUAUUAAUUGAAAUAUAAUAAAUUAAUAUUUUAUCAAUUAACUAAUUGAUCUAUAUUAAUUGAAAUAUAAUAAAAUAAUAUUUUAUUUUUAAAUAUAAUAAAAUAAUUUUCCCAUGAAAGAAAAUGAUGAGUUGUUUCAACGUAAUGCAGCUGCCUAGACUACAUGGAAUUUCACCAGGCAAUGACAAUUUAUUCUCAGAUAAAUCUAACGCCACAACAUUUAUCUAGUCACCCAAAUUUGCAGGCGUUCGUUUUGAGACUUGUCAAAACUUUUUCCAAAAAUUCGGGAUUCAGGUCAUAUCAGGCCGGUUAUGUUUUGAAAAACUUGUAAAUUAUCAGUGAUCAAACUUCAAAACUUUGCAAAUAGGUCAAAAUACGGAAAAAAACUUGAUAUAUUAUUGAAUACUCAUUUUGUUUUGCAUUAAUAUAACGCUAUGGGUGAUAUCUAGUUCUGUUGGUAAAAUUUCUUGGGUUGAAAACAAGAAAACUAGCAUUUCAAACUCACUCAUAUGGAUGGGAAAGAAAUUUAGUUAUUAUUGGAUUAAAAAAUAAUAAUGAGAAUUAGAAAAAAAUUAUAAGGCUUCAACGAGAUUUGCUAAUCAUGUAUAGAUUAAUAUGGAGAUUAAGAACAUCACCUAAGCUAAUUAUUGAACUUGAAAGUUUAGGAGAAAAAAUUAUAUGGGUUUGGCCAUCAAUUUAGCAUUCGGAACUUAUUGUUUAGGAAGCUACGGCGGGUUUCGUAGUGGGACUUAUCCUCUUUAAUGCAUAUGGUGAUUUUAAACCAACAUAUAUAUAAUCCUAUUAUAAAACUCAUCAAACCUUCUAAAAUAACAUGUUGAGAUAGUGUGCUAGAUCCAUAUAAAUAUUUCUCCAACUUCUUAGCUUGAAGCGAUAUUCAUUUCCAUUGAUAGUUUAAUGGGCAAAGCCUUUUGAAUUCUCCAUGUUAUCAAGUUAACUUUUGCUGGAAAAUGCAAUGCGGAUAUGAAUAGAAUUUUUUGUGCAAACAAUUUUUCUAUGUUGACACAUCCUCUGGAACUUUCAGUAAAUUUUAUGGAGAAGCUUCAAUUUCUUGGUUGUUGAUUUCGAAUACAUUAAGCUCUUAUUUGGUAUUAAAGUAUUGUGGGCUAAAAGCUAUAGUUUUUAUGGAAAGAAAUUUGUAAUUGCGAAAUAAAAGUUGAUUCAGUGUGAUAAAUAUAAUUUCAGAAUAAAAAAUAAAGUAAACUUCGAAAUUAUAAUAGUAAGUAUUUAUUAAAUACUUUAGUGUUGCAGUAACUGUUUACUACAAUAUCAAAUAGGGGGCUAGUACAACAAGUUGUUAUAUUAAAAGUCUCCCAAAAAGGAAGAAGUGACUUAAAAAAUUAAAAGAAUGCAGGAGCUGAAGUUGGCAAUUUUGUAAAUUGCAAUGGCGAUUGUGAUAUAGUAAAAUCCUUCAAUGAAUCACAGCACUAGCGAUUUCGUAAUAUACAGUAGCGGCAAUUUUGUAAAAUUGAAGUAGUGAUAGUUUUGCAAAUAAAAGUAAAAACUUUUUCCCAAAAUUUGGCUGAGCAAAAAGCCAGCUUAGCCCACACUCUCCUUCGCCACUGGUUGAUGAGCUCUUCCUUCAAUUUUUGAACUUGAAGUGAUGCCCCAUCAACGUCCAGAAUUUUUAAAGUCUCCCCACUGUACAAGUUAAACAAUAAAGUCAGAAUGAUGACGGAGUUACAAACAAUCAAAUAUGAUCCUAAUGAUUCUUUUUAUACACUCACCCGUGCAUUGAUGUGUUUAAUUGAUAUAUAUUUAAGCAGAAAUUGAAGUUUGAACCUGAUUAAUUAGAUGCGAACACACAUUCAUGAGUAAUUACUUAAAAUUAAUUAACCAAAAGAGUAAAUAUAGGAGGAAAUCGAUCAUAUGCGUGCGGACACCACAAUCGAAUUAUAUAUUUAUAUCACCACAGCACAUAAAUUUUAUUCGAAUGAUAUAUGAUUAAUUAAUCAAUUUUUAAUAACAAUUAAAUUAUAAUGUCAAUUGUGCACAUAAGAUUUUUUUUCUUGAUGAAAUUAUGAAAGUUAGUAAUUAUUUUCCAUUUUUUAAAUAAUAGUUGUUAAUACAAAUCAAAAAAAUAUUGGGACUUGAGAUCAGGGUCUACUUGAGUUAGAAUUUUUUAUUAGAGAAGCUAUUAGCCAGCAAUACAAAAUAAAGAAGCAACACAAGAUAAAGAGUAAUAUAUUAUAGAAAGAUUUUAUUCGUUUCAAGUGUGUAUCAAACAAAGAGAUAUUUAUAGUUACAUAAUUACUACAUGAAAUUAAUGAAAACAUUAUGGAUCAUACUUCCUUGCGAGAUAGUGAAAGUUAUAGAGAAGGCAAAGGUUGCUAGUGGAAGAUAGUAGAGAGAUUAAGAGAUGUAUGUUAUAAACAUCCAGAUUUAUUUUAAUAAAUUCAUAGCAUUUUUUCCCCUCAAAUAAUAGGGUGUAGAGAACAAUUGGAAGGAGUUUACGCAGCCUAUAAAUUAAUACUCUGACGAAUUAAUAUCCUCUAUUAUAUAAUGACUUUUUUUAAGCACACUAAUAGGCUAAAAUGACAGUUCCAAUAAAUAAAUAAAAUAAUAUAUUUUUUUUGAAAACCCUUACAUAAUAUUGUGGUCCUACUCAUAUCAUAAAUUAAUAAUUUUUAAAUUAUAUAUAAUUAUUACACAUAAAUUAUAUAUUUUUUAAUAAAUUCAUAAUAUUUUUUCUCAAAUAAUAGGGUGUAGAGAACAAUUAGAAGGAGUUUACAAGACUCGCCUAUAAAUUAAUACUCUGGCGAAUUAAAAUCCUCUAUUAUAUAAUAAUUUUUUUUAAGGUUGCUAGUAGGCUAAAAUGAUAGUUCCAAUAAAUAAAUAAGAUUAUAUUUUUUUUUAAUGAAAACCCUUACAUUACAUUAUGGUCCUACUCAUAUAAUAAAUUAAUAAUUUUUAAAAUUACAUAUAUAAUAUUUUAUUUUAAAAAUAUGAUUUUAUUUUUUAUUAUUUUUUCUUGAAAUUUAAAUAUAGUUAGAUUUCAUCUCUAAUUUUUCUUAUUACUUUUGAGGUUAAAUUUUGAAAUUGCAAAAAUUUUGAAUUUUUUUGGUUAAUUAAAUCUGCAGUGAGUGUAUAAGAUGAUUAGAUUAGUAAAAUAUAAUAAAUUUUUAGUUGAUUAAAUAUAUGUUCAUUUAAUAUGUCUUGUGUAUACAGAGUUUACUAAGGACAAGCCGAAUAGUAAGUGAGCAUUUACACUAAUCAAUCGUGUUGAGUUGUGUCUCAUAUUGGCUAGUAAAGGGGAGAUACUUGGGUUUAUAAGAAGGUAUGUCACUCCACCUAAAAGACUAGUAUUUUGGGUUGGAUACCUAGAAAUCUUAUGUUAAGUCCCCUCAACAAAUCGGUAUUGUGCAAUGAAAAUAAGUAAUCUAAAAAUUGCCUAGGAUUUUGCCUUAUAUGUCUCAAAAUAAGCUAAUUAUGCCCAAUUAUGGCACUUGAUGGUUCAACUUUGACAUCAAAGUUGGAAACGUUUUUCUCUAGGGUGAGGCUAUUUGCACUUGAAUAUCUACUUUGAACACUCAUUUACUCAGCGCACUCAAUUAAUAAUUUCAAACUAUUAAAUUUUACUUGGAACACUCUUUUGAAUUCCUAUAUUAUCCACAUUUCUUUAAUUACUUUAUUUCUUCUUUGUACCCAAUAAAAUAUUCAUCAUCACAAACAAAAUAUCUAACUUUUUUUUUCCAUUUUUAUUCACUUUUAUUUUCUGUUCAUAAUCUGUUUUGAUAUGUAUUUGUUCUUCUCUUAUUGCUACAAUUUAAUUCUGUUUGUCAACCCAUAAAAGCAUGCGAAUUGAGUGAAAAUCAAAGUGCAAAUUUAAAACAAAAUCCUUUGAUUUACUUGCGUUUUCUUAUGUUGGAGUGGUGCAAUUUGUUGUUUGUCCUCCACCUCUAUUUUUAAUUCCUUUUGUUUCAGUUAUAAAGAUGAUCAUGAACAUGUUACUUGAUGUUUUCCUAGCAAUUCUAUUAACCAAAAAAAUGAAAAAAAAAAGUUUAGUCCAUAAGUAUAGACAAUGUUUUCAUUUGAAUAUUGAUUCAAUUCUUCGUUGUUAAUGUGGUUUAUUGUAGAUAAAAUAUAAUGUUAGAUAAAAAUUUGUUAUACUGUAUUUUAUAAUUGUCCUUAAUAGAAAAUUACAUUAAGGUUAAUUUAGUAAUAUAAAAAUUAUUAAAUGUGAGUGUCCAAAGUAAAUUUUAGAGUGCAUAUAGUCUCACCCUUUUCUUUGUGUUAUUAUAAUUAAUUUAGAAAGAGUUAGAAAGCUAAGAGUAUCCUUAGUAAAGCUCAAAUAUGUAAUACAUAUCACUAGUGAGUGAGUUUCAUAAACUUUCCUAAUUAAGUAGAUGAAUUUUGGGUUGUAAAUCCUAACACAAUAUCUAUUCAGUUGUUGAGCCUAAAAUAUCACAACUAAAUCGAUAUUGUCCGAUGUAGUCAUGCAACCCUACAUCUUCUUAGUUAGGACAAUUCAUGAAACCACUUAUUUGGGAUGUAGGAGAUGAUACAAAAUUUGUAUGUGCACGUUGGCUUAAUAUCCCAAUUACACACUCGUUUGUCUUCAUGUGCUCCGAAAAGAUCUAUUGUAAUGGAUAUAUUGUAUCUUUAUCAAAGUGCUUGUUAUAAUGAUUCUAUUGUGGUGUUAUUCGAGUUGUCACUUUUAGUUUUUGAUUAUCUUUUUUAAACAUAGUUAAUUUGAAAUGUUCUUUAAUAUCCAACACACUUGAGAUCAUCAAAUAAGUGAUUCCCGAACAUAAUUGCCUCUGAUCAUUUUGUUUGUGCCAAUAAAGGGUUGAUACAAACCAAAGACUUCUUGUCUUUAUUGUCAUUUGAGAGUAAUCAAUUACUUACGCAGUCACAUAAGUUACUGGUUGGCCUCGCACAUUUGAGAGUAACCAAAUGGAAAUGAGAGCAACGUGAUUUUCCAAAGAGAACUUCACACUAUCAUAAAACUGAAAACAUUACAAUUUAAAGCUUAAAUAACAACACACCAAAGCCAAAUAACGACCCACUAGAAUCAUGGUCCAAAGAUUGUUCCAUGAUCACAACAUGAACUACAAAAAAAAAAAAAAAAAAAAAACCAACACCAAAAAAGUAGGAACAAUUUGAAACUUUCGACUAAGCAACAUUUAUGAUCACAUCAGCAGUCCUAAACACAUCUUCUAACAAUUGCAACUGUUCAUUUUUGCUUCUGCCAAUAAACAGUUGAUAGUAACCAAAGAUUGUUGUCUUUAUUGUCAUUUAAGAGUAACCAAUUACUUACGCAGUCACGUUAGUUGCUGGUUGGCCUCGCACAUUUUUGACAAGUUUGUUUCUGAAGGAAAGCAGCUGAGCCGCAACCUCUUCCAUGCUCAUUCGUUCUCUCGGCAACUCUGAAGAGCAAGUGACUCCGAUUCCCAGUACUGAAACCAAGCACUCUUCAACACUAAAAUUUCUGGUCCAUUGUUUGUGAGCACUGGUCUCGCUUGUCUCCCCUUCUUCUCUUUCUACAAGAAGCACUGGAUCAACAAUUUCAGCGAGCCUUUCAGGAAGAGCUUCCUUGACAAAAUUAUGCAGGGUUAGAUUGCCUGUAAACAUCUCAUUCGUCGGCCUCUUUCCUGUAAACGUUUCCAGCAAGAGUAUGCCAAAACUGUACACAUCUCCACUUUUUGAGACCUCACUCCCCAUUCCGUACUCUGCAAUUUGAAAAUUAAAACUGUUGGUUCAACUAGUAAAAUCUCUAAGGAAUGCAAAAGAAGUUAAUUAAAUUAUAGUAUUUGCCUGGAGCAGCAUAACCAACGGUUCCUUUAACUCCAGUAGAGCUUGAUUGAUUAGAUGACAAGUUAUUGGUGGCGUCCGGAAGGAAUUUCGCUAAUCCAAAAUCACUUACAUGGGCAGUCAAUUCACCAUCCAGAAGAACAUUGCUCGGCUUGAGAUCACAAUGGACUAUUGGAUUUUCGCAGUAGUGAUGAAGAUAAUCCAAUGCGGAAGCCACAUCAACGGCAAUAUUCAGUCUUUGGAGGAGAUUUAAAUUCCUUGGUGCCUCAGGGUUUGGAUGCAACCAUUCCUCCAGGCUCCCGUUCACCAUGAACUCAUAAACUAAGGCCUCGAAAUCAUUUCCUUGAAAGUCAACACUUGCACACGAAGUUAUUAUUUUGACGAGAUUCCGAUGCCUAAUACUUCUAAAGGCUUGACACUCCGCUAUGAAACUCUUUGAAGCUCCUCGAUGUUGAAGAUUAAGCACCUUAACUGCCACCAGCGUUUCAUGAUCAUCAUCAUUGAGGAUUCCUUGAUAGACCGAACCAAAGCUACCGGCACCAAUCAAGUUUUCCAAAGAGAACCCAUCAGUUGCUUUGAACAGAUUCUGAUAGGACACUCGUAAAACCGAAGCCAAUACUGCUGAUGGAGGAGGGGCCGGCUCCCUUUUUGAUUUGCUCCGCCGGGAAGUAAUUAUCAAACACGACAUCCCUGUCACUAACAAAAUUACUGCAACUACAGGAAUAAUCAGUUUCAGGGAACGGGCACGUGAUUGCUUUGAUUCUUUGAUGGAACAAGUAGAUAAAUGCAACUCAGAUAUGCCACCACAGAGGUUAUCAUUUCCAUCAAGAGAUAUAGCACUUGAAUUGCUGAAGACUCCUUUUAUUGGUACUUCACCCUCAAAAUGAUUAGAAGACAGAUUUAAAUUCUGCAAAAAGAAAAAGUUUUCAAAAUAUUUUGGAAUCCGGCCAGACAAAUUGUUCCGCGAAAGAUCAAGGUUCUGAAUGCCUCUCAAAGAACUGAAUGAUGAAGGGAUAUUCCCUUGAAAGAAAUUACCAUUCAUGACGAGUUGUUCCAACCUAACGCAACUUCCUAGACUGUUUGGAAUUUCACCAGACAAUUUGUUCUCAGAUACAUCUAGAACACCCAGAUUUUUCAAGAUGCCAAAAUUUGAGGGCAAAGGACCGUUCAAUUGGUUUUGAGAUAGAUCAAGAUAGAUUGAUAAGGAAGAGAGACCAAUCACUUCAGUGGGUAUGGUACCAGUGAGGUUGUUAUUAGAGAGAUCUAAUAAUAUCAAGUUUUUGCAUUUCCCUAGACUUGAUGGAAUGCUUCCCUCUAACAUGUUUCCGUCAAAACUUAGUGUGAAUAACAAUGUCAAAUUUCCUACAGAAGAUGGAAUUUCCCCCAAAAACUUGUUCCCCUUCAGUCUCAACCUCUGCAGCUUUUGAAGAUCUCCUAUACUUCCCAGAAUUCGGCCUGUGAAUUGGUUGUCCCCAAGAUCUAAAAGCUCCAAGUUAACAAGAUUUCCUAAUCCACUUGGGAUAUUUCCGAACAAUUGAUUGUUUCCAACGGUAAAUCUUUUAAGUCGGGUUGACAAGUUCCCCACAGAUUCAGGUAACAUUCCUCCAAAAUUGUUAAUACUAAUUUCCAUCAUCUCUAGUCUAGAAGCGUUGACCAAAGAACUGACAAAUUCCAAGUCAUCUUUUUCCCCAUUUCCUAAGUGAUUCAGAGAAAAGCUAACCCGUUGGAGUUUAUAUAAAUUUUCCAAACUCGGCACCUUUCCACUGAAUCCAUUUUUCUGGAUUGUAAGUCUCAUUAGAUUUGAGGCAUUGGAUAUUGAAGCAGGAAUAGGCCCAGUAAACUGAUUAUUACCAAAGUUUAGUACUUCAAGAUUAGGAAGAGUGAAGCCUAAGUCUGAUGGAAGGCUUCCUUGAAGUUCAUUAACAGGAAAAUCCAAAAGACUAAGCGAAGACAAGUUGUAGAUUGAGAAAGGGAUUUCACCUGAUAGCUUAUUUGCUCCGAAUCCUAUUGAACGCAUCCUCUUAAGCUCGCUCAAGGUUUCAGGAAUUUGUCCCACAAACUGAUUUACAGCUGCUGAAAGGAACUCGAGUGAUGACAAAUUGCCAAAGGAAGAUGGGAUUUCUCCUGACAAAUUGUUGAAGUGUACUGCUAGAGUCCGGAGCUUUGAUAAGGAGCCUAGUUUCCCUGGAACUUUCCCCACAAGCUCAUUGAAGCCUAACCAGAGGGAUUCAAGAUUAACGCAAUGUGAUAGGUUGUCAGGAAUUUGACCUCUGAAUGUAUUUUUCUCCAGGCUUAAUUUUUGUAACCUGAACAGAUAUCCAAUCUCUUGAGGGAUUUCGUUGCGGAAGCUAUUGUUUUUGAGAUCUAACACUCUGAGAAAACUUAAAUUACCAAUGUGAGGCGACAGAGACCCCUGUAAGAGUAAAGAUGGAAGAAGUAAUGCAGUCACCCUUUGGUGCCGUCGACUGCAAGUGACACCUUUCCAUUGACAAAAGUGCCUGGAAUAGUUCCAUGAACUCAAAACCUCAAGAGGGUCAUGAGUAACUUUGGCCUUGAAUUCAAGCAAUGCAAGUUGAUCAGUUUCAUUGCUUUUGAGCAUAUAAUCGGUUGACUGCAAGCUGAAGCUGAAGCAACAGAAAAUAAAGAAACAAAUGCUUACAAUGAUUGAACUCAUCAUGUUUACAAAAUCCAUUUAACUGCCGAAGGAAAUUAAAAUGAUAAAACUUUUGUGGAGGUUGGUAAGAUAAACUAUGUUUGUAUAUUUUUUGCAAUGAUUUAUGGACUCUGUACUUGAUGCUCAAAUGUGAACCGGCUGGCACCGUGACAGUGAAACUAAUACUUUUUGUUUUUCUAAUAAUAUUAAUUAUCAUAUUUAUUACUAUUGUAAGAAUAAUAUAUUGCAGCUUUAAAGAAAGACUCACCAUACUCCUUUUCGAGUCCUGUCAGUUUCCAGCAUUUGGUCAUUUUUUUAUUUCACCGCUUAAUCCACAGUAAAUAUAAAACAAUUUAAUCAACAAUAUUGAAAAAGAAAAAAAGUAGGACAAGAGAAAGGUAAAUACUGUUAAAUGAGUUGGGAAACGUUCAAAGCACGACGGGAAUUAAAAUUAUAAACUUUUAUAAAGGUUGGUAAGAAAAAACAUAUUUGUAUAUAUUUUUUUCAAUGAUUUAUGGACGCUAUACUUGAUGCUGAAAUGUGAACCGGCUGGCACCGGGACAGUGAAACUAAUGCUUUUUAUUUUUCUAAUAAUAUUAAUUAUCAUAUUUAUUACUAUUGUAAGAAUAAUAUAAUACAGCUUUUCCUUUAAGGAAGACCCGCCACACUAACUUUUGACGCUCUAUAAGUUUCCAGUAUUUUGUCAUUUUGUAUUGUAGUGCUUAAUCCACAAUGAAUAUAAAAGUUUAAAGCACCACAGGAUGAUGGAUGGAGUUUCACAUUACUGUUAAAUGACUUUGAAAGGUUUAAAGCACCACAGGAACCAACGUUUCACAAUGCCUUUUUCCCUUGUGAAAUAUUCAGUGCAGUCUCUCCCAGAUUUUGCUAGUGCAACAACGAGACGUCAUGCCGUUAACAAUUUUAAACUGUAAAUGACAUGUUGUUUUUACAAGACAUAUUAUGCGUCGAUACAUACCUUUUCUGGUUGUUGGUUUAUAAAAAUAUAUGAAACGGCAUGAGUGUGACAACUCUUGUAAAAUUUUUAAAAACAACAUAAUCAAUGGUAUUCUUAUCUCCCAGCUGCCGUUUGCCGUUUGGAAUUGUUCUGUAUAAGAUCUUGAUCAUCGAAUUUACCACUAGGGCGUAUGCUUUAUUUUCUCGAAUUACAUUGCUGCCUCAUCUUUUGUGUUUUCGGUUCUGUUGUGGAUCUCCUCUGUUUUUUUCUGAUUUUGGGCCCGAAGGGCACGUUAAUUGAAAUCAACAAAUCUGGUAAAAAUGACGUUAAAUUCGAUCAGAUUUACAUAUUUAAUUACAAAUGCAGUAACCCCGAUCAGAUGCAUACACUAAUUUUAUUUAUUUUGUCAGCUUUAACCUCACUGUCAUUUUGAAUAGCCUACAAGAGUCGAAUGACUAGAUUUCCAAUUUGCUAUCAUCCCCCUUGAAUGGGUUCAAGAAAUUCAGCAGGUUGCGAAACAAUAAGAUUCAUUCAAUCCGUGUAGAUAUCUAACUGACUGAAAUUAAAUAAAUGAUGAUGAUAAGAAAUUUGAAAUCAACAAAUCUCGGCACAUCUAUUCUGCAAUUUAGCCGUACUUCAAAUAAUCUUGCGAUAAAAAUUUCUUAAAAAUCUCAGAAAGAGGACAGAACAACCAAGGCAUCAGCGAAAGCAAUCGAUGUUAGGAAAUUGGUGGGUGCAGCAGUACCGCAACUAAAAUAAAAUUGGAAAUAAAAUAAAGAACAAGCACAAUAGAGGACACCAAAAAUUACGUGGUUCGGCUUUUAGCCUACAUCUACGGGCGAAGACAGAAGGAAAUAUUUUACUAGUGAAAUAAGGAUUACAAGUAUUGUAAGAUUUUAGCUCACUACCCAAAACCCCAAUACACCCAAUCUCUCACUCACUACACAUGCAAGAGUUUAUUAAACUCUUGAAAACUCUCAACACUCAAAGAAAGAAAAAUUUCUCUCAAUGGAAUUGAAUACAAAAUGAAAUGAGGAGCUCUGCCUUUUAUAGCCAAAAAAUGGCUAUUAAAUUAUUAUUUUUACCACCGUCUUCAUUCUGCUAUUUUCUUCUUUCUUCUUUUUUCUUCAUUCCAAAUUUGCUGCUGCCAAAUUCUUCAACAUUUUCUUUGGCCGGCUGUCAAAGCCAACUUUGCUUAUUCAAGGGUUCUAGAUGCAGUAGCUUCUAGAUGCAGCCAAAUUUGACAUUCUCCCACUUGGAGAUUAGAUUGAGAAUCAAUCAAUCUCCACAUCAUCCUUUCUGUUUCGCCAUAAUCAUGUUGCCUACGUUGCUGCUAGGCCACAAGAGGAUCUACUCCAGAUAAACUUGUCAGCAUUUAUUGGCUUGGUCAAAACAUCUGCUAGGUUCUCCUUCGUAUGGAUUUUCUGCAAAUCCACACUUCCAUCUUCCACUACUUCUCGAACGAAGUGAUACUGAACUCCUAUGUGCUUUGUCCUGGAAUGAAAGGCUAGAUUCCUUGCAAUGUGCAAGGCACUCUGACUGUCACAAAACACAAGAAUUUUCUGUUGUUUGUGCCCGAGCUCCUCCAAUAAUCUUUGUAUCCAAAUAGCUUCCUUGCAAGCUUGUGUAGCUGCCAUGUAUUCUGCUUCUGUUGUAGAUAAUGCCACAACGGUCUGCAGUUUCAAAACCCAGCUUACAGCUGCUCCCGCAAGUGCAAACACAUAACCAGUAGUGGAUUUCCUUUUAUCAAGGUCUCCUGCAAAAUCUGAAUACACAUAGCCCCUGACAGUAAACUCUGAUCCUCCAUAACAUAAUGCAACAUCUGAGGUUCCUCUGAUGUAUCUCAGAAUCAUCUUCACAGCUAUCCAAUGCUCUCCGCCAGGAUUCGCCAUGUAUCGACUGACUGCUCCCACUGCUUGUGCAAUGUCCGGUCUUGUACAUAUCAUAGCGAACAUUAAACUUCCCACUGCUGAUGCAUACGGUACUCGAGACAUCUCCUUCCUCUCUGCUUCAUUGCUAGGACACAUACUUGAGGAUAAUUUGAAAUUAACAGGAAAUGGGGUAGAAAUUGACUUACAAUCUUGCAUGUUGAAGCGCCGCAAGAUUUUCUUCAAGUAAUUCUUCUGUGAUAGCCAAAUCUUCCUGUUAUUUUUGUCUCGGUGAAUUUGCAUCCCUAGAAUCUUGUUUGCUGGUCCCAAGUCCUUCAUUUCAAACUCCCUAGCCAACUGUGCCUUCAAUUCUUGGAUUCGAUCUUUGUUGGGACCUGCUACCAACAUGUCAUCUACAUACAACAGCAAAAUGAUGAAAUCAUUAUCUUCAAACCUCUUGUAAUAUGCACAAUGGUCUGAACUGAGUCUGUUGUAUCCAAGGCUCAUGAUGAAGGAAUCAAAUCUCUUAUACCAACACCUCGGCGCCUGUUUGAGACCGUAUAGAGAUUUGUUCAACUUGCAAACCAAGUUCUCCUUUCCUGUUUCUGCAAAACCUUCUGGUUGGAGCAUAUAUAUUUCUUCUUCAAGUUCUCCAUGAAGAAAUGCAGUUUUCACAUCUAACUGCUCUAGAUGUAGGUCAAAUGUAGCACACAUUGCCAAGACUAUUCUGACUGUUGUGAGUCGAACCACGGGCGAAAAUAUCUCGUUGAAGUCAAUGCCUUCUUUCUGAGCAUAUCAUUUCACCACCAAUCUUGCACGAUACCGCUCCACUUGGUCAUUGCCAUCACGCUUGAUCUUGUAGACCCAUUUGUUUCCAAUGGCUUUUCUUCCAUGUGGUAGUGGUACAAGUUCCCAUGUCUUGUUCUUGUGUAGAGCUUCAAUUUCUUCCUGCAUUGCUGUCAUCCACAAAGCAACAUCUGAGCUGUUUAAAGCUUCAUGGAAAGUUGAAGGCUCUCCAUCCUCUGUUAAAAGACAGUAUGCAACGUUGAUCUCUGUGACAUACUCAGAGUGCCACACCGGCGGUCGUCUCUCACGAGUUGACCGACGAACUUCUGGAGCCUCGGACUCGACUGGUUCUUGUUCCUCGUGCUCUGGUGCUGCUUCAGAAGAAUCUGAAUCUUCUGGAUUAUUUUCUACAUAUACCGGCACAAUCUCUGACUUUUCUUUUACAGUGCCAUCAUCUCCAUCUUUCAUUUGCAGUUGAUCUUCUACAAAAAUAACAUCUCUGCUGAUGACGAUCUUGUGGGCAGUGGGGUCCCACAGACGAUACCCCUUUACUCCAUCAGCAUACCCCAAGAAGAUACAUCUUCUAGAUUUUGGAUCCAACUUUGUUCUUUCUUGGGCAUUGUACAUCACGUACACAGGACAUCCAAAUGCAUGUAGGUAGGAAUAAUCAGCUGGCUUUCCAGUCCACAUCUCCAUCGCCGUCUUCAACCCAAUCGCUGUAGAUGGUGAUCGAUUUACUAUAUAACAGGCAGUUUUGGCUGCUUCUGCCCAUAAUGAAUUGGGUAAACCAGCAGUCCUCAACAUAGCUCUUAUUCUUUCUGUAAGAGUUCUGUUCAUCCGCUCUGCCACUCCAUUUUGUUGAGGAGUGUACGCCACCGCGAACUGCCUCUGAAUACCUUCUUGCUUACAGAAAGCAAGAAACUCGCCCUCUGUAUAUUCUCCACCAUUAUCCGUCCUCAAGCACUUGAUCUUUUUACCAGAUUCAAGUUCCACACGCGCUUUGUAUUCUUUAAACACAGGAAAUACAUCUGACUUUUUCUUAAUUGGAUACACCCAACAUCUUCUAGAAUAAUCAUCAAUGAAAGUCACUAUGUACUUUGCACCUCCCAUGGAUAUAUCCGGUGAUUCCCAAACAUCAGAAUGAAUCAAGUCUAGAAUGCAUUUACUUCUAGCAAUAGAUCUACUGAAUUUUAAUCUAUGCUGCUUACUUAUAACACAAUGCUCGCAAAAUGGUCUGAAUUUUAAUCUAUGCUGCUUACUUAUAACACAAUGCUCGCAAAAUGGUAAACUUACCGAUUUGAGCCCCGGAAGCAAUUUUCGCUCAGAGAGAAUCUUCAAGCCUUGUUCUGACAUGUGACCAAGUUUGAGAUGCCACAUCAUCGUUGAUUCUUCUCCAUUUGACGCGACACACGUAUUAGCCUCCUGUAGUGUUUCUCCUCUAAGCAUGAAUAGAUUAGCACCGAUCUUUUCUGCUUUCAUCAAUACAAGCGCGCCUUUAACGAUCUUCAUAAUUCCAUUCUCCACAUGAGUUUUGUACCCAUGACUAUCCAUGUGUCCCAAAGACAAUAGAUUUUUCUUCAAGCCAUUGACAUGUCGUACCUCUCCAAUUGUGCGAAUUGUACCAUCAAACAUUUUUAUUUUGAUAGUACCAAUACCAGCGAUCUCCAAGGCAUGAUCAUCUCCCAUAUAUACAGAUCCUCCUGAGAUAGGUUCAUAUGUGUGGAACCAUUCUCUCCGAGAGGUCAUGUGCCAGGUAGCUCCUGAGUCUAUAAGCCAGACAUCAGACAAUCGUUUUCUGCCUUCUGAAACAGUUGUUGCCUCGCUGUAAAGAAUUUCGCCAUCAUCUGAGGUACUUGCUACACAACCCUGAGCAUUUGAUGACUCAGGUUCUUUUCCCUCUUUUCUCUUCUGGUUACUCCAACAUUCUUUCUUGAUGUGCCCUUUCUUGCCACAUUUGUAGCAUUUAACAUUAUUCUUACUCAUGGAUUUUGAUCUACCCUGAUUUUGACUCCCACUGGGGCCACGUUCCGUUGAUCUCCCUCUCGUCACCGAUAGCGCCUCCGCUUGCUGCGAACUUGCUUGUCUGUUUUCCUUAUUUUUCCACCUGCUCUCCUCAUUUAAUACGGAGGCUGCAACAUCGUCGAAAACUAGACUCUCCACUGGAUUGUUGUUCGUCAGGUUGAUGAUGAGUUGAUCAUACGAAUCUGGUAGACUUUGAAGUAGAAGCUCUGCACGUUCAUUUUCCUCUAUAUUAUGACCCAACAUUGUGAGUUGUGAAAAUAGAGUCUUCAAUGUGUUGAUGUGGUCGGUCACCAUUGUAGAUUCCGUCAUUCGAAGAGUAUAGAGUUUUCUCUUCAAGAAGAUUUUGUUGUGUAGUGACUUGGCCUCAUACAAUUUUGUGAGAGUAUCCCAUAUUUCCUUCGCCGUAUUUUUCUCUGCCACACUGGAUAAUACUCCAUCCGCAAGUGCCAAGUGUAGAUCAGAAAUGGCGUUGCCGUCUACCUCGUUCCACUUGUCAUCAGUUAUCUCCAUGGGCCUUUCUCCAAUUGCUGCCAAACAAUUAUUUUUCCUCAAUACAGCUUUCAUCUUCAUUUUCCACAAUGAAAAAUUAUUUCCGUUAAACUUCUCAAUUUCAUACUUUGCCGCCAUUUUGUUGAUAAAUACUGUACACAAGUUAGUGUACCACCUUGAAUAGUUGUGAGUAUGUGUGAUAAUGCACACCAGGAAAGUUCCCAGGAAAGACUGGAGGGGUCACAAUGGUCCCACUUAAAACCCAGACUCCUUAAGCUCUUAUCGCCUUUGUGACAGAACUUUCCUAGACAUGUACAAAACCACAGUUGUUUUUCUCACACUACUAUUCCCUGCUUUGCACCGGAAAAUUCUUGGAUCGCUUCCACCGUUUCACGUGAAUAGUACCGUAUACGUGAACAAUACCAUAUAUGUGAACAAACCCGUAUACGUGAACAACACAGUAUACGUGAAUAGUGUCGUAUACGUGUACAGUGCCGUAUACGUGAAUAGUACCCCUUACGUGAACAGUUCCCGACUCCAAAAAUACAACCAAUAGCUCUGAUACCACUGUUAGGAAAUUGGUGGGUGCAGCAGGACCGCAACUAAAAUAAAAUUGGAAAUAAAAUAAAGAACAAGCACAAUAGAGGACACCGAAAAUUACGUGGUUCGGCUUUUAGCCUACAUCCAUGGGCGAAGACAGAAGGAAAUAUUUUACUAGUGAAAUAAGGAUUACAAGUAUUGUAAGAUUUUAGCUCACUACCCAAAACCCCAAUACACCCAAUCUCUCACUCACUAGACAUGCAAGAGUUUAUUAAACUCUUGAAAACUCUCAACACUCAAAGAAAGAAAGAUUUCUCUCGAUGGAAUUGAAUACAAAAUGAAAUGAGGAGCUCUGCCUUUUAUAGCCAAAAAAUGGCUAUUAAAUUAUUAUUUUUACCACCGUCUUCAUUCUUCUAUUUUCUUCUUUCUUCUUUUUUCUUCAUUCCAAAUUUGCUGCUGCCAAAUUCUUCAACAUUUUCUUUGGCCGGCUGUCAAAGCCAACUUUGCUUAUUCAAGGGUUCUAGAUGCAGUAGCUUCUAGAUGCAGCCAAAUUUGACAAUCGAGGCAGGGCACGCUCAAGCCACGAAUUAGAGGAAUUUUAAAUAUCAAAACCAGCUCAGAAUAAUAAGAAGUAAAAUGAAACUAAAAAAGGCUCAGAUUUUUGGAUGAGUGAAGGGAAGAUGAGAAGAUGAAAUGCAGAAAGUCAAGAAAUGAAUAAACCAAUAUUAAUAAUCUUGGACCCACAUCUCUAAUUUGGAUUAAGCAUCCAUCUGCCUAUGUGGAUAAUAUUUUUGCUAAUUUUUCAGCCAUGCAGCAGGAUCAUGUUCGUCUUGUUUUAUUUGAUAGAAGGAAUUUUCCCUUGGAAGAAAAUGAUGAGUCGUUUCAACGUAAUGCAGCUACCUAGACUGCAUGGAAUUUCACCAGACAAUGACAAUUUAUUCUCAGAUAUAUCUAAAUCUAACGCCCCCACAUUUGUUUAGUCACCCAAAUUUGAAGGCGUCCGUUUUGAGACUGAUCAAAACUUUUUCCAAAAAUUCGGGAUUCAGGUCGAUCAGGCCGGUUAUGUUUUGAAAACUUGUAAAUUUUCAGUGAUCAAACUUCAAAACUUUGCAAAUAGGUCAAAAUAUGAAAAAUUCUUGAUAUAUUAUUGAAUACUCAUUUUGUUUUGCAUUAAUAUAAGGCUAUGGGUGCUAUCUAGUAAUGUUGGUAAAAUUUCUUGAGUUGAAAACAAUAAAACGAAAAUAGCUCUAAUAGAUCCACCCCUGUUUGAAACUCACUCAUAUGGAUGGGAAAGAAAUUUAGUUACCAUUGGAUUAAAAAAUAAUUAUUAUUAUUAGAAAAAAAAUUGUAAGGCUUCGACAAGAUUUGCUAAUCAUGUAUAGGUUAAAAUUUAUGUGGGUUUGGCCACCAAUUUAGCAUUAGGAACUUAUUGUUUAGGAAGCUAUGGUGGGUGUCGUAGUGGGACUUAUUCUCUUUAAUGCAUAUGGUGAUUUUAAACCAACAUUUAUAUAAUCCCAUUAUAAAACUCAUCAAACCUUCUAAAAUAACAUGUUGAGAUAGUGUGCUAGAAGUAUUUCUCCAACUUCUUAGCUUGAAGCGAUGUUCAUUUCCAUUGAUAGUUUAAUGGGCAAAGCCUUUUGAAUUCUCCAUGUUAUCAAGUUAAUUUUUGCUGGAAAAUGCAAUCCGGAUAUGAAUAGAAUUUUUUGUGCAAUCGAAUUUUCUAUGUUGACACAUCUUCUGGAACAUUCAAUAAAUUUUAUGGAGAAGUUUUAAUUUCUUAGUUGUUGAUUUCGAAUAUAUUAAGCUCUUAUUCAGUAUUAAAGUAUUGUGGCCUAAAAGAUAUAGUUCGUAUGGAAAGAAAUUUGUAAUUACAAAAUAAAAAUUGAUAAAGUGUGAUAAAUAUAAUUUCAAAAUAAAAAAUAAACUUAACUUCAAAAUUACAAUAGUAAUUAUAAAGUAUUUACUAAAUACAUUAGUGUUGCAGUAACUGCCCUACCACAAUGACAAAUAGGGGGCUAAUACUACAAAUUGUUCCAUUAAAAGUCACCCAAAAAGGAAGAAGUGACUUAAAAAAUUAAAAGAAUGCAGGAGCUGAAGUUGGCUAUUUUGUAAAUUGCAAUGGCAAUUGUGGCCUAGUAAAAUCCCUCAAUGAGUCACAGCACUAGCAAUUUCGUAAUAUACAUUAGUGGCAAUUUUGUAAAAUUGAAGUAAUGAUAGUUUUGCAAAUAAAAGUAAAAACUUUUUCCCUAAAUUCGGCUGAGCUAAAAACCAGCUUAGCCCACAGUCUCCUUCGCCACCGGUUGACGAGCUCUUCCUUCAAUUUUUGAACUUGAAGUGAUGCCCCAUCGAUGUCCAGAAUUUUUAAAGUCUCCCCAUUGUACAAGUUAAACAAUAAAGUCAGAAUGAUGAUCCUAAUGAUUCUUUUUAGAGAGUCACCUGUACGUUGAAGUGUUUAAUUGAUGUUUAUUUAAGCAGAAAUUGAAGUUUGAUCCUGAUUAAUUAGAUGAGAACACACAUUCAUGAGUAAAUACUUAAAAUUAAAUUAAUCAAAAUAGUAUAAAUACAGGAGAAAAUCGAUCAUAUGCGUACAGAAAUCACAAUCGAAUUAUAUAUAUCACCGCCGCACAGAAAUAACAAUUAAAUUGUAAUGUCAAUUGUCCACAUAAGAUUUUUUUUUUUUUUUUUUUUUUUUUUGUUGAUGAAAGUUAGUAAUUUUUUUCCAUCUUUUUAAAUAAUAGUUGUUAAUAAAUAUCAAGAAAAUAUUGGGACUGGAGAUCAGGGUCUACUUAAGUUAGAAGUGAGAGUAGUGCAGAUAUGUGGGGAUUAUAUGCAAGGUGGCUUAAAAGUAAAGGAGAUCUUACAAUGUGCUCUGAAGCCCUCUUAAAGCAAGUCAGAUCAUAUCAGGUUUCUCCAUAAAUCUCAUCAUCUUAUAAUAAGUUAGCAUUAUGUUUUACUUUGAUGUUGAUGGAAUUUGUUAAUGCUAAUCAAAUUUUGUUAAUCUCCCUCUCUUUUUUUUUUAAUUUAAAAGAAGGCAAAUAAAAAGCUUUGUGAUUUCAUUUUUGUUUUCUAAAUUUGUUAUCUAAAGGAAUGACAAGUUGAUAACUCAGCCUCUGUGUGUGUGUGUCUGUGUCAGGGAUCUGAUUUGUGGAAAGAUAGAGAUCGGUUUAAAAGGUUUUCAUAUGCAUCCUUGGAACUUUGUAAGGUUUACAUGGAAAUUUCUUCCUCUUCCGGUAGCCGUCGAGAGCUCUUUGCUGCUGAGAUGCACCUGAAGAACGUACUUAAACAAGUAAAACACCUUAUAAUUCGAUAUUUAAGACACUUACAGUUGGUUUAAAGAUUGUAUUUUCUGUUUCUGUUUUUGACUGGUUCAGGGUAAAACUUUUUCUCACUGUGUUAGAGUGCAUUUCUGUUAUUAUAUAGUUUCUUAGAAGAAAAUGCACUUUUUGGAAUCUCAGGCUAAAGGAUUUUCUGACAUGGAAGAGUUCAGGGAUCUUCAAGCUUGCCUUGAUGAAGUGAAGACAAAACUCCAAUCUGGUCCCGUGGCUACCUAAGUAUCAGGAAUGUGCUAUUUUUGAAAUUUAGUAACAAGGUUAAAUCUGCAACUAAAAAUUAUUUUAGUUUGUACUGUAGUGGAGACCUUAAGCAGGACUGAAUAUCUUGUAUUGUUGUAUCACCUUUUCUGUAACAAAACGGUCUAGUUUUACUAUUUUUAUUAUUUUUGUAUUUUCGGUGCUGUAACUAAUCUCAUUUGACAAUUUAAAUAUAUGGCUUCAAGUUCUUUAAAUGUAACAUCAAGUGUUGUUUCAACCUCUGUUCUUUUAUGUAUUUCUUGCAUGCGGUGAUUUCAUUAACCUCAAUUUAAGGACAAUUUCAUAUCUUUUUUCUUUCUGCUUUUCUUUUAUCAUUUAAAAACAACACACACACACACACACACAUUUAUAUUUCAGAAGAGGAAAUUGCACGGGAUAUGACUCAAUACUUGCUAAAUGCCAAGACUAUGACCCAAUUAUUUACAUGCCGAGACUAUGACCGAAUAACAAGUGAAAGUACACAAAUAUCCUUAUAAGUAACUAAGUUAAAAAUAUAAAACUUGAGUUAGGAAGUUUAGGAAUGCAUUGAACUUGUAUUCAUUACUUUGAUUAAUCCAUUUACCGUUAUACAAGACAAUAACACGUACCAUAUCCAUUUACAUAAAAAUUAUGAGUUGACAAAGUAAGAAUAUUAACAAAAAUAAGUUGUUAAAAGUUCUUGUAGACUUCUGUGCUUCAGUUCUAGACUUCUAGAUUUAUAGACUUACCUACAUGUCUAUAAGUCUAGAUGUAAAGAAGUCACGAAAACGAUAACAAUGAUAAACAAACUCAAUUCAACAACAAAUUUGAUGUGUAAAAAUUGUGUUGAAGAAUUUUUUGGAAUCUGUUUGAAUUUGUUAAGGGAAUGUGAUGAUUUUAGUAAGUGUUUGAUAACAACUUAGAAUGUUGGACGCAUUAUAGUGCUGGGUGCAUGCUUUUGUUGGAAAAGAUAAGGGCAUUUUAGACUAGGGAUCACCAAAAUGUCAUACAAAUUUAAUUGAGUAAAAUUUGUCAUAUUUAUAUAAAAUGUACAUGAUUUUGUCAUAUAUAAAUAAAAAACCCAUUUCAGAAAGCAUUUAAACAAAGCGAGAGUACAAUAAAAAACCCAUUUUAGAAAGCAUUUAAACAAAGCCAGAGUACAAUAUAGAAAGAUUUUACUCAUUCUAAGUGUGUACCAAACAAAGAAAUGAACUCUCCUUUUCUAGUUAUAUAAUUAUUACAUGAAAUUAAUAAAAACAUGACGAAUUAUAAUUCCUUGCGAUAUAGUGGGGGUUAUAGAAAAGUCAAGAGUUGCUAGUGGAAGAUAAUAGGGAGAGUACAAUAUAUAUAUUAUGAACAUUCACAUUUAUUUUAAUAAAUUCAUAGCAUUUUUUUUGCUUAAAUAACAGGGUGUAUGUAUAUAUAUAUUGACAUAAAAAUUGCAUGACGUGUGGUUUAGCGUUUCUUGGUUGUUCAGUGCUAGUUUUAUGUCAAUUUUUAUUGACAUAAAAAUUGCAUGACACAAAAAAGGCUGUUUUAACCAACUAAAAACCAAAAGCUAAAACCCAAAACCCCCCUCUUUUUCGUUUUCCAGGGACUUCACCUUGAUAUUCAACCAACACUUCUGAUGUCUGCCCUUCAAUAAACCAAGUCAUUCAUACACAUGAUUCUACUAUUGGUGAUGCCUCUGAUGUUUUUGUGACCCCAAAAUUAUUGGGGAAUAGUCAUGAAUCUGAAUCUGGAGUCCAAUGCAUUCACGCUGGUGGCUCAGCAGCCCAUUUAAAGGCAAUCCAACAGGCAGUGAUCUUGUCGAGGUGCCUUCUAAUAGAAAAGAGCUCAUGGCAAGAUGAAAUGCAAAGUAAGUUGUUUUAUGGUUGGCCGGUGUGUAGUCAUCUCGUUAAAGGCCAUAAGAUGUUUAGCAUAUUGCUAUUUAAUUUUUAAAUCAUUCUCAGUAAUAAUUCCUUUAGUAGAUUGAUGAUAAGAGAUUGCAUUACAGAUGAUAACGGAGCACAAUUUUUGUAGUUGUAUCCCUGUACAUCCAUCUUAAUAUCCUCAUUAUAUUCACAUGCCUUUUACGGGUGUUAUUUCUGGAUGCCGAAUGCUUUGCUCCACGUCUGGAUACCAAAUGCUUUGUUCCACAAAGCUGAGCUGGUUGAAAAGCUAGCUGAUGAGGUCAACACGUCCCUUAAGUAAUUUGAGGAUGAACACUGUGUUCCCGAAAGUCUUACUCUAAUGAUACUUAAAGAAGCAAUGAGAAUGGAUGUUGCAGCAGCUUUGCUGAACUCAACUCCAGUUCCAAAAAUGGAACAUGUGAAAACCGAAAAUGCAUUGUUUUUUUUUUUUUCCUCUUUAUGACUUCUCUAGUUGGGGAAUGUAUUAGAUAUUCACCUAAUCAGUAGGCCUUGAAGGGAUCCCAUGUUAGCCCCUUGAUGUUGGUCUGUAACUAAGUAAAUACUUGACCUUGAAAAAGCUUUUGGAGGCAUCAGUUUCUCUCUGACUGGUGCUACUUUUUGGAUCUGUUGAUUUGGUCAUUUGCUGAUUUAUAGUUUGUUUUCUGAUUCAGGAUGGGAUAUGGCUCCAUACAUAGAGGCAACUGAUUCACAGCAGUCGUCAUGCUUCAUUGUAAAUAUAUAUACAAUACAGCAUCAGUUUUUCUUGAUUUUAAAUCUCAUAUUCUGAAGUGGUACUUCUGAUUCUCACAUGAUUUUUCCAUCUUUCAGCUAAAGUUUUUCUGUGAUCUCUUACGUAUUAGAUGGGAAUCCACCCGCAGUCGCACAAAAGGGCGUGCUUUAGAGAUGAUGGACAAACUGGUAUGAUCUGUGAGCCUUUUCUUCUUAAAUAUUUUGUUACCUAAACCAUUUUCAUUCAAAUUGACAAGUGUUGCUUAUCAAUCUAUAGAAGAUUCCAAACUUUCUGCAGCUAGUACUUUAUUGGACCCAAAAGCUUUUUUGCUUUUUCUAAGCUGCUAAUCAGGACUAGGUUUCUCUCCCUUAUAUCGCUAGAUAUCCCAUUAAUCGUUUGAUUUAGUUGUCUAGAGAGAUUAGGUACUUGCAUCUUCGCUUUUCACUUCACAAGUGAUUUCAUGUGCUAUCCUGUAUUCUGGUUCAAGAUUUUUGAAGGUUGCUUACCAUCAUAUUUUGCUUUGUUUCAGGUUGAGGGCAUUUCUAAUUCUUCUCCCGGUGUGACUCAAAGGAUUCCCUUUUGUUAUGUGAUUUAAGUUCCAACUAUUCCUACCCUGCGAAAGUAAUACUAUUUCUUUUGCUUCUUUGAAUGAUUGUGAUUUAAUUUUCUUGUCAUUUUGCCAACUAUCAUUAUGCUGUCAUUGUUUCAUAUCUUAUUUGACAUAUGUUGAUUUGGUUAGAGUUUAAUUGCUCUGUUUAUUCUCUUUAUAAUCUGUCUAUUUCGAUUUUUCUUGAUUUUAGGGAAUAUGCUGAACUUUUAGUAAGCUGUGGCUUGAUUGGAGAGGCUAUUAAAAUUUUUGAGGAUCUGGAGUUGUGGGAUAAUCUAAUAUACUGCAACUGGUAUGAUGUCAUAGAUAACCAUUAUCCUAAUCUCUCUGUCUGUCUGUCUGUCUCUAUCUCUCUCUUUCGUGUUGCUAAUGGGAGUUGGUUUUUUGUAUGAUGUAAAAAACAGCCUAUUGGGGAAGAAAGCAGCAGCUGUUGAACUAAUAAAAGCAAGGCUGUCUGAAAAGCCUAGUGACCCUAGAUUAUGGUUGGUUAAUGAGCCUUUUCUAUGAUCCAUUUUAUAGUUACUUCUCAUUUCAGUUAAAUCCAUUGUUGAUGUCACUUAUUGCAAUCUAGGGAUAAUUGUUCAUUGGUUGUAAGGAUAUUGUCAGAAGAAAAUGAAACCUUUUAAUUUUGUCUUUUACUUGCUGUAGCCGAUUUAAAAGCUCACUGUGCGUUCUUACUGAUUGCUUUUGGUCUUGCAUUUGAGUCAAUGGAUUUUAUACUCAUAUUCUGACAUUUAUUGUUAGUCUUCUGACGGUUCUGCACCUUGGUCCUAUAUUAUCUUCAGCAGUAUUAUCUAAAAGAUAAGUUUUUGCCGAAGAAAAUUUGCAUUCUAAACUAGAAAAUGAGGGGCCGGGGGGAGGGGGGGGGGGGGGUAGGUUGGGAGGCAACGGGAGACUGUUUUCCACUUAUCCUCUUCCCUGCCUGCAUUUUAGAUGAUUUUGAUGCACCAGGUGCCGUGAAAUGGUUGAGAAAUACAUACCAUCAAGUGAAUUCUGAAAAUCAUUUCCUUUUUGAAAAUAUUUGGUGCUAGACAUUUGAAUAUAUGGCCACAAUUUAAACAAUAAAGAUUUUCUGCAUUGAUUUCUUAUAAUGGAUAGAUGCAUGUAAGUAAAAUAUGAUAUCUUUUGAUUAUUGGCCCAUUUGUUCAGAAAGAAGGAAAAAAAAAAAAAUACAUGGUUGAAAGACAACUGUUACUUGACCUUAUGAUACAUUUUGUAGGUGUUCAUUAGGUGAUGUUACAAAUAAUGAUGCCUGCUAUGAAAAAGCUUUGGAAGUUUCGAAUGAUAAGUCAGCUCGAGCUACGGUGAUAUUGUAGUUCACAUUAUGCUUGUGCCGUGAUCAUUUUUUAGUUAACAUAUCUUUAUGUGAAUCAGAGGUCUCUAGCUCGUAGUGCAUACAACAGAGGGGAGUACGAGACAUCUAAAAUCCUUUGGUAUGUUGCUUUAAUGCUUUACUUCUCUUUCUGCCACACAGUAAUUUGCUGCAUUGACAACUGAUACGGCUGAAUGACAAUUUACCCUUGGUUUUGUCUCGGGGAGGCUGCCAUGGCCUUGAAUUCUUUGUAUCCGGAUGGCUGGUUUGCUCUUGGUGCUGCUGCAUUGAAGGUAUCAUAUUUUUGUAUUAGUAUGUGUUUAGUGUGAAGCAAUUUCUUAUCCUUUUGCCCCAAGUUUCUGAAACUCUCGGCUGAAAUAUAAAUACAGGCUCGGGAUGUUGAAAAGGCUCUGGAUGGGUUUACUCGGGCUGUUCAACUUGAUCCAGACAAUGGGGAAGCUUGGAACAAUAUUGCUUGCUUGUAUGCUCUUUUCUUUGUCAUCAUGUCAUUCCAUCCUCUUGCUCUGUAUUCUUUAAUAUUGUGUCAAUCACAUUCAUCUUCUAUCUGCAAGAGUAUGCUUCCCAUAUUUGGUUUACUUUGUUUUGACUUUCUUGUUGCAGUUGUUCUAUAUAAAUUUUAUAUGGUUCCAUAUUCCCUUGAUGAGUGAAUUUAGUUGCUGCAAAUGUUAAGAACUAGAUAGUACUGUUAUAAUUAGGAAUAGGGCAAAUAUUAGCCAGCUCUUUUGAGGAUUAUCCAUAGCAUAUACCUCCGUCGUUUUCAAAGCGAUUGAAGUUCUCCCUUUUGUCUUAUUUAAAAGAAAAAAGCACAAAUUGCUUCCCUCACAUCUAUCUACAGUCUCUUUUCUCUCUGUUUAAUUUUUUCUUGUGCUUAUUAUUUGUCUUUUAAUGCAUCUUUUCUUCUUAUUUUAUACUGUACUAGAAUUUGUGCUGUCUCGAUUUUAUCUUGCAUGUGAGUUACUGUGUUUUUCGCAAUUGUAGAACUUUAUUUAGCAGCAUAAUUAUUAGUUAGUGAGACAUUAAUUGGUUAAUACCACUUGUGAAGAUACGAAGAGCUACUUAUUCUCUCUUCUAGUACAUUUAAAAAAUUCAUGACAAAAUAUCUGGGAUGGUAAAAUUCUCGUCAAUUAUAACUACGGAAGUCUUGAGAUUUAUGUAGUCUUGCAGGCAUAUGAUCAAGAAGAAGAGCAAAGAGGCUUUUACAGCAUUCAAGGAGUCCCUAAAGUUGAAGUUCUGUCUUUUUUCCCCCUGAUCACUACAUUUUUAUUUUCUGUCAUGCACAAUGCAGUCGGACACUAUCUGAUCACAAGAAAACUGUCAUACAUAAUUUGUUGCUGCUAGGCAAAAGGUGAUAUCUAAUGUAAUAACCUAUAACAUGAUUUUGUAACAGACGGAACAGUUGGCAAUUGUGGGAAAACUACAGCCAUGUUGCUUUGGAUGUGGACAAUAUUGGUCAGGUAACCGCGGUUGUGCGCUUAAUGUCCAUCAUUUAUCACUGAAAUCUUUUGAGAUGAAGCUGGCAUUUCCUUAGCCACCCUCUGAUGGUUUUGAUUGCUUCAUGUAUGUUGUCAUCUUUGUCAACUAAUGAAAGCUGCAGAGAUUUUGUCAUCUUUUCAUUUAAAAGAAUUUGAUAGUUUAUAGCCCAUUGUCAUGUUUGCAUAUGUAUGUUAUUGUUCUUUUGACCUUUUUGUACCUCAGCUUCAUCCUUUUAUGCAAGCAAUUCUUUGUCAAGAAAUAUCUGGUUAACAAUUUCUUCGCAUGAAUAUUUUUACGGUCAUCAAGGUCCUUGAACAGUCAUGGUUAAUUGAUUACAGAUUCUCAAAUUUAUAAUUAUUUUUUUCAGGGUCAUUGUCCUUUGAUAUAUGCAAUUGAUGCAUGACUUUCUAACCAUUAUCUCCCUGCCUUCACCAUGGUCGUAUAAAUAUUUUGACAAGUGGGGAUUUUAUGAUUACUGUGUGCUAGGAAUUUUUUUGGUUGGAAAGAAAUGGGAGGAUUUUUCAAGAAGCUAGGGAGGGAAGACACCAAAUUUUUUUUGGUGGAUAAAGCCUGCUGUCACUUUGGGCAUCAAUUUCUAAUGAAUGCAAUAAUGUUCCUUUCUUUGCUAUUCAUUAAAAUUGAGUUGUUCUUCUUGGAUGGCCUUCUUUUUACUUCCCAUCAUUUUGCCAGCUUGUUGAUUGUCAUUUUUGCUUGUUGGCAGUCUUUUCCUGCAGUGUUGAUAAUAUUUAAUUAUAAUAUUAGACAACAGUGUCCUCAACAUGAUCUCUCUCCCAAAUUAUUACUCUUUUAUUCAUUAUACUUUUAGCAGUUUCUUUAUUUUUGUUAUAUUUUAUGUUUUCAGGCUCUAGAGGCUGUGCAGAUGGUGUUGAACAUGACUAAUAAUAAACGAAUUGAUACUGUAUUAUUAGAAAGAAUAGUGCUAGAUAUGGAAGGAAGGACUUCAAUUAUAGAAUCUGAGUCUUGCAGGACUACCCAUAAUCUUAACAGAACUAAUAACACUUGUGCAAAAGAUUAACCUGUAGAAUCUGUCCAUGUAUCAUCACCUGAGGAGUCAAUCAUGGGAAGAUCGCGAGAAAAUGAGCACUUGAUGGAGUUUCUUGGGAAAAUUCUUCAGCAGGUUGCACAUGGCUCCAUGAUCAUCUUUUUUCUGUCUUUUAAUACUGAGCCAAGGGACAGUCUCUCUCUUUCACGCAUAUCCACAACACAUGUACAUAUUUCUCAUAUUUCUAUGCGUAUAUAUUGUCAUUUCUGAUCUUUCUUAGUUUAUAUGAUAAUUGUCUUUGGGCAUAUGAUUCAUAUUUUCUGGGCACCCUAUGGUCUGUGGGUCAAUAAUAAUCCAUAGUAUCUGAAUUUCUAGACAAAAUUGGUCAUUUUAGCAAAUCAUUUGGAUGUAUCUAUGCAGCAGUUUACUAUUUUAGUGCUUGCAGGAAUUGGUAUGCUUAAAUUUUGGGCUUAAAUUGUGUGAAAAUAAUCAAAGUGAUAUGCAAAUUAAUUCAAGCCACAUGAGGAAAGAAUAUCCUUUUUUUUUUUUUUCAGCUUAUGUUACAUGUUUCUGUGUAUGGCAUAGGUAGUUCGAAGUGAGAGUAGUGCAGAUAUGUGGGGAUUAUAUGCAAGGUGGCUUAAAAAUAAAGGAGAUCUUACAAUGUGCUCUGAAGCCCUCUUAAAGCAAGUCAGAUCAUAUCAGGUUUCUCCAUAAACCUCAUCAUCUUAUAAUAAGUUAGCAUUAUGUUUUACUUUGAUGUUGAUGGAAUUUGUUAAUGCUAAUAAAAUUUUGUUAAUCUCUCUCUCUCUUUCUUUUUUAAAGAAGGCAAAGAAAAAGCUUUGUGAUUUCAUUUUUGUUUUCUAAAUUUGUUAUCUAAAGGAAUGACAAGUUUACAAUUCAGCCUCUGUGUGUGUGUGUGUGUGUGUGUGUGUGUGUGUGUGUGUCUGUGUCAGGGAUCUGAUUUGUGGAAAGAUAGAGAUCGGUUUAAAAGGUUUUCAUAUGCAUCCUUGGAACUUUGUAAGGUUUACAUGGAAAUUUCUUCCUCUUCUGGUAGCCGUCGAGAACUCUUUACUGCUGAGAUGCACCUGAAGAACGUACUUAAACAAGUAAAACACCUUAUAAUUCGAUAUUUAAGACACUUACAGUUGGUUUAAAGAUUGCAUUUUCCAUUUCUUUUUUUGACUGGUUCAGGGUAAAACUUUUUCUCACUGUGUUAGAGUGCAUUUCUGUUAUUAUAUAGUUUCUUAGAAGAAAAUGCACUUUUUGGAAUCUCAGGCUGAAGGAUUUUCUGACAUGGAAGAGUUCAGGGAUCUUCACGCUUGCCUUGAUGAACUGAAGACAAAACUCCAAUCUGGUCCCGUGGCUACCUAAGUAUCAGGAAUGUGCUAUUUUUGAAAUUUAGUAACAAGGUUAAAUCUGCAACAAAAAAUUAUUUUAGUUCGUACUGUAGUGGAGACCUUAAGCAUGACUGAGUAUCUUGUAUUGUUGUAUCACCUUUUCUGUAACAAAACAGUCUAGUUUUAUUAUUUUUGUAUUUUCGGUGCUGUAACUAAUCUCAUUUGCCAAUGUAAAUAUAUGGCUUCAAGUUCUUUAAAUGUAACAUCAAAUGUUGUUUUCAACCUCUGUUCUUUUAUGUAUUGCUUACAUGCCGUGAUUUCAUUAACCUCAAUUUAAGAAAAAUUUCAUAUCAUUUUUUUCUGCUUUUCUUUUAUCAUUUAAAAACAACACACACACACAUAUAAGCAAAGAAGCAACUGAAAGUUAUCUUCAUGUGAGAAUGAAAACUUUUCAGCAGCAUAACCCUUUCACUGUUCAAUUCCAAACAUGUUCCUCAACAUGAUAACAAAUUCGCAGACCUUUUCUGGGUCUGGAAGGAUCCUCGCAACAGUUUCUCUUUGCAUGCACUCAUUCUCAACCUUAAAUCCCCCAAAUUUCUCAACCGCGUAAAACCAACAAGUCAGUGGAAUGGCAAUGACAUCAACGAAUCCAAAGCUAUCCCCGCCAAAGAAAUCCUUCUCCCCUAAAGCUCCCACAAGUUGCUUCAAUAUCUCUAUAAAUUCAUUCUUCGCCGUCCCUGGGACCUUGCCCUUGCUUUUCCAUAUGUUGCAUACUGCAUCGAUUACCUGCCAAAAGAGUGGUGUCAUCUUUGCAUUUAGAAAGAUACAAACAUUUACACUUGAGAAUUAUAGACUGACCUUCUUGUCAAUAAAAUCUGCCCAGAACCUUGCCUUAGCUCUCUCAGAAGCACAGGAUGGGAGAAGUGGUGGCGAAGGCCAAGUCUCGUCAAUGUAGUUAACUAUAACGGUGGAUUCACACAAUGGUUUCCCAUCGUGUAGCAAAACUGGGACUUUCUUGUAGAUGGGGUUUGAUUUGAGCAGCAGGUCACUCUUUGCCCCCAAACAAGUUCUCAGCUCUGGCUCAUAUUCAACUCCUUUCUCAGCCAAUGCAAUCUUUGCCCAACAGUCCAAAAGAACAACCUCUCCCUUUGACAAAUUCACUUUCUUUGUUCUUGUUUCUUUUAGUUGGCUGAUAGUAAUUAAACCUUGAGUAUCAAGGUUAAUUGGCAUUUAUAAAGGAGAAAAGAUGAAAUUCCCAAAGUUUGUGUCGCAAUCAACUUUUGUUCGUUGGCACUUCCUUAAAGGAUGUGUUUGAGGGAAAUACUCCGACGAGACCAGACGUGAUGAGCAGAUGUUUAGUGGCAGAAUUCUGCGAGCAGGUAUGUCCUGUAAGAGCCAGGUAGCAGGGGAACAGGGGCAGGAAUAUCCUGCUCAUCCACGAGCACGUCAUCUGCGAGGCCAAUUUCCUGUAAGAGGCAUAAAGCCAUUCCUGCUGUAUUCUCGCUGAGGGUUGAUUCGAGGAGACCCGGUCAACGACAGUUGGCGAGGCAUGCUCUCCAGCCCGAGAAUCUAGGCACGAAGGCCACGCAACCACCCAUGACUACGGAAAUGGGGAAUCCACGUUCGAGAGGUGGGAGGAUAACGGGCGUAGACUGCGGAAAACUGGGAUUCAGAGGAAGCCUAUAAAAAGGUAGCCAACGAAGGUAAAAGGGUUAGCAUUUUUGAGAUUAGAAGAGAGCUAAAGAAAUUCUAAAGAAGAGCAAACUACGAAAAAGCCAUAAGAUUUGUGGCAAACAUUCCCAGAACCCCUAUAUCUGACUUGAGCGUCGGAGGGUUUGCGCCGGGAAAACAACCGGCGUACUCUGACUUGUCUGUGUGCGCAGGAACCUCUGGAGAAGAAGCCUUACGAGGAGACCUCCUGGUCGUGGUGAAGUUGAUCGAGCAGAGAGCCUGGUCGUAGAACGAGGAGAACCAGAAUCUCGCAUCAAUAGGAUGUGGCAUUGUUCUUAUCAUUUCUUAGUUUUUGAAGCUUACUGUUUUACUUGGCUUUCAACAUGCACAAGAACAAGUUUGUCUUGUGCAUGCGGAGUUUACUAUGGACAAGCCGAAUCGUAAGUAACCAUUUACACUAAUCAAUCGGUAUUGUCCAGUGAAAAUAAGUAAUGUAAAAAGUGUCUAGGAUUUUUCCUAAUAUUUCUCAAAAUAGGCUCAUUAAGCCCAAUUCUGGUGCUAGAUUGGUUCAACUUUGAAUCAAACUUGGAAACAUUUUUCUUUAGAUUAUUAUUAUUAAUUUAGAAGAGUCAAAAAGCUAAGAGUAUCGUUAGUAAAUGUCAAACAUGUGUAAUAUCACAUAUCACUAGUCAGUGAGUUUCGUAAACUUUCCUAAUUAAGAAGACACGUUUUGAGUUGUAAAUUCUAACACAAUAUCUAUUCAGUUGUUUAACUUGGAAUAUUACAAUUAUAUCAAUAUUGUUUGAUGUGGGCACACAACCUUGCGUCUUCUUAGUUAGGACAGCCAAUUAAAUCCACUUCUUAGCGAUGCAGGGGAUGAUACAUAACUUGUAUGUGCACGUUGGCGGAGUAUCCCAAUUAUGCACUCAUUUGUCUUCUUGUGUUUUAAAAAAUCUAUUGUACUGGAUAUACUGUAAAUUUAUCAAAUUGCUUGUUAUAAUGCUUCUAUUUGCGUUGUUAUUCGAGUUGUCAUUUUGAGUUUUAUUUUAUUUUUUCUUUAAACAUAAUUAAUUUGAAAUGUUCUUUAAUUUUCAUUACACUUGAGAUCAUCAAAUAAGUGAUUCGUGAACAUAAUUGCUGUUGUUACUCGAAUAAGAAAAGAAAACAACGAUUUGCUAAGGUAAAAGUAAAUGGAAAUGAGAGCACGUGAUUUUGCAAAGAGAACUUCACACUAUCAUAAAACCGAAAACAUUACAAUUUAAAGCUUAAAUAACAACACACCAAAGCCAAAUAACGACCCACUAGAAUCACGGUCCAAAGAUUGUGCCAUGAUCACAACAUGAACUACAAAAAAAUAACCAACACCAGAAAAGUAGGAACAGUUUAAAACUUUCAUUUAAGCAGCAUUUAUGAUUCCACAUCAGCAGUCCUAAACACAUCUUCUAACAAUUGCAACUGUUCAUUUUUGCUUCUGCCAAUAAGGAGUUGAUAGUAACCAAAGAUUGUUGUCUUUAUUGUCAUUUGAGAGUAACCAAUUACUUACGCAGUCACGUAAGUUGCUGGUAGGCCUCGCACAUUUUUGACAAGUUUGUUUCUGAAGGAAAGCAGCUGAGCCGCAACCUCUUCCUUGUUCAUUCGUUCUCUCGGCAACUCUGAAGAGCAAAUGACUCCGAUUUCCAGUACUGAAACCAAGCACUCUUUACCACCAAAACUUCUAGUCCUUUGUUUGUGAGCAUUGGCCUCGCUUGUCUCCCCUUCUUCUCUUUCUACAAGAAGCACUGGAUUAACAAUUUCAGCGAGUCUUUCAGGAAGAGCUUCCUUGACAAAAUUAUGUAGGGUUAGAUUGCCUGUAAACAUCUCAUUCGUCGGCCCCUUUCCUGUAAACAUUUCCAGCAAAAGAAUGCCAAAACUGUACACAUCUCCACUUGUUGAGACUUCGCUCCCCAUUCCGUACUCUGCAAUUCGAAAAUUAAAAUUGUUGGUUCAACUAGUAAAAUCUCCGAGGAUUGAAAAACAAGUUGAUUAAAUUAGAGUAUUUACCUGGAGCAGCAUAACCAACAGUUCCUUUUACUCCAACAGAGCUUGAUUGAUUAGAUGACAAGUUAUUGGCGGCUUCCGGAAGGAAUUUUGCUAAUCCAAAAUCACUUACAUGGGCAGUCAAUUCACCAUCCAGAAGAACAUUGCUUGGCUUGAGAUCACAAUGGACUAUUGGAGUUUCACAAUAAUGAUGAAGAUAUUCCAAUGCGGAAGCAACAUCAACGGCAAUACUCAGUCUUUGCAGGAGAUUUAGAUUCCUAGGUGCGUCACGGUUUGGAUGCAACCAUUCCUCCAGGCUCCCGUUAACCAUCAACUCAUAAACUAAAGCCUCAAAAUCAUUCCCUUGGAAGUCAACACUUACACAGGAAGUUAUUAUUUUGACGAGAUUCCGAUGCCUAAUACUCCUCAAGGCUUGACACUACGCUAUGAAACUCUUUGAAGCUCCACGAUGUUGAAGAUUAAGCACCCUAACUGCCACCAGCGUUUCAUGAUCAUCGUGAUCCAGGAUUCCUUUAUAGACCGAACCAAAGCUACCGGCACCAAUCAAAUUUUCCAAAGAGAACCCAUCAGUUGCUUUGAACAGAUUCUGAUAGGACACUCGUAAAACCGAAGCCAAUAAUGUUGAUGGAGGAGUGGACGGCUCCCUUUUUGUUUUGCUCCACCAGGAAGUAAUUAUCAAACACGACAUCCCUGUCAGGAACAAAAUUCCUGUAACUAUAGGAAUAAUCAGUUUCAGGGAACGGGAACGUGAUUGCUUUGAUUCUUUGGUGGAGCAAGUACAUAAAUGCAACUCAGAUAUGCCACCACAAAGGUUAUCAUUUCCGUCAAGAGAUAUAGCACUCGAAUUGCUGAAGACUCCUUUUAUUGGUACUUCACCCUCAAAAUGAUUAAAAGACAGAUUUAAAUUCUGCAAAAAGAAAAAGUUUUCCAGAUAUUUUGGAAUCCGGCCAGACAAAUUGUUCCGCGAAAGAUCAAGAUUCUCAAUGCCUCUCAAAGAACUGAAUGAUGAAGGGAUAUUCCCCUGAAAGAAAUUACCGUUCAUGACGAGUUGUUCCAACCUAAUGCAACUUCCUAUACUGCUUGGAAUUUGACCAGACAAUUUGUUCUCCGAUAUAUCUAUAGCACCCAGAUUUUUCAAGAUACCAAAAUUUGAGGGCAAAGGACCAUUCAAUUGGUUUUGAGAUAGAUCGAGAUAGAUUGACAAGGAAGAGAGACCGAUCACUUCAGUGGGUAUGGUACCAGUGAGGUUGUUAUUAGAGAGAUCUAAUAAUAUCAAGUUUUGGCAUUUCCCUAGACUUGAUGGAAUGCUUCCCUCUAACAUGUUUUCCGCAAAAUUUAGUGUGAUUAACAAUGUCAAAUUUCCUAUAGAAGAUGAAAUUUCCCCCCAAAACUUGUUCCCCUCCAACCUCAACGUCUGAAGCUUUUGAAGAUCUCCUAUACUUCCCGGAAUUCGGCCUGUGAAUUGGUUUUCCUCAAGAUAUAAAAGCUCCAAGUUAACAAGGUUUCUUAAUCCACUUGGGAUAUUUCCGAACAAUUGAUUGUUUUCAGCUGAUAACAUUCUAAGUCGGGUUGACAAGUUCCCCACAGUUUCAGGUAACAUUCCACCAAAAUUGUUAUCACUAAUUAACAGUAGCUCUAGUCUAGAAGCGUUGACCAAAGAAUUGAAAAAUUCCAAGUCAUCUUUUUCCCCAUUUCCUAAGUGAUUCACAGAAAUACUAACCACUUCGAGUUUAUGUAAAUUUUCCAAACUAGGCACCUUUCCACUGAAUCCAUUCAUCGCGAUUAUAAGUUGCAUUAGAUUUGAGGCAUUGGAUAUUGAAGCAGGAAUAGGCCCGGUAAACUGAUUAUCACCAACGUUUAGAUAUUCAAGAUUAGGAAGAGUGAAGCCUAAGUCUGAUGGAAGGCUUCCUUGAAGUUGGUUGACAGUAAAAUCAAAAUCACUAAGCGAAGACAAGUUGUAGAUUGAGAAGGGGAUUUCACCUGAUAGCUUAUUUGAAUCAAAUGAUAUAAAACGCAUCCUCUUAAGCUCGCCCAGGGUUUCAGGAAUUUGUCCUACAAAUUGAUUUAUAGUUGCUGAGAGGACCUGGAGUGAUGAUAAAUUGCCGAAGGAUGAUGGGAUUUCUCCUGACAAAUUGUUGGAGUGUAUUACGAGAAUCCGGAGCUUUGAUAAGGAGCCCAGUUUCCCUGGAACUUUCCCCGCAAGCUCAUUACUGCCUAACCAGAGGGAUUCAAGGUUAACGCAAUGCGAUAUGUUGUCAGGAAUUUGACCUCCAAAUGUAUUGUUGUCCAGCCAUAAAAAUCGUAACCUGAACAGAUAUCCAAUCUCUUGAGGGAUUUCGUUGCGGAAAAUUAGAAUUAGAUAUAUUGAUUUGGAAUGUUUGUUUACAGAGAAAAUCUGAGCAAGAGAGAAAGAAAAUUUAUUCUUGUUAUUAUUAACAAAAUGGGAUCACCAGCUUAUAUAUGUUGCUUGCUGGAAUCUCUUUUACGCACUCAUCACUUUCACGUGUAUUUCACCUUUUUAGAGAAGCUAAAUAACAAACUAAACAGACUAACGACUACUUUGCUGACUGGACUGCCACGUCACCAUAACUGAAUUAACUAAACUAAUGCUGUUAACACAUAUUCUUAUCAUCCCCCCUCAAGCUUAAGUUCGGGGAAGAACAUUAAGCUUGGUACGAAGAUAAGCAAACUGAUCAAAGAAGAGGGGCUUGGUGAGAAUGUCUGCAAGUUGUUCUGAACUAGAAACAUGACUGAUAGUCAGUUGCUUCUGUGCAAUGUGCUCUCGAAUAAAAUGAAGAUCCAACUCAAUAUGUUUUGUACGAGAGUGAUACUUGGGGUUGCUAACUAGUGCCUCAGCACUCUGAUUAUCACAAUACAAAACUGGACUGUGAGUAGGCUGAAUAUGCAGCUCUUGAAGUAAAUAAGUCAGCCAAAGAAUUUCAGAGGUUGCUGAAGCAAGAGCCCGAUAUUCGGAUUCUGCUGAGGAAUGAGAAACAAUUGUCUGUUUCUUAGAAGACCAGGAAAUAAUGUUGUUGCCUAAGAAGGCACAAUACCCUCCAGUAGACUUUCGAUCAUCUGGAUCAGCUGCCCAAUCAGCAUCAGAAAAUGCUGUUAAAGUCACUGAUCCUGAAUUCCAAAGUGUGAAGUAGCUUGUAGAUAUCGAAGAACCCUUUUGCAAGCUUGCCAGUGUGCAAUAGUUGGAUGAGCUAGGAACUGACUGAGUUUGUUUACAGGGUAAGCUAUGUCAGGUCUGGUAAGCAACACAUAUUGAAGAGAGCCUACAAUGCUUCGAUACAAGGAGGGAUUAUCAAAGGCUGUACCACUGUCCUUUGUAAGCUUAGCACCUGGACUCAUAGGAGUGUUAAAACCUUUGCUGUCAAGCAUAUUUGCUUUGCUAAGGAUAUCACCAAUGUAUUUGGUUUGAGAUAAAUGCAGUCCCUGAACAGAGGGUGUCACUUCAAUACCAAGGAAGUAGUUAAACUCGCCCAGAUCUUUGAGUGCAAAUUCUGAAUGAAGAUAUUGAAUAACAGCCUCAAGAUGUUGAGAAUUAGAACCAGUAACCAAAAUGUCAUCAACAUAUAUAAGAAGGAGCACAAUAUCAUUGCCAAUAUGUUGAAUAAACAUAGAAGUAUCAGAUUUGGAAGAAUGAAAACCUUUAUUGAGUAAGGAACCCUUCAGCCUCUCAUACCAAGCCCGAGGAGCUUGUUUGAGACCAUAUAAGGCCUUGUUUAAUUUGCAAACAUAAGAUGGAUGUGCAGAGUCUAUAAAACCUUGUGGCUGAUGCAUGAACACAUCUUCUUCAAGCAUGCCAUUUAGAAACGCAUUAUUAACAUCCAGCUGUCUAAUUUGCCAAUGAUGCAUCACUGCGAGGCUGAGUACAACUCUGACUGUGCAAGGUUUCACAACUGGGCUGAAGGUCUCAAAGAAGUCCACUCCUUGAGUUUGAUGGUAACCCUUGGCAACCAACCUAGCUUUAUACUUGGAAAUGCUGCCAUCAGGAUUAUACUUCACCCUAUAGACCCACUUAUUGCCAACUAUUUUAGCAGCACUGUCAGAGGGUACUAGAGUCCAGGUUUGGUUCCUUUGUAGAGCAUCAAAUUCCUCCUUCAUAGCAUGAAACCACUUAGGAUCAUGCAAGGCACUUUUUACACUGGCUGGCACAAGAUUUUCAGUAGCUGCCAGAUAUGAUUUGGGUUUGAAAACACCAGCUUUAGCUCUAGUAAUCAUUUGGUGAGAUGGUAAAGAAGAUGAGUGAGGUGGUUCAGCUGAAGAAUGAAAGGAAGGAGAAGGCUGUGCUGAACUGGAACUUGAUGGAGAAGACAUUGCUGGCUGAGGAUUAGGAGAUGAUGACUCUACAGUGCUACUGUCAACCUGAGCAGAACUUUGAAGAAAGGAAAAUUGUACUGGUGAAGAUGAGACAUCAACAGUGGAGACUGAUGAAAUAGAGUGUUUCAAAAACAAUUCUUUGUAAGGAAACUCAGUUUCAUUAAAAACAACAUGUCGAGCAACAAACACUUUACCAGAGGAAUUUAAACAUUUAUAACCCUUGUGAAGGGGACUGUAACCAAUGAAAAUGCAUUUUUGAGUGUGAAAGUCAAGUUUAUGCUGGUUAUAAGGUCUAAGGAAUGGAAAACAGGAGCAACCAAAAACUCUGGGAAACUGGUAGUCAGGUAGUUGAUUAUGUAACUUCUGAAAUGGAGAUAGAUUGUUUAGAACUGAGGUGGGCAUCCUGUUAAUGAGGAAAGAGGCAGUGUGAAAGGCUUCCCACCAAAAGGAAAGAGGCAAUUGGGAUUGAGCUAGAAGUGUUAAACCUGUUUCAACUAUGUGCCUGUGUUUCCUCUCAACAACACCAUUUUGAUGGUGUGUGUAUGGACAGUUAUACCUAAAGCAUAUACCCUCUUGCUGAAGAAAGGUUUUAAAGGCUAUGAAUUCACCACCCAUAUCUGACUAUAGUGUUUUGAUAGACAAGGAAAACUGUUUUUCAACAAGAAGUUUGAAGUGUUUGAAGGUUUCUAAUGCUUCUGAUUUUGUUGUGAGAGGAAAGAUCCAAGAAUAUCGUGUGAAAUCAUCCACAAAGGAGAUAUAAUAUCUGUAUCCAUUCAUAGAAUAUUCAGGAGCUGGUCCCCAUAAGUCUGUAUAUAGAAGCUCAAGUGGUGCUUUUGUUUUAAUGGUAGUAACAGAAAAAUGAAGCUGAUGCAUUUUGCCAUAUUGACAGGCAUCACAAAAACUAAUGAAUUGAUUUGAAAAACAAUGCGUAGAAAGACUCUUAAUAAUUGUUUGCAAAGCAUGUUUAUUAGGAUGACCAUAUCGAUUAUGAAGUAACUGAACUGACAUCUUUCCAGUCUAGAAGAAUUUCCAGAAACAGAAUAUGCAAAAGAUUCAGUAGUAUUUACAUUGUGCAACUUUGACACAUGAUUAUUUGACUCUGGUAGAGAGUUUACAACUUUAUUAUCAACACACAAAGACAGCAUGGAACUUGGUUUAAAAGAAUUUGGAUUGCAAUCUGCAGAAUGGGGAGAGAACACAUCAAGUGACAGUAGCUUGUAAAGACCAUCUUCAACAAUCCCCUGUGCCAGCAAAAUUCCCUUCUUCUUGUCCUUAAUAAAACACAUGGUAGAAUAAAAUUCAAUGAUUAUGUUGUUAUCCAAAAGAAGUUUAGAUAUACUGAUGAGAUUUUUGGUUAUUUUGGGAACACACAAAGUAUUGGUUAAGGAUAAACAGGUGCCAAAAGAAGUAGAAAGAUAAGUGCAGCCAAUAUGUGUGAUAGUGAGACCUUGACCAUUACCAACAAACAACAAUUGAGUGCCAUUAUAAGGGUUACCUUCAACCAAAUUUUGCACAUUGUUGGUGAGAUGAUGAGUGGCUCCACUGUCCAGAUACCACCCCUGAUCAGCAACUCCUUCUGAAGUAGCCAUAUAAGCUGUUCUUGGCCCUUGAUUUGGCAUUGGAGAAUUUGGAAUAAAGUUUCUGUUAAAUCUGUUUCUGCAUCUGCAGCUGAGUGGUUUGGUUUGAAACAUAUUUGGCAGGUGAUAUUUCCUCUGCCACCUCCUCUACCAAAACCACCAGAGGAUGCUGGAUUUCUACCAUUAAAGCCACCAUUUCCAAUAAAUCCACCAGUAUUACCAUUAAAUCCACCAGAGUUUGAGCCUCUACCUUGAUUUCCAAACCAGCCUCUCCCUGAAUUUUGAUCCAUGAAGCCACCUCUGCCAGAUCCAUAACCUCCUUUGUUGUUGAAAUUACCAUUUCUAUUUCUAUUUACAAAAUUUCCAUUCCAAUUGCCCUGAUUAUUAUUAUUCCAAUUAGCAUUGUUUCCUGACUUCUUUUGAUUAUUGCCAGUAUUAGCCACAUUAGCACUAAAAUUCAACUUAGUUUCCUUAGCUACACCAGAAUGAUUACUCUCAAGCCUAGCUUCAUGAGAUAGCAGCAUAGAAUAAGCCUCAUUGAUACUUAUUUUAAGAGCAUUUGCUUCAAUAUAAACCACAACAGGGUAAUAAGACUGUCCUAGACCUGAGAUCAAAUGUGUAAUGAAGUCAAGAGAAGAAACUGAACUUCCAGCCAUUGCUAAUUCAUCAGUUACUGACCUCAGUUUACAAAAAUAUUCAGUAAUGGACAUGGAUCCUUUCUUAAGAUUGUUUAACAACAUCUUUAAAUGCACUUUCUUUGCUGCUGUUUCAAAUCCAAAUUGUUCCUCUAGACUUAUCCAAAGCUCUCGAGAGGUUUUAGAAUUUACCACAAUGCUUAAGAUCUCCACAGUGAUUGAAGACAGAAGCCAGCUCAAGAUCAUCUGAUCUUGCCUUUUCCAAGUGAUGCAAGCAGGAUUCUCUGAGACAACCACUGCAUCUGUGCUUGUUGAUUCUCCAGUCAGCAGCUGGUUUGGACAGGUACGUGAUCCAUCAAGAAAACCUUCCAGAUCAUUUGCUCGAAUGGCUGAAAGGAUCUGAGAUUUCCAUAUGGUGUAAUUCGAUCUGUCAAGCUUGAUUGGUGUGGUGAAAGUAAAUGUUGAGAUUGCGGAAGAGACAUUUGUACUAAGACUUGAAGAGGCCAUGAUCAUGAAGUGAUUCAAGGCUCUGAUACCAAAUUAGAAUUAGAUCUAUUGAUUUGGAAUGUUUGUUUACAGAGAAAAUCUGAGCAAGAGAGAAAGAAAAUUUAUUCUUGUUAUUAUUAACAGAAUGGGAUCACCAGCUUAUAUAUGUUGCUUGCUGGAAUCUCUUUUACACACUCAUCACUUUCACGUGUAUUUCACCUUUUUAGAGAAGCUAAAUAACAAACUAAACAAACUAACGACUACUUUGCUGACUGGACUGCCACGUCACCAUAACUGAAUUAACUAAACUAAUGCUGUUAACACAUAUUCUUAUCACGGAAGCUAUUGUUUUUGAGAUCUAACACUCUGAGAAAACUUAAAUUACCAAUGUGAGGCGACAGAGACCCCUGCAAGAGUAAAGAUGGAAGAAGUAAUGCAGUCACCCUUUGGUGCCGUCGACUGCAAGUGACACCUUUCCAUUGACAAAAGUGCCUGGAAUAGUUCCAUGAACUCAAAACCUCAAGAGGGUCAUGAGUAACUUUGGCCUUGAAUUCAAGCAAUGCAAGUUGAUCAGUUUCAUUUCUUUUGAGCAUAUAAUCGGUUGACUGCAAGCUGAAGCUGAAGCAACAGAAAAUAAAGAAACAAAUGCUUGCAAUGAUUGAACUCGUCAUGUUUACAAAAUCCAUUUAACUGCCGAAAGGAAAUUAAAAUGAUAAAACUUUUAUAGAGGUCGGUAAGAUAAACUAUGUUUGUAUAUUUUUUGCAAUGAUUUAUGGACUCUGUCUUUGAUGCUCAAAUGUGAACCGGCUGGCACCGUGACAGUGAAACUAAAACUUUUUGUUUUUCUAAUAAUAUUAAUUAUCAUAUUUAUUACUAUUGUUAGAAUAAUAUAUUGCAGCUUUAAAGAAAGACUCACCAUACUCCUUUUUGAGUCUCUGUCAGUUUCCAGCAUUUGGUCAUUUUUUAUUUCACCGCUUAAUCCACAGUAAAAUAUAAAACAAUUUAAUCAACAAUAUUGAAAAGAAAAAAAGUAGGACAAGAGAAAGGUAAAUACUGUUAAAUGAGUUGGGAAACGUUCAAAGCACGAAGGGAAUUAGAAAAGAAAAAAAGUAGGAUAAGAAAGUUAAGUAUGAUGGAUGGAGUUUCACAUUACUGUUAAAUGACUUGGGAAAGGUUUAAAGCACGACAGGAAUCAACGUUUCACAACGCUUUUUAGAUUUUUUUCUAAAAGGAAAAAGAUAUUCUCACAAAAGUAAGUACAAAAUUUCACACAAAACGGUGCAUUUAAAUAAAGUAAAAUUGCAAAAAUACUCAAAAUAUAUAAGAUUGAUUAUUUACACCCUCUUUGUUUAUCUUGGGUGAACUAUUUCUGGAAAAUGGGCAGAGCCUAGUUUGGUUCAAAAUUUGAAAUAACAAAAGGUAUAUUGGUGGAAAACCAGCGACAUAUUUUCUAAUGGUUAACCUAAAUGGGAAUUAUAUCGGUUUGUACUGUCAAUAUAACAAACAACUAACUAAAUUAUUUAGAAGUCAUGAAUAAAAAUGGAUAGAACAAGAAGUAUAUUGCUAUUCGAUGCAAGAAGUUGGAUUAUUAAACCAUAAUAAAAUAAUAUAACUACACAUGUGCAAUAUUAUUCACUAGAAAGAUUUAAUUUAGAUAUUAAACAGUUAGUGCAACUGUAUCGAUCUCAUGCUCAUUAAUUUAGAGUUUGAGAACUCAUAAUAAAAGAAAAUAGAAAUUUAAACAUAGAUCCUAUCCUAUUAAGUAGAAUCAGAAAAGAAGUUUACAGAAAUAAUUUUUCAUGGAAAUAAUGAAAUAUUAAUCCUGUUGAUGGAUAUAUUGGUGAAUACAUAAUAGAACAUUAUAAUAGAUUUUUAUCUAUCAAGCAAAGGGAAGAAUAUAAUUGGAAUAACAAAAGAAUUAGAAGUAAAUAGUAAUAUGCUAAUAGGAUAUAGAGGAUUAAUAUUAAUUAUCAUAUUUGUGUGUGUAUGUAUAUAUAUAUAUUUUAAAUGAUUUAGGGACUCUGUACUUGAUGCUGAAAUGUGAACCGGCUGGCACCGGGACAGUGAAACUAGUACUUUUUUUCCCUUAAAGCACCACAGGAAUCAACGUUUCACAAAGCUUUUUUUCCCUUUCUGAAAUAUUCGGUGCAGUCUCCCCCAGAUUUUGCUAGUGCAACCAAGAGACGUCAUGCCGUUAUCAAUUAUAAACUGUAAAUGACAUGUUGUUUUUACAAGACAUAUUAUGCGUCGAUACAUAUCUAUGAAUGGGUUCAAGAAAUUCCGAAGGUUGCGAAACAAUAAGAUUCAUUUAAUUAUGUGGGUUUGGCCACCAAUUUAGCAUUAGGAACUUAUUGUUUAGGAAGCUAUGGUGGGUUUCGUAGUGGGACUUAUCCUGUUUAAUGCAUUUGGUGAUUUUAAACCAACAUAUAUAUAAUUCCAUUAUAAAACUCAUCAAACCUUCUAAAAUAACAUGUUGAGAUAGUGUGCUAGAUCCAUAUAAAUAUUCAUUUCCAUUGAUAGUUUAAUGGGCAAAGCCUUUUGAAUUCUCCAUGUUAUCAAGUUAAUUUUUGCUGGAAAAUGCAAUCCGGAUAUGAAUAGAAUUUUUUGUGCAAUCAAAUUUUCUAUGUUGACACAUCCUCUGGAACUUUCCAUAACUUUUAUGGGGAAGCUUUAAUUUCUUAGUUGUUGAUUUCGAAUAAAAAAUAAACUUAACUUUAAAAUUACAAUUGUAAUUAUAAAAUAUUUACUGAAUACAUUAGUGUUAAUACUACAAAUUGUUCCAUUAAAAGUCUCCCAGAAAGGAAGAAGUGACUUAAAAAAUUAAAAGAAUGCAGGAGCUGAAGUUGGCAAUUUUGUAAAUUGCAAUGGCAAUUGUGGCCUAGUAAAAUCCCUCAAUAAGUCACAGCACUAGCAAUUUCGUAAUAUACAUUAGUGGCAAUUUUGUAAAAUUGAAGUAGUGAUAGUUUUGCAAAUAAAAGUAAAAACUUUUUCCCUAAAUUCGGCUGAGCUAAAAGCCAGCUUAGCCCACACUCUCCUUCGCCACUGGUUGACGAGCUCUUCCUUCAAUUUUUGAACUUGAAGUGAUGCCCCAUCGAUCAAAUAUUUAAGCAGAAUGAUGACGGAGUUACAAACAAUCAAAUAUGAUCCUAAUGAUUCUUUUUAGAGAGUCACCUGUACGUUGACGUGUUUAAUUGAUGUUUAUUUAACCAGAAAUUGAAGUUUGAUCCUGAUUAAUUAGAUGAGAACACACAUUCAUGAGUAAUUACUUAAAAUUAAAUUAAUCAAAAAUAGUAUAAAUACAGGAGAAAAUCGACCAUAUGCGUGCAGACACCACAAUCGAAUUAUAUAUAUCACCGCCGCACAUAAAUCUUAUUCCAAUGAUAUAUGAUUAAUUAAUUAAUUUUUUUAAUAACAAUUAAAUUGUAAUGUCAAUUGUCCACAUAAGAUUUUUUUUUUUGUUGAUGAAAGUUAGCAAUUUUUUUUCCAUUUUUUUAAAUAAUAGUUGUUAAUACAAAUCAAAAAGAUAUUAGCACUUGAGAUCAGGGUCUACUUGAGUUAGAAUUUUUUAUUAGAAAAGUUAUUAGCCAGCGAUGAAAAAUAAAGAAGUAACACAAGAUAAAGAGUAAAAUGAGAGAGUAUGUAUUAUAAAAAAUUUUUAUCCAUUUCAAGUGUGUACCAAACAAAGAGAUGAACUCUCCUUUCAUAAUUACAUAAUUAUUACAUGAAAUUAAUGAAAAUAUUAUGGAUUAUAAUUCCUUGCGAGAUAGUGGGAGUUAUAGAAAAGUCAAGAGUUGUUAGUGGAAGAUAAGAGAGAGAGUAAAAGAUAUAUGUUAUGAAGGUUUACAUUUAUUUUAAUAAAUUCAUAGUAUUUUUUUCCUUAAAUAAUAGGGUGUGGAGAACAAUUGGAAGGACUUUACGUGUGUGUGUAUAUAUUGACAUAGAAAUUGCAGGACGCGUAGUUUAGCGUUUCAAAUAGGUGCUCUCAGUUGGAAUUAUAUAUAGAACAUUAUUUAUGGCAAACAGGUGCUCUCAGGUGCUCUCAGUUUACGGCUUUUUACGGCAAACAGGUGCUCUCAGUUUUCAAAAUCUCGAGCGCGCGGGUUAUUUUUCAUUACCUUUAUCGCCGAAAGGCUGUUUUAACCAACUAAGAACUAAAAGCUAAAACCCAAAACCCCCCUCUUGUUCGUUUCCAGGGACUUUACCUUGAUGGCCGAAAAGCAACUGGAAAUCCUCCGCGGGUACGAGCUGCGGCUCUUGCCCUGCACCCUCGCUCCCCCACCGUCGGACCUUCGCAUUCAAUCGCAACCGUUGAACGAAGAAAGCCAAUGCUCUCUCCUUCCACUCCACGAGCACAUCAACAGCCUCAUCAACUCCAUCGAGUCCGGCCACUAUCUCCAGGCUCUGUCCUCCGACGCGGCUAAACACGCUCUCGACAAGCUCGAUUUCGUCGACAUCAACGACUCAGCCGAGUGUGCCGACCGCGUCUACUCCGAGCUGCUCCAGCUUGUCGAAGCGUUUAUAGUGAACGAUUCCGAAAAUGACGUGGAUAAGGCUUGUCAAGUUAUUCUGCUCAUGUGUCUUUCAAUUGCUGCUCUUUUUUGGUUCACUCAGUGUAACGUGACUGGGUGAGUUGCUUAUUUAUAAAUUUUUAAAUAAUUGCAAUUAAUAUAAUGAAUAUUAAUAAAAAAUUACAAAAAAAAGGUUUAGUGAUGAACGUUUGAACAUGAAUUAAUAGGCCUUUAGUUGAAAUUUGCCAAAGUGUCGGUUUCCACUAGAAGUUUCAACUUUAGAAGGCAACGAAUUGAUAGAGUGGGAGAAUUGGGCGCGUUAUCAGCUCAUGUCUGUUGGCUCUGACUUGCUGGGAAAGUUCUCCUAUCUUCAGGUACUCAGUCUAUCGAAAAAUGAAUAGAUUCUAUUGCUUAGACAGUGUUAAUGUUAAUAUUAUCUUUUUUAACUUAUUUUACAUUUUGUGAUCUUUUUGUAGUAUAUAGUUUUUGCCAAAAUGUUGAUCAUGAAGACAAAAGAUUUGCUGUCUGAUGCAACUGUGUUGCCUGUGAAUGGGAUUAGAACCAUUUCAUGGUGGCUCACAAGACUCCUACUUAUGCAUCAAAGGAUUUUAGACGAGCAGUUGUCUUCUUUGUAUGAUCUAUUGAAAGUUCUUUGUAUGAUCUAUUGAAAAUUUUUAGGGCUGAGACUUUACAACAUUUUGGCACUUUGGAAAAUGUUAGUACUUAUUGGGGCAACCAGUUGCAUGAUAUCGAUCCUUCAGAGAUUAUUUCAACAUUUCAUUUAGAAGCAGGACUGUAAGAACACAUUUACAGGAGAGUUGAUUCUUGCAGGUGAGUUAUCCUGGGAAAGUUUUAUAUUCGAUGGUCUUAUUUCUGGCUUCAUUAGAAAAGUUUUCUCUUGGAAACAUGUUAUUUCCAACAUGGAACUUGCCUGUAGAACUCUCUCCGUCAUCGAAAAUGAUUUUGUGCAUUGUGUGUAAGGGAGAUGCAAGAACAAAGUUUUAUGUUUGGACUUCAUCAAAAUCUCCCAUUUUUUUAAUGUUUAUUGUUUCAAUCAUUAAACAUUAGUUUGAGUUGUUAGCAGUGGAAUUUGCAUUAACUGAUUACUAACUUCCAUCAUUACCAUUAUUAUAGGACUUCUUCUAUAGUUUCUGCUGCUUUCUAAAAUGCUUUACUGUAUCAGGAAACAUUUUGAAUCAGCUGAAGUGGCAGCUGGUUUCCAGCUUUCGGUUAUUGGGGUUCUUGGUUUCCGUACUGUCCGUCAGGUAAAGAUUGAAUGUGCAUCAUUUAUAAAGUUGUCGGGAGCUUCCUUCUUAGCUUUGAGAUUGCUCCUGCAUAUAGGUAGAACCAAAGGCACAAAUGGUACAUGUUGCAAACACAAGCUCAUCCAGCACUUCUGAUGUCUGCCCUUCAAUAAACCAAGUCAUUCAUACACAUGAUUCUUCGGUGAUGCCUCUGAUGUUUUUGUGGCCCCAAAAUUAUUGGGGAAUAGUCACGAAUCUGAAUCUGGAGUCCAAUGCAUUCACGCUGGUGGCUCAGCAGCCCAUUUAAAGGCAAUCCAACAGGCAGUGAUCUUGUCGAGGUGCCUUCUAAUAGAAAAGAGCUCACGGCAAGAUGAAAUGCAAAGUAAGUUGUUUUAUGGUUGGGCGGUGUGUAGUCCUCUUGUUAAAGGCCAUAAGAUGUUAAGCAUAUUGCUAUUUAAUUUUUAAAUCAUUCUCAGUAAUAAUUCCUUUAGUAGAUUGAUGAUAAGAGAUUGCAUUACAGAUGAUAACUGAGCACAAUUUCUGUAGUUGUAUCCCUGUACAUCCAUCUUAAUAUCCUCAUUAUUCACAUGCCUUUUACGGGUGUUAUUUCUGGAUGCCGAAUGCUUUGUUCCACGUCUGGAUACCAAAUGCUUUGUUCCACAAAGCUGAGCUGGUUGAAAAGCUAGCUGAUGAGGUCAACAUGUCCCUUAAGUAAUUUGAGAAUGAACACUGUGUUCCCGAAAGUCUUACUCUAAUGAUACUUAAAGAAGCAAUGAGAAUGGAUGUUGCAGCAGCUUUGCUGAACUUAACCCCAGUUCCAAAUAUGGAACAUGUGAGAACCGAAAAUGCAUUGUUUUUUUUUUUUUUCUCUUUAUGACUUCUCUAGUUGGGGAAUGUAUUAGAUAUUCACCUAAUCAGUAGGCCUUGAAGGGAUCCCAUGUUAGCCCCUUGAUGUUGGUCUGUAACUAAGUAAAUACUUGACCUUGAAAAAGCUUUUGGAGGCAUCAGUUUCUCUCUGACUGUGUGCUACUUUUUGGAUCUGUUGAUUUGGUCAUUUGCUGAUUUAUAGUUAUUUUUCUGAUUCAGGAUGGGAUAUGGCUCCAUACAUAGAGGCAAUUGAUUCACAGCAGUCGUCAUGCUUCAUUGUAAGUAUAUAUACAAUACAGCAUCAGUUUUUCUUGAUUUUAAAUCUCAUAUUCUGAAGUGGUACUUCUGAUUCUCACAUGAUUUUUCCAUCUUUCAGCUAAAGUUUUUCUGUGAUCUCUUACGUAUUAGAUGGGAGUCCACCCGUAGUCGCACAAAAGGGCGCGCUUUAGAGAUGAUGGACAAACUGGUAUGAUCUGUGAGCCUUUUCUUCUUAAAUAUUUUGUUACCUAAAUCAUUUUCAUUCAAAUUGACAAGAGUUGCCUAUGGAUCUAUAGAAGAUUCCAAACUUUCUGCAGCUAGUACUUUAUUGGACCCAAAAGCUUCUUUGCUUUUUCUAAGCUGCUAAUCAAGACUAGGUUUCUCUCCCUUAUAUCGCUAGAUAUCCCAUUCAUCGUUAGAUUUAGUUGUCUAGAGAGAUUAGGUACUUGCAUCUUUGCUUUUCACUUCACAAGUGAUUUCAUGUGCUAUCCUGUAUUCUGGUCCAAGAUUUUUGAUGGUUGCUUACUAUCAUAUUUUGCUUUGUUUCGGGUUGAGGGCAUUUCUAAUUCUUCUCCCGGUGUGACUCAAAGUAUUCCCUUUUGUUAUGUGAUUUGCGUUCCAACUAUUCCUGCCCUGCGAAAGUAAAACUAUUUCUUCUGCAUCUUUGAAUGAUUGUGAUUUAAUUUUCUUGUCAUUUUGCCAACUAUCAUUAUGCUGUCAUUGUUUCAUAUAUCUUAUUUGAAAUAUGUUGAUUUGGUUAGAGUUUAAUUGCUCUGUUUAUUCUCUUUAUAACCUGUCUAUUUCGAUUUUUCUUGAAUUUAGGGAAUAUGCUAAACUUUUAGUAAGCUGUGGCUUGAUUGGAGAGGCUAUUAAAAUUUUUGAGGAUCUGGAGUUGUGGGAUAAUCUAAUACUGCAACUGAUAUGAUGUCAUAGAUAACCAUUAUCCUAAUCUCUCUGUCUAUCUCUCUCUUUCUCUCUCUUUCGUGUUGCUAUGGGAGUUGGUUUUGUGUAUGAUGUAAAAAACAGCCUAUUGGGGAAGAAAACAGCAGCUGUUGAACUAAUAAAAGCAAGGCUGUCUGAAAAGCCUAAUGACCCUAGAUUAUGGUUUGUUGAUGAGCCUUUUUAUGAUCCAUUUUAUAGUUACUUCUCAUUUCAGUUAAAUCCAUUGUUGAUGUCACUUAUUGCAAUCUAGGGGUAAUUGUUCAUUGGAUGUAAGGAUAUUGUCAGAAGAAAAUGAAACCUUUUAAUUUUAUCUUUUACUUGCUGUAGCCGAUUUAAAAGCUCACUGUGCGUUCUUACUGAUUGCUUUUGGUCUAGCAUUCGAGUCAGUGGAUUUUAUACUAUUCUGACAUUUAUUGUUAGUCUUCUGACGGUUCUGCACCUGGGUCCUAUAUUAUCUUCAGCAGUAUUAUCUAAAAGAUAAGUUUUUGCUGAAGAAUAUUUGCAUUCUAAACUAGAAAAGGAGGGGCCGCCCGGGAGGGGUGUGUGAAGGAAGCAUCAGGAGGCUGUUUUCCAGUUAUCCUCUUCCCUGCCUGCAUUUUAGAUGAUUCUGAUGCACCAGGUGCCGUGAAAUGGUUGAGAAAUACAUACCAUCAAGUGAAUUCUGGAAAUCAUAUCCUUUUUGAGAAUAUUUGGUGCUAGGCAUUUGAAUAUGUGGCCACAAUUUAAACAAUAAAGAUUUUCUGCAUUGAUUUCUUAUAAUGGAUAUAUGCAUGUAAUUAUAAUAUGAUAUCUUUUGAUUAUUGACCCAUUUGUUUAGAAAAAAGGGAAAAAAAAAAAACAUGGUUAAAAGACAACUGUUACUUGACCUUAUCUUGGUCUCUUCACUGCCGUUUGUUUCCCAUAACUUCUGGUGAUAAUGUAGCCAGAAUGAUGAGUUGAAUUGUGGGUUGCUGACUUGUGAUACAUUUUGUAGGUGUUCAUUAGGUGAUGUUACAAAUUAUGAUGCCUGCUAUGAAAAAGCUUUGGAAGUUUCGAAUGAUAAGUCAGCUCGAGCUAAGGUGAUAUUCGUUGCACAGAGAAAAUGUAGUUCACAUUAUGCUUGUACCAUGAUCAUUUUUUAGUUAACAUAUCUUUACGUGAAUCGGAGGUCUCUAGCUCGUAGUGCAUGCAAUAGAGGGGAGUACGAGACAUCUUAAAUCCUUUGGUAUGUUGCUUUAAUGCUUUACUUCUCUUUCUGUCACACAGUAAUUUGCAGCAUUCACAACUGAUAUGGCUGAAUGACAAUUUACCCUUGGUUUUGUCUCAGGGAGGCUGCCAUGGCCGUGAAUUCUUUGUAUCCGGAUGGCUGGUUUGCUCUUGGUGCUGCUGCAUUGAAGGUAUCUUAUUUUUGUAUUAGUAUGUGUUUAGUUUGGAGAGAUUUCUUAUCCUUUUGCCCCAAGUUUCUGAAACUCUCGGCUGAAAUAUAAAUACAGGCUCAGGAUGUUGAAAAGGCUCUGGAUGGGUUUACUCGGGCUGUUCAACUUGAUCCAGACAAUGGGGAAGCUUGGAACAAUAUUGCUUGCUUGUAUGCUCCUUUCUUUGUCAUCAUGUCAUUCCGUCCUCUUGCUCUGUAUUCUUUAAUAUGGUUCCAUAUUCCCUUGAUGAGUGAAUUUAGUUGCUGCAAAUGCUAAGAACUAGAUAGUACUGUUAUAAUUAGGAAUAGGGCAAAUAUUAGCCAUAGUAUCUGAAUUUCUAGACAAAAUUGGUCAUUUUUGCAAAUCAUUUGGACGUAUCUAUGCAGCAGUUUACUAUUUUAGUGAUUGCAGGAAUUGGUAUGCUUAAAUUUUGGGCUUAAAUUGUGUGAAAAUAAUCAAAGUGAUAUGCAAAUUAAAUCAAGCCACAUGAGGGAAGAUUCUCUUUUUUUUUUUUUUAAGCUUAUGUUUCAUGUUUCUCUGUAUGGCAUAGGUAGUUGGAAGUGAGAGUAGUGCAGAUAUGUGGGGAUUAUAUGCAAGGUGGCUUAAAAGUAAAGGAGAUCUUACAAUGUGCUCUGAAGCCCUCUUAAAGCAAGUCAGAUCAUAUCAGGUUUCUCCAUAAAUCUCAUCAUCUUAUAAUAAUUUAGCAUUAUGUUUUACUUUGAUGUUGAUGGAAUUUGUUAAUGCUAAUCAAAUUUUGUUAAUCUCUCUCUCUCUUUUAAAAAGAAGGCAAAGAAAAAGCAUUGUGAUUUCAUUUUCGUUUUCUAAAUUUGUUAUCUAAAGGAAUGACAAGUUGACAACUCAGUCUCUCUCUCUCUCUCUCUGUCUCUCUCUGUCUGUGUCAGGGAUCUGAUUUGUGGAAAGAAAGAGAUCGGUUUAAAAGGUUUUCAUAUGCAUCCUUGGAACUUUGUAAGGUUUACAUGGAAAUUUCUUCCUCUUCUGGUAGCCGUCGAGAACUCUUUGCUGCUGAGAUGCACCUGAAGAACGUACUUAAACAAGUAAAAUACCUUAUAAUUCGAUAUUUAAGACACUUACAGUUGGUAUUACAUUGACAGCAGUAAAACAAGGAAGCAACUGAAAGUUAUCUUUAUAUGAGAAUGAAAGCUUUUCAGCAGCAUAAGCCUUUCACUAUUCAAUUCCAAACAUGUUCCUCAACAUGAUAACAAAUUCGUAGACCUUUUCUGGGUCUGGAAGGAUCCUGGCAACAGUUUCUCUUUGCAUGCACUUGUUCAUCCAUGCUGAGAAUUUGGGGCACUCAUUCUCAACCUUAAAUCCCCCAAAUUCCUCAACCGCGUAAAACCAACAAGUCAGUGGAAUGGCAAUGACAUCAACGAAUCCAAAGCUGUCCCCGCCAAAGAAAUCCUUCUCCCCUAAAGCUCCCUCAAGUUGCUUCAAAAUCUCUAUAAAUUCAUUCUUCGCCGGGGACCUCGCCCUUGCUUUUCCAUAUGUUGCAUACUGCAUCGAAUACCUACCAAAAGAGUGGUGUCAUCUUUUAAGUUCGCAUUUAGAAAGAUACAAACAUUUACACUUGUGAAUUAUAGACUGACCUUCUUGUCAAUAAAAUCUGACCAGAACCUUGCCUUAGCUCUCUCAAAAGCACAGGAUGGGAGAAGUGGUGGCGAAGGCCAAGUCUCGUCAAUGUAGUUAACUAUGAUAGUGGAUUCACACAAUGGUUUCCCAUCGUGUAGCAAAACUGGGACUUCUUAUAGAUGGGGUUUGAUUUGAGCAACAAGUCACUCUUGCCCCCAAACAAGUUCUCAGCUCUGGCUUCAUAUUCAACUCCUUUCUCAGCCAAUGCAAUCUUUGCUCUCAAGCAAAAUGGGCUAGCCCAACAGUCCAAAAGAACAACCUCUCCCUUGGACAUAUUCACUUUCUUUGUUCUUGUUUCUUUUAGUUGGUUGAUAGUAAUUAAACCUUGAGUAUCAAGGUUGGCAUUUAUAAAGUAGAUAAGAUGAAAUUCCCAAAGUUUGUGUCGCAAUCAACGUUUGUUCGUUGGCACUUCCUUAAAGGAUUUGGCAUUGUUUUUAUCAUUUCUUAGUUUUUGAAGCUAACUGUUUUACUUGGCUUCCAACAUGCACAAGAACAAGUUUGUCUUGUGUAUGCGGAGUUUACUAAGGACAAGCCGAAUCGUAAGCAAGCAUAUACACUAAUCAAUCGGUAUUGUCCAAUGAAAAUAAGUAAUGUAAACUUAUCAAAAAAAAAAAAAAAAGAAGUAAUGUAAAAAGUGUCUAGGAUUUUGCCUAAUAUUUCUCAAAAUACGCUAAUUAAGCCAAUUCUGGUGCUAGAUUGGUUCAACUUUGAAUCAAACUUGGAAACAUUGUGCUUUAGAUUACUAUUAUUGAUUUAGAAGAGUCAAAAAGCUAAGAGUAUCGUUGGUAAAGCUCAAACAUGUGGUAUAUCACAUAUUACUAGUGAGUGAGUUUCAUAAACUUUCCUAAUGAAGAAGACACAUUUUGGGUUGUAAAUCCUAACACAAAAUUUAUUCAGUUGUUGAGCCAGAAAUAUUACAGAUAUAUCAAUAUUAUUUGAUGUGGGCGCACAACCCUGCGUCUUCUUACAUAACUUGUAUGUGCACGUUGGCAGGAUAUCCCAAUUAUGUACUCGUUUGUCUUCAUGUGUUUUAAAAAAAUCUAUUGUAAUGGAUAUAUUGUAAAUUUAUCUAAUUGCUUGUUAUAAUGUUUCUAUUGUGGCGUUAUUCAAGUUGUCAUUUUCAGUUUUAUUUUGUUUUUCUUUAAACAUAGUUAAUUUGAAGUGUUCUUUAAUAUCCAUUACACUUGAGAUCAUCAAAUAAGUGAUUCUCGAGCAUAAUUGCUGUUGUUACUCGAAUAAGAAAAGAAAACAAAGUAUAGCUAAGGUAAAAGCAAAUGGAAAUGAGAGAACCGUGAUUUUGCAAAGAGAACUUCACACUAUCAUAAAACCGAAAACAUUACAAUUUAAAGCUUAAAUAACAACACACCAAAGCCAAAUAACGACCCACUAGAAUCAUGGUCCAAAGAUUGUGCCAUGAUCACAACAUGAACUACAAAAAAAAUAACCAACACCAAAAAAGUAGGAACAGUUUAAAACUUUCAACUAAGCAACAUUUAUGAUUCCACAUCAGCAGUCCUAAACACAUCUUCUAACAAUUGCAGCUGUUCAUUUUUGCUUCUGCCAAUAAGGAGUUGAUAGUAACCAAAAGGUUGUUGUCUUUAUUGUCAUUUGAGAGUAACCAAUUACUUACGCAGUCACGUAAGUUGCUGGUUGGCCUCGCACAUUUUUGAUAAGUUUGUUUCUGAAGGAAAGCAGCUGAGCCGCAACCUCUUCCAUGCUCAUUCGUUCUCUCGGCAACUCUGAGGAGCAAGUGACUCCGAUUGCCAGUACUGAAACCAAGCACUCUUUAACACUAAAACAUCUGGUCCAUUGUCUGUGAGCAUUGGCCUUGCUUGUCCCCCCUUCUUCUUUUUCUACAAGAAGCACUGGAUCAACAAUUUCAGCAAGUCUUUCAGGAAGAGCUUCCUUGACAAAAUUAUGUAGGGUUAGAUUGCCUGUAAACAUUUCAUUCGUCGGCCUCUUUCCUGUAAACAUUUCCAGUAAGAGUAUUCCAAAACAGUACACAUCUCCACUUGUUGAGACUUCGCUCCCCAUUCCGUACUCUGCAAUUCGAAAACUAAAAUUGUUGGUUCAACUAGUAAAAUCUCCAAGGAUUGAAAGACAAGUUAAUUAAAUUAUAGUAUUUACCUGGAGCAGCAUAACCAACGGUUCCUUUUACUCCAACAGAGCUUGAUUGAUUAGAUGACAAGUUAUUGGUGGCUUCCGGAAGGAAUUUUGCUAACCCAAAAUCACCUACAUGGGCAGUCAAUUCACCAUCCAGAAGAACAUUGCUUGGCUUGAGAUCACAAUGGACUAUUGGAGUCUCGCAAAAAUGAUGUAGAUAAUCCAAUGCGGAAGCAAGAUCAACGGCAAUACUCAGUCUUUGCAGGAGAUUUAGAUUCCUUGGUGCCUCACGGUUUGGAUGCAACCAUUCCUCCAGGCUCCCGUUAACCAUGAACUCAUAAACUAAAGCCUCGAAAUCAUUUCCUUGGAAGUCAACACUUGCACAGGAAGUUAUUAUUUUGACGAGAUUCCGAUGCCUAAUACUUCUCAAGGCUUGACACUCCGCCAUGAAACUCUUUGAAGCUCCUCGAUGUUGAAGAUUAAGCACCUUAACUGCCACCAGCGUUUCAUGAUCAUCAUGAUUGAGGACUCCUUUAUAGACCGAACCAAAGCUACCGGCACCAAUCAAGUUUUCCAAAGAGAACCCGUCAGUUGCUUUGAACAGAUUCUCAUAUGACACUCGUAAAAUCGAAGCCAAUAAUGCUGACGGAGGAGUGGCCGGCUCCAUUUUUGAUUUGCUCCGCCGGGAAGUAAUUAUCAAACACGACAUCCCUGUCACUAACAAAAUUACUGUAACUACAGGAAUAAUCAGUUUCAGGGAACGGGCACGUGAUUGCUUUGAUUCUUUGAUGGAACAAGUAGAUAAAUGCAACUCAGAUAUGCCACCACAGAGGUUAUCAUUUCCAUCAAGAGAUAUAGCACUUGAAUUGCUGUAGACUCCUUUUAUUGGUACUUCACCCUCAAAAUGAUUAGAAGAUAGAUUUAAAUUCUGCAAAAAGAAAAAGUUUUCAAAAUAUUUUGGAAUCCGGCCAGACAAAUUGUUCCGCGAAAGAUCAAGGUUCUGAAUGCCUCUCAAAGAACUGAAUGAUGAAGGGAUAUUCCCUUGAAAGAAAUUACCAUUCAUGACGAGUUGUUCCAACCUAACGCAACUUCCUAGACUGUUUGGAAUUUCACCAGACAAUUUGUUCUCAGAUACAUCUAGAACACCCAGAUUUUUCAAGAUGCCAAAAUUUGAGGGCAAAGGACCGUUCAAUUGGUUUUGAGAUAGAUCAAGAUAGAUUGACAAGGAAGAGAGACCAAUCACUUCAGUGGGUAUGGUACCAGUGAGGUUGUUAUUAGAGAGAUCUAAUAAUAUCAAGUUUUGGCAUUUCCCUAGACUUGAUGGAAUGCUUCCCUCUAACAUGUUUUCGUCAAAAGCUAGUAUAGCUAACGAUGUCAAAUUUCCUAUAGAAGAUGGAAUUUCCCCCAAAAACUUGUUCCCGUUCAGCCCCAACCCCUGCAGCUUUUGAAGAUAUCCUAUGCUUUCCGGAAUUCGGCCUGUGAAUUGGUUGUCCCCAAGGUCUAAAAGCUCUAAGUUAACAAGAUUUCUUAAUCCACUUGGGAUAUUUCCGAACAAUUGAUUGUUUCCAACUGAUAAUUUUCUAAGUCGGGUUGACAAGUUCCCCACAGCUUCAGGUAACAUUCCGCCACAAUUGUUAACAUGACCUUCCAGUCGCUCUAGUCUAGAAGCGUUGACCAAAGAAUUGACAAAUUCCAAGUCAUCUUUUUUCCCAUUUCCUAAGUGAUUCCAAGAAAUACUAACCCAUUCGAGUUUAUGUAAAUGUUCCAAACUAGGCACCUUUCCACUGAAUCCAUUCCCUCCGAUUGCAAGUCUCAAUAGAUUUGAGGCAUUGGAUAUUGAAGCAGGAAUAGGCCCGGUAAACUGAUUUUCACCAACGUUUAAUUCUUCAAGAUUAGGAAGGGUGAAGCCUAAGUCUGAUGGAAGGCUUCCUUGAAGUUGGUUAACAGGAAAAUCAAAAACACUAAGCGAAGACAAGUUGUAGAUUGAGAAGGGGAUUUCACCUGAUAGCUUAUUUACUCCAAAUGCUAUAAAACGCAUCCUCUUAAGCUCGCCCAGGGUUUCAGGAAUUUGUCCCACAAAUUGAUUUGCAGUUGCUGAGAGGACCUCGAGUGAUGACAAAUUGCCAAAGGAAGAUGGGAUUUCUCCUGACAAAUUGUUGUAGUGUACUGAGAGAAGCCGGAGCUUUGAUAAGGAGCCCAGAUUCCCUGGAACUUUCCCCACAAACUCAUUGGAGCCUAACGAGAGGGAUUCAAGGUUAACGCAAUGCGAUAUGUUGUCGGGAAUUUGACCUCCGAAUGAAUUGUUAUACAGCAUUAAUUUUUGUAACCUGAACAGAUAUCCAAUCUCUUGAGGGAUUUCGUCGCGGAAGCUGUUGUUUUUUAUAUCUAACACUCUGAGAAAACUUAAAUUACCAAUGUGAGGCGACAGAGACCCCUGCAAGAGUGAAGAUGGGAGAAGUAAUGCAGUCACUCUUUGGUGCCGUCGACUGCAGGUGACACCUUUCCAUUGACAAAAGUGCCUGGAAUAGUUCCAUGAACUCAAAACCUCAAGAGGGUCAUGAGUAACUUUGGCCUUGAAUUCAAGCAAUGCAAGUUGAUCAGUUUCAUUGCUUUUGAGCAUAUAAUCGGUUGACUGCAAGCUGAAGCUGAAGCAACAGAAAAUAAAGAAACAAAUGCUUACAAUGAUUGAACUCAUCAUGUUUACAAAAUCCAUUUAACUGCCGAAAGGAAAUUAAAAUGAUAAAAUUUUUAUAGAGGUUGAUAAGAUAAACUAUGUUUGUAUAUUUUUUGCAAUGAUUUAUGGACUCUGUACUUGAUGCUCAAAUGUGAACCGGCUGGCACCGUGACAGUGAAACUAAUACUUUUUGUUUUUCUAAUAAUAUUAAUUAUCCUCUUUAAGGAAUAAUAUACACUUUUGACCCGCCACACUCACUUUUGACGCUCUAUCAGUUUCCAGCAUGUUGUCGUUUUGUAUUUUAGUGCAUUAAAGAAAUCCACAAUGAAUAUAAAAUAAUUUAAUCAACAGUAUUAGAAAAAGAAAAAAAGUAGGAUAAGAAAGUUAAGUAUGAUGGAUGGAGGUUCAGAUUACUGUUAAAUGACUUAGGAAAGGCUUAAAAAGCACCACAGGAAUCAACGUUUCACAAAGCUUUUUUUCCCUUUCUGAAAUAUUCAGUGCAGUCUCCCCCAGAUUUUGCUAGUGCAACCAAGAGACGUCAUGCCGUUAUCAAUUAUAAACUGUAAAUGACAUGUUGUUUUUACAAGACAUAUUAUGCGUCGAUACAUACCUUUUCUGGUUGUUGGUUUAUAAAAAUAUAUGAGACGGCUUGUUAGCUUUAACCUCAUUGUCAUUUUGAAUAGCCUACAAGAGUCGAAUGACUAGACUUCCAAUUUGCUAUCAUCCCCCUUGAAUGGGUUCAAGAAAUUCAGCAGGUUGCGAAACAAUAAGAUUCAUUCAAUCGGCGUAGAUAUCUAACUGACUGAAAUUAAAUAAAUGAUGAUGAUAAGAAAUUUGAAAUCAACAAAUCUCGGCACAUCUAUUCUGCAAUUUAGCCGUACUUCAAAUAAUCUUGCGAUGAAAAUUUCAUAAAAAUUUUCAGAAAGAGGACAGAACAACCAAGGCAUCAGCGAAAGCAAUCGUGGCAGGGCACGCUCAAGCCACGAGUUAGAGGAAUUUUAAAUAUCAAAACCAGCUCAGAAUAAUAAGAGGUAAAAUGAAUCUAUGAAAGGCUCAGAUUUUUGGAUGAGUGAAGGGAAGAUGAGAAGAUGAAAUGCAGAAAGUCAAGAAAUGAAUAAAACAGCUCUAAUUUGGAUUAAGCAUCCAUCUACCUAUGUGGAUAAUAAUUUUGCUAAUUUUUCAGCCAUGCAGCAGGAUCAUGUUCGUCCUGUUUUAUUUGAUAGAAGGAAUUUUCCCUUGGAAGAAAAUGAUGAGUUGUUUCAACGUCAUGCAACUGCCUAGACUGCAUGGAAUUUCACCAGACAAUGACAAUUUAUUCUCAGAUAUAUCUAACGCCCCACAAUUUAAACAAUAAAGAUUUUCUGCAUUGAUUUCUUAUAAUGGAUAUAUGCAUGUAAGUAAAAUAUAAUAUCUUUUGAUUUUUGGCCCAUUUGUUCAGAAAGAAGGGAAAAAAAAAAAAAUACAUGGUUGAAAGACAACUGUUACUUGACCUUAUCUAGGUCUCUUCACUGCCAUUUGUUUCUUAUAACUUAUGGUGAUAAUGUAGCCAGAAUGAUGAGUUGAAUUGUGGGUUGCUGACUUGUGAUACAUUUUGUAGGUGUUCAUUAGGUGAUGUUACAAAUAAUGAUGCCUGCUAUGAAAAAGCUUUGGAAGUUUCGAAUGAUAAGUCAGCUCGAGCUAAGGUGAUAUUGUAGUUCACAUUAUGCUUGAACCGUGAUCAUUUUUUAGUUAACAUAUCUUUAUGUGAAUCAGAGGUCUCUAGCGCGUAGUGCAUACAAUAGAGGGGAGUACGAGACAUCUAAAAUCCUUUGGUAUGUUGCUUUAAUGCUUUACUUCUCUUUCUGCCACGCAGUAAUUUGCUGCAUUGACAACUGAUAUGGCUGAAUGACAAUUUACCCUUGGUUUUGUCUCAGGGAGGCUGCCAUGGCCUUGAAUUCUUUGUAUCCGGAUGGCUGGUUUGCUCUUGGUGCUGCUGCAUUGAAGGUAUCAUAUUUUUGUAUUAGUAUGUGUUUAGUGUGAAGCGAUUUCUUAUCCUUUUGCCCCAAGUUUCUGAAACUCUCGGCUGAAAUAUAAAUACAGGCUCGGGAUGUUGAAAAGGCUCUGGAUGGGUUUACUCGGGCGGUUCAACUUGAUCCAGACAAUGGGGAAGCUUGGAAGUUGGAACAAUAUUGCUUGCUUGUAUGCCCUUUUCUUUGUCAUCAUGUCAUUCCAUCCUCUUGCUCUGUAUUCUUUAAUAUUGUGUCAAUCACAUUCAUCUUCUAUCUGCAAGAGUAUGCUUCCCAUAUUUGGUUUACUUUGUUUUGACUUUCUUGUUGCAGUUGUUCUGUAUAAAUUUUAUAUGGUUCCAUAUUCCCUUGAUGAGUGAAUUUAGUUGCUGCAAAUGUUAAGAACUAGAUAGUACUGUUAUAAUUAGGAAUAGGGCAAAUAUUAGCCAGCUCUUUUGAGGAUUAUCCAUAGCAUAUACCUCCGUCGUUUUCAAAGCGAUUGAAGUUCUCCCUUUUGUCUUAUUUAAAAGAAAAAAGCACAAAUUGCUUCCCUCACAUCUCUCUACAGUCUCUUUUCUCUCUGUUUAAUUUUUUCUUGUGCUUAUUAUUUGUCUUUUAAUGCAUCUUUUCUUCUUAUUUUAUACUGUACUAGAAUUUGUGCUGUCUCGAUUUCAUCUUGUAUGUGAGUUACUGUGUUUUUCGCAAUUGUAGAACUUUAUUUAGCAGCAUAAUUAUUAGUUAGUGAGACAUUAAUUGGUUAAUACCACUUUUGAAGAUACGAAGAGCUACUUAUUCUCUCUUCUAGUACAUUUAAAAAAUUCAUCACAAAAUAUCUGGGAUGGUAAAAUUCUCGUCAAUUAUAACUACGGAAGUCUUGAGAUUUAUGUAAUCUUGCAGGCAUAUGAUCAAGAAGAAGAGCAAAGAGGCUUUUAUAGCAUUCAAGGAGGCCCUAAAGUUCAAUUUCUGUCUUUUUUCACCCUGAUCACUACAUUUUUAUUUUUUUGGUGGAUAAAGCCUGCUGUCACUUUGGGCAUCAAUUUCUAAUGAAUGCAAUAAUGUUCCUUUCUUUGCUAUUCAUUAAAAUUGAGUUGUUCUUCUUGGAUGGCCUUCUUUUUACUUCCCAUCAUUUUGCCAGCUUGUUGAUUGUCAUUUUUGCUUGUUGGCAGUCUUUUCCUGCAGUGUUGAUAAUAUUUAACAAAUUCGCAGACCUUUUCUGGGUCUGGAAGGAUCCUCGCAACAGUUUCUCUUUGCAUGCACUGAUUCUCAACCUUAAAUCCCCCAAAUUUCUCAACCGCGUAAAACCAACAAGUCAGUGGAAUGGCAAUGACAUCAACGAAUCCAAAGCUAUCCCCGCCAAAGAAAUCCUUCUCCCCUAAAGCUCCCUCAAGUUGCUUCAAUAUCUCUAUAAAUUCAUUCUUCGCCGUCCCUGGGACCUUGCCCUUGCUUUUCCAUAUGUUGCAUACUGCAUCGAUUACCUGCCAAAAGAGUGGUGUCAUCUUUUAAGUUCGCAUUUAGAAAGAUACAAACAUUUAUACUUGAGAAUUAUAGACUGACCUUCUUGUCAAUAAAAUCUGCCCAGAACCUUGCCUUAGCUCUCUCAGAAGCACAGGAUGGGAGAAGUGGUGGAGAAGGCCAAGUCUCGUCAAUGUAGUUAACUAUAACGGUGGCUUCACACAAUGGUUUCCCAUCGUGUAGCAAAACUGGGACUGUCUUGUUGAUGGGGUUUGAUUUGAGCUGCAGGUCACUCUUGCCCCCAAACAAGUUCUCAGCUCUGGCUCAUAUUCAACUCCUUUCUCAGCCAAUGCAAUCUUUGCUCUCAAGCAAAAUGGGCUAACCCAACUGUCCAAAAUAACAACCUCUCCCUUGGACAUAUUCACUUUCUUUGUUCUUGUUUCUUUUGGUUGGCUGAUAGUAAUUAAACCUUGAGUAUAUGAAGGAGAAAAGAUGAAAUUCGAAUACCGCUUUUGUUGGCAUUUAUGAAGGAGAAAAGAUGAAAUUCCCAAAGUUUGUGUCGCAAUCAACGUUUGUUCGUUGGCACUUCCUUAAAGGAUGUGGCAUUGUUCUUAUCAUUUCUUAGUUUUUGAAGCUAACUGUUUUACUUGGCUUUCAACAUGCACAAGAACAAGUUUGUCUUGUGUAUGCGGAGUUUACCAAGUACAGGCCGAAUCGUAAGUAAGCAUUUACACUAAUCAAUCGGUAUUGUCCAAUGAAAAUAAGUAAUGUAAAAAGUGUCUAGGAUUUUGCCUAAUAUUUCUCAAAAUAGGCUCAUUAAGCCCAAUUCUGGUGCUAAUUUGGUUCAACUUUGAAUCAAACUUGGAAACAUUUUUCUUUAGAUUAUUAUUAUUAAUUUAGAAGAGUGAAAAAAGUUAAGAGUAUCGUUGGUGAAUUCAUGCCUAGCCCCACUAGAGAGUGAGUUUCGUAAACUUUCCUAAUUAAGAACACAUGUUUUGGGUUGUAAAUUCUAACACAAUAUCUAUUCAGUUGUUAACUUGGAAUAUUACAAUUAUAUCAAUAUUGUUUGAUGUGGGCACACAACCCUGCGUCUUCUUAGUUAGGACAGCCAAUGAAAUUCACUUGUUAGCGAUGCAGGGGAUGAUACAUAACUUGUAUGUGCACGAUGGCGGAGUAUCCCAGUUCUGCACUCGUUUGUCUUCCUAUGUUUUAAAAGAUCUAUUGUAAUGGAUAUAUUAUAAAUUUAUCUAAUUGCUUGUUAUAAUGCUUCUGUUGCAGUGUUAUUUGAGUUGUCAUUUUCAGUUUUAUUUUAUUUUUUCUUUAAACAUAGUUAAUUUGAAAUGUUCUUUAAUAUCCAUUACACUUGAGAUCAUCAAAUAAGUGAUUCUCGAACAUAAUUGCUGUUGUUACUUGAAUAAGAAAAGAAAACACCAAAGUCAAAUUAAAGCGCAAAUGCUAAAAGUAAAUGGAAAUGAGAGCAACGUGAUUUUGCAAAGAGAACUUCAUACUAUCAUAAAAAUGAAAACAUUACAAUUUAAAGCUUAAAUAACAACACACCAAAGUCAAAUAACGACCCACUAAAAUCAUGGUCCAAAGAUUGUGCCAUGAUCACAACAUGAACUACAAAAAAAUAACUGUUAAGUAAAUAAAAGCACCAGGUCGGCCAUGCUACUAUUUCCACGCCAGUAUGGAUCACCUCAACCAAAUGGUACGAGCAGAACACGGGGACAAAUAUGGUCCGACCAGAGAUGAGUACCAACCAAGAGAGUAUACCGACCAGAGGUAGAUACCGAGCCGAUACCCAUCCCCCAAAAAAGCGGAAACACGAUCUCACAGAAUCACGGUAGUUGCGCUUUCCCAGAACCGUUGCGGGAGACGCGAGAUCCCACGUUUGCCCAUAAUGCAACAGUUAGAGUCCCAUGAGGGGCUGCCACUACCCGAAAAAGGUGGGAUGAAGGGCAAACGGGAACGUGGGGACAACGGCUAUAAAAGAAGAAGAAAUUGAUGAAGACAGGGAUAGAAAAAUUAAGAGAGGGAAAACGCUGCCAAAUUGCAAUCAAACAUUUUUCUUACAAACUUCGAAACAAGUUAGAAACCCUUCUUGAAUCCAAAUUACACUGUUUUCCCGUAAACACCUUGUGCUAACUUAGGCAUCGGAGGGUUUACGCCGGCAAAACCACCGGCGUCUCUGAUCCGUUUUUGGUGAACGCAGGUCUAGUAAGAGAAAGGAGGGCGAUUCCAACCCCAGUGGUCCGAGCAACAGUUGACAACACAAACGUUGGUGAAAGAAUCUGGUCGGUCAAAAGGCGAGCAUAUUUAAGCAUCAACAUUUUGGCGCCGUCUGUGGGGAGCUGAAUAAAAAGCUACCACCAAAUUACUAAUUACCGGAGAAGCAGCGAAUGAUUGGAUAUGGACGUGUCAAGAAAGGAUACUCUAAGGGAGGACAAUGAAACGGUGGAGAUAAUCACUCUCCGGGAAAUUGCAAAUGAAGCUCGAGAGAGGAUGAUGCAAGAUAGACUGGAGCGGAUGGAGAAACAAAUGGAGACUCUCGCGGCCAUAUUGUUUGAGCUGAGGGAUGAGCGGAGAAGGGAUUGUGAAACCCCCGUGGGAAGAGAUGAAGUGGGAGCAGAACCCAGCCACCGGAGGCGUAGAGUCGAGGAAAUCCCUCCGCCCACAGACCAACCUAAUGGGGUACCUCCCCACAUAAGUACUGGUCGGGUCCCAGGAGAACACGUGGAUGAAGGGAGAGACCAACCUCGCCCCGGACGAAUACCGGAAACUAAUGGCCGAGGGGCCAGUGUUGAUGAAGGAGAGCUCAGACAGCGGUUGCAGAACGCCGAGCAGGAGCGAGACCAGAUAGCUGCACGUGAUCCUGACCGUGCUAUAGAAUUGGAGGGGAAAGUGUGCAGAUUGGCGCAGGUGAUAGAGGAGAUACAGUGCAAGAGAAAGCCCCCGAGCUGGAGGAUAAUGCUAGAUGAAGAAUCUCUGUUAUCAACUGAGAUCAUGGGUACCAUAAUCCCAAGAGAUUUCCGCUUCCCCGACCUCAAAUACUCCGGGCGAAGUGACCUGCUGGUGCACAUUGAGCGUUUCAAUGACAUGACGGGUGUGCAGGGGCUGACACCAGCUCAGAGGUGCAGGGUAUUCCCGUUGACACUAGAGGGACGAGCUCAAGAAUGGUAUCGCAAGCUGCCCCGAGGAAGUAUAAAGGGGUAUAAGCAGAUGUGCCAGGAGUUGGCCGAGCAAUUCUGAGGGGCAGUGGCCCCAGAGGAUGACAUGAUGGAACUGAUGGGGAUGAAAUAGGAGGAGCAUGAAUCCCUUCGAGAUUAUGUAAAACGAUAUCACCGAGCCGUGCUGGAUCUGGGAGCUUUUAAUCACCCGCAGGCGUUGAGGGGAUUAAAAGAAGGUGUAAGAAUCGGCCGAUUGUGGUAUAACUUAAGAAGCCCCCUCGUAUAGAAUUACUCGUCGGGGUAUAAGCAGGCGAGGCGAGAUAUAGAAAUCGAAGAGGAGAAAUCGGCAAGAAUAAAAAGUGAACAGCUGGAAGAGCUGAGGCAAAAGGAACGGAGGGCCCCGAGAGGGAGCGGGUCAGGAAAACGAGCUGGAGAAUCUUCAGUGAUGGGAGGAAUAUCGGCUCGGUCCCGCCUUUACCCCAUAGCUCCGAGAUCACAACAGUUCCAACACAGCCGGGCUUAACCUCCGCGCCCCCCGAUCCCAGAGCGGCAGCGAGAAUUCAGGUAGAUGGCUGCCCACCCUUAUCACAGCACUCCCAGAGCGUUAAAUGCAACUAAUUACAGGUCUGGACGACCAGAGCAGCUAUCGACUAUACCAGCCCGAGGUGACAUCCAUGAUAGCCGAGCAGUUCAGUUGGUUGACCAGAGCGUGACAUAUAGACAGUACACUCCAUUGAAAAUCUCCAUGGAGGAACUAUAUGACAGGAUUGAGGGGCGAGGACUGCUGUAUACUCCGGCCCCUAUAACAAAACCCGCUCACCGGCGUGAUAAGAGCAGGUUCUGCAAAUUCCACAACACUCACGGUCACACUAUUAGCCAAUGCCGUGACCUAAAGAUUCAGGUGGAGGAUUUGGUGAGGAACAAGUACUUGGAUGAGUAUGUAGAUGGAGUGUCCCCCGUCAUUGAAUCGCAAUAUGCACGGGAUGAAGGAGUUGAAAGGGGUUUGGAACGAGAACAGCCGACCAUCCGGGUGAUAGCAGGAGGGCCAACAUUGGCCGGGGAUUCGAACAGAGCACGAAAGAACUAUGGGAGAUAUGCCAUGACUGGCAAAGAGGUGCUUCUCAAUUUGCCAGUAGCCAAGAGGGCAAAAGUGCGGCAAGUUCCCAUUAUGUGGACAUAGGACGACGAAGAGGGCAUUUUAUAUCCUCAUGAUGAUGCACUGGUGAUUAAAGCAUUGGUGGCUAGUACAGAAUUGCGGCGAAUACUGGUGGACACAGGCAGCUCAGUAGACAUUCUGUUUAAGUCGGCCCUAGAUGAUAUGGGGACUUCAGACUUGAAGCUGGAGCGGACGAAUACAUCCUUGAAGGGAUUUGGAGGAGGACGGCUAACUCCCAUGGGGAUCAUCGAACUCCCAAUUAUCGUGGGAUCAAAACCGUUUGAAAGAACGAUGAUGCUGGAUUUUGUCGUGGUAGAAGAAAGAAGUCUUUAUCAGAUGAUAUUGGGGAGACCGUUCAUGAGGAUCAGCCAAUGUAUAAUGUCCACGUAUUAUCUGGCGAUGAAGUACAGAAUAAAUGGAGUUGUUGGUGUAGUAAAAGGCGACCAGAGAAUGGCCAGGAGCUGCUAUGCUACAGCGGCCAAGGAAACGCUGCAGGUUACCUCUCUAGAUAACCGAGGGGAUUCAAAAAAUGGUCGCCAGAAACCUGUUGAGAAGCUGGAGGGGGUUGUUGUAAGCAGGAGUGACCCGGUCAGAGUGGUUAAAGUCGGAUCAGAAUUGGACGAAGCAAUAAAAGGCGAGCUGGUGAAGUGUCUACAGUCCUAUGCAGACAUAUUUACCUGGUCUCAUGAGGAUAUGCCAGGUAUUGAUCGCGGGGUAGCUUGUCACAAGCUGGCAGUCAAGAAAGAGGCAAGGCCGGUGAGGCAGAAAAGGAGGUGCUUCAACUAGGAAAUGUAUGAGGCCAUAAAUGCAGAGGUGGAAAAGCUGCCGAAAGCAGGAUUUAUAAGGGAAGCCAAGUACCCGGAGUGGAUUUCCAAUGUAGUACUGGUAAAGAAGGCCAAUGGGAAGUGGAGAAUGUGUGUAGACUUCACGGACCUCAAUAAGGCAUGCCCGAAGGACAGUUUUCCCCUACCAAAAUAGAUCAGUUGGUGGACUCGACCGCGGGUCAUAGUCUACUCAGUUUCAUGGAUGCCUUUUCCGGAUACAACCAGAUACCCAUGGACGAGCAGGAUGAGGAAAGCACUACCUUUAUAACUAACAUGGGUUUGUUUUGUUACAGGGUGAUGCCCUUUGGCCUGAAAAAUGCAGGAGCUACCUAUCAAAGGUUAGUGAACAAGGUCUUCAAACCAUUGAUCGGUCACACUAUGGAAGUAUAUGUGGACGAUAUGAUCACCAAGUCAAGAGAACCAAGAGAUCAUGUGAAGCACUUGGAAGAGACCUUCGAAUUGCUGAGGAGGUAUGAAAUGAAGCUGAACCUAGAAAAAUGUGCAUUUGGGGUCAGCUCGGGCAAAUUUUUGGGAUACCUGGUAAGCCAUCGAGGGAUUGAGGCCAACCCGGAAAAGAUACGGGCGGUGAUAGAAACGAGGUCCCCACGAACAGUUAAGGAGGUGCAGAGCCUUACGGGGAAAUUGGCAGCAUUGAACCGAUUCAUUUCGCGAGCCACUGAUAAGUGCCACCCUUUCUUCCAAAUCAUAAAGAAAGGGAGGAAGAUGGAAUGGACACCGGAAUGCGAUGAGGCAUUUGGACAGUUGAAGGAAUACCUAGCCCGCGCCCCGUUACUCUCAACUCCGAGAGAGGGUGACCAGCUGCUUUUGUACUUGGCAAUCUCUAAGUGGGCUACCAGCUCGGUCUUAGUCAGGGAAGAAGAAGGGAAGCAACACCCGGUAUACUACACAAGCAAGGCCCUGGUAGACGCAGAAACCAGAUAUCCACUAAUGGAGAAGUGGGCGCUGGCUCUGAUAACGGCAGCACGCAAACUCCGACCGUAUUUCCAAGCCCACCAGAUCGUUGUGAUGACUGACCAGCCCCUUCGGCAAGUGCUUCAAAAACCAGAUGCGUCUGGUCGGUUAGUAAAAUAGUCCGUGGAGUUGAGCGAAUUUGACCUGUCUUACAGGCCCCGAGGAGCAAUCAAGGCCCAAGCCUUGGUAGAUUUUAUGGUUGACCGUGUUGAACCAGGGGAAGAGGUCCAAGAGGAACAACCAGCAGAACGGGAGGAUUCAAAGGGGAUGUGGCUGGUAAUGGUUGAUGGGUCACGUAGUGAACAGGGAUCCGGGGCAGGAGUUAUAAUACGAAGCCCAGAAGGUGUCGAGGUAUCCUAUGCUGUAAAGUUCGAAUUCCAGCUUUCGAACAACCAAGCUGAAUAUGAGGCCUUCAUUACUGGGCUCGGUCUUGCACAUGCACUACGAGCAGAAAGGGUAAAAAUCCGAGCAGAUUCCCAGCUAGUAUGUAACCAGCUCAACGAUCAAUUCCAAGUAAGGGAAGAGAAAUUGGGACUUUAUUUGAAGAAGGCGAAGCAGAUGGUUGAACUCUUUAAUGAGGUAGAGGUGAAGCAGAUAUCCCGGAAUGAAAAUUACCGAGCUGACAUGUUGGCUAGGAUGGCCGCAACUGUAGAUCCCAAAUUACCUAAAUCAGUUCCACUAGAGGUGAGAACCUCGCCGAGUAUAGGAGAGGAAGUAGAGGUAAUGAGAGUAAGCACUGAAGAAUCCUGGAUGGACCCGAUUCUUGCAUACAUCCGCGAUGACGUUUUACCAGAGGACAAAAAGCAAGCAAAAAAGCUAAAAUACCGAGCAGCGAGGUACACACUACUCGAUGGGGUACUCUACUGCCGAGGAUUCACUUUGCCCCUUUUGCGAUGUGUGGAUAAUGAGGAGGCAGAUUAUGUACUAAAGGAGAUUCAUGAAGGAAUCUGCGGCAAUCACUCGGGAGCAAGAACUUUAGCCUUUAAGGCACUCCGGCAAGGAUACUUUUGGCCGACCAUGCACCAGGAUGCGAAAAGGAUGGCAAAGAAUUGCAAAACCUGCCAAAACUUCUCAGAGGUUCCCGCACAACCCCCAGAAAAGCUGACCACUAUGACAUCCCCAUGGCCUUUUGCUCAAUGGGGAAUCGACCUGAUUGGUCCGUUACCGAAAGGCCGAGGAGCGGCGACCCAUGCAAUUGUAGUAAUAGACUACUUCACCAAGUGGAUAGAAGUGAGGGUCCUUAGCCAAAUCACGGAGAGAAAGACAACGGAUUUUAUCUGGAAGAAUAUCAUCUGCAGAUACGGAAUCCCUUAUACCAUCAUCACCGAUAAUGGGAGGCAAUUUGACAACAACAACUUCAGAGAGUUUUGCCGGAACCUAGGGGUGGACCUGAAAUUUUGCACCCCCGCACACCCCCAGGCAAACGGACAAGUGGAAGCAGCCAACAAAGUGGUAAAGAAACUCCUGAAGACUAGACUGGGAGAGAAGAAAGGAGCUUGGGUUGACGAGCUACCAGGGGUACUGUGGGCUUACCGGACAACUCACAAAACCGCCACAGGGGAAACCCCGUUUGCCUUAGCUUUUGGUCAUAAGGCGGUAAUCCCGGCAGAAAUUGGAGUGGGGACACAUCGGACGGAAUACUUCAAUAAGGAGCAAAAUGGCGAGCAGAUCUACUUGAGCCUGGAUCUGCUGGAGGAGAAAAGGGAAGGGGCUUCGCAGAAAGUAGCCCAGUGUCAGCAAAGGGUCACGCGUUAUUACAACAAGAACGUACAUGUGAGACAGUUCCGAACAGGAGAUUGGGUGCUCAAGAAGGUGAACUAAAAUACCAAGGACCCUAACCAUUGAGCUCUUGGUCCGAAAUGGGAAGGCCCGUACAGGGUGAUACGAGCAACUGGACCAGGAGCUUACAAGCUAGCGUACCCAGACGGACGAAAUGUGAAGAGGUCGUGGAACGCUGAGCACUUGAAAAAGUACUUCCAGUAAGCAAAGUGCUCUAUUAGUUUUCAUUUUGAUAAGUUAUUCCUUUCAAAUGCAUGAUGGCUUGUUGGGCAUGCAUAUAUGCUGUAUUUCUAUAACGCAUUCAAAGUUCAAUAAAGAUGAAUUCAGCAUGAAAUCCCCUGGCCAAUAAGUCCAUUAAAAAAUUCUACUAAGGCAAGUAAGUGCCUACUUCUGCUCGGUCAGCGAGAGACCAGCAGCUAAUUCUACAAAAAAUCUGCUAAGGCAAGUAAGUGCCUGCUUCUGCUCGGUCAACGAAAGACCAGCAGCUAAUCUAUGAAAGAUCUACUAAGGCAAGUAAGUGCCUGCUUCUGCUCGGUCAACGAGAGACCAGCAGCUAAUUCUACAAAAAAAUCUGCUAAGGCAAGUAAGUGCCUGCUUCUGCUCGGUCAACGAAUGACCAGCAGCUAAUCUACGAAAGAUCUGCUGAGGCAAGUAAGUGCCUGCUUCUGCUCGGUCAACGAAAGACCAUCAGCUAAUCUAUGAAAGAUCUACUAAGGCAAGUAAGUGUCUGCUUCUGCUCGGUCAACAAGAGACCAGCAGCUAAUUCUACAAAAAAUCUGCUAAGGCAAGUAAGUGUCUGCUUCUGCUCGGUCAACGAAUGACCAGCAGCUAAUCUACGAAAGAUCUGCUAAGGCAAGUAAGUGCCUGCUUCUGCUCGGUCAACGAAAGACCAGCAGCUAAUCUACGAAAGAUCUACUAAGGCAAGUAAGUGUCUGCUUCUGCUCGGUCAACGAGAGACCAGCAGUUAAUUCUACAAAAAAAUCUGCUAAGGCAAGUAAGUGCCUGCUUCUGCUCGGUCAACGAAUGACCAGCAGCUAAUCUACGAAAGAUCUGCUAAGGCUAGUACGUACCUGCUUCUGCUCGGUCAACGAGAGACCAGCAGCUAAUUCUACAAAAAAUCUGCUAAGGCAAGUAAGUGUCUGCUUCUGCUCGGUCAACGAAAGACCAGCAGCUAAUCCUACGAAAAUUCUACUAAGGCAAGAAAAUGCCAGCUUCUGCUCGGUCAACGAAAGACCAAUAGGCAAUUUUACAAAAUUUCACUAAGGCAAAUAAGUGCCUGCUCCUGCUCGGUCACCGAAGACCAGCAGGAAAUUUUGCGAAAAUUUUACUAAGGCAAACAGAUGCCUAUUCCUGCUCGGUGCACUAAAGAACCAGCAGGCAAAAUCAGAUAAAUGGUCAAGUUAAUUUGCAGAAGCAACCCAUGAGCAAAAAACAGGCAAGAAAGCCAAUAGAGAGCAUUUAAAAAUUUAUAAACGUUCAAAUGUUUACAAAGCAAAUGAAAAUCUAGAGUCUUUACAAAAUUAGACCUAAGGAUUAUGAGGGUCAACGGCCUCAGCAGGUGAGGGAUCAGCAACAUCAGGAGGUGGGAGAUCAGCAGUACCGGGAGGAGGAGGCAUGGACCCUUGACCCACUUCGAAAGUGCGUCCCCCAGCUUCCCCCUCUUGUACCCCAUCCAAAGGAGCCUCCACCUGAUCCUGCUCACCCUGCUCCUUGUCUGCCUGGCCGACCUCUACCAUAUACCGCUGCACUCCAGCCUCCAACUUGCUCAUGUCCAGCUCGGGAUAUUCUCCCUGAAGCACAGACAUAAUGCACUUAUAGGAGAAAGCAACCCUCGAGUCAUACUCGGCAUCCAACCGAUCGUCCACAUCAGCGGAUUUGCUUUUUUCCUCAGCCAGCUGCUCAUUCAGGGAUUUGAUUUCUCCCUCAAGGGCGGUCCUCAAAGUAUCUCUUUCACUUUGAGUUACCUGAAGGUCCGACUUCAGGCCACCCAACUCACCCUCAAACUUAGAGGCAGUGGACUCAGCAACUGCAACUUUCUCCUCCAGCUCUGUAAUCUGCUUGUUUAACUCGGCCAAUUUCUCCUUGGAGCGGUCAGCAGAUUCAGUUUUCUUCUUCAACUCCUGGUUAUCAGCUUGAAGCUUCCUCUCAUGACGCGCGGACCCGGUCUUGUAGCACGAGACCAUUGUAGCCAGCCUAAAGGAGACUCUUUGAACAGAAGCAGCUAACUCAGAGAGGUUCAUGCUCUCGAUGUCCUUCACCAUCUUGGGCCCAACCGAUUUUUUAUAAUCCUUCUGAUAUGGGCUCAGGUAGUCACCUUGAUCCCGAGAUGGAAGAGGAGAAGAUCGGUCCCCAGACUGCAAGCUGACCUCAGGACUCUUGUCGGAGAUUUUCUCCCCACCAAUCUUACGAGGUGGUGGAGGGGGCAGAGCAGGAACAGGCGCCUUGGAAGGACCGACGCUGGGUUUCUUUAGAGGAGGAGGAGGGUUGCUGGAGCUGCUUGGAGCCCGACCACGUUUUCUGCUCAUCGCGCUGAGGAUCUUGUUAUCCAUUCCAGCAGCAAUAUCUAUCAAGCCCGAACCGACCAAGUUUGUUGGCGACAGAAGGUCUUGGCAAGUAGACGCGUUCACCAGAGCAAUUUCCACCUGAAGCAAAGGUCGGUCUUCAAGGUCCUUCACCAAAACCCACGAUUCUGAAAAGACAAACAAGGUUAAAGAACCCAAUAAGUGACAAUUGGAGAAAAAACAUAGGCGAAAAAUGAACGACCUAGGGUGACAAACUGCGUUGGAAGGUAAAUAUCACCACCCAACGAACGAAGUGCUGAACACCACUUUCCCCUAGCAAAGAAGAAUUUGUUCUUCCAAUUUUUGCACGAGGAGGGGAAACCGGUGAUUGGUUUUCUCUUCGCAGAACUGGACAUGAAGUAGUACCAGCCCGCCUCCCUUGGGCUGCUCCGCAGCUGGUACAAAUGCUUCACUUCAACAAGGGAAGGCUCCUCCGACCCGCACCUCUCCCACAACACAAACAUAGCCGAGAGAACCCUCCACCCGUUUGGGUGUAGUUGACCUGGGGCCAGGUGCAUACCCCUCAGUAUCUUGGCAAAAUAACGUUGAAGGGGCAGCCGAGCUCCUAGUUUGAAACUCUCUAAGUGCAUCGUCACAUACCCUCGCGGAGGCCGACUAGGAAUGUCACCCUUCCCAGGAACUACAAGGAGAACCUCCUCAGGAAUGUCGUAGAGGUUCCUAAGCUUGAAUAGGUCAGUGUGGGUGGUAGCACAGGCUAUGUGGUCAAUAGGGUAAGAAUCCGCCUCCACCCUAUGCCCAAGGUUUCUUUUCUUAGGUGGUCGGCUCGGCCCGGAGCUGCUUCUCUCACCAUCACCCACUUCUUCAGGAACCCCAACCCCACCAGAACUGUGGUUCUCACCAGAGCCCGACGCAGGUCCCCCUCUAUUUCCAACAAGCUCUAGGUCAGGGGAAGAUGAAAUGGUCAAAGGACGUGGGUACUCAAGGGUGUCCCUGCCAUGGGAGAAGCCUACGCUACUAGAGGGAUGUAAAAAAUCAGUGGGUACUGCCAAGUUAAGGUCUUAAUCCCCCGUUUCUUCGUCACCCUCAUCGGCAAUCAAUUUCCUUCUCCGAUUUGACAUAUCAGAACCUCAAGAGGAAACCGAAACAAAUCCAAGUAUACGAAUACAAAAAGGGGCAACACAGAACCCAAUCAACAACAACCAAAGAAGAAGUUAAAGGCUGUACCUGGGAUAGACUGGCACUGAUAAUGUCGCUGUGAUGGAGGAAAAACCCCGCAAACGGAAGUCCUAGACGCGGAGAGUAUGAACAAAGUUCGUAAGAGUUGUCUCACAACAGAGAAGCGAAGAGAACAAAACGACGAUGAUUUAAGUCUAGGGAUUUGAAGCGAAAAGGGAAAUGAAAGCAUUUAAGUGAAGGGGAUGCCAGCUCACUCACCGAAUUUCGAGGAUGGAUAGCCCGUCGUUUCAAAUUUCAAAUACGAAGAGUCGGGAAGCGCCACGUCACUAACCGUUACAAGAGGCCAGGCUAGAUGCAGGCCCAGAUAUGCAAUGGACACGCUUAUUAAGGCCCAUGCUCAGGUCAGAAUCUCCCCAGAGGAAAGAUGGUACCGCAGGUCUGUCCCGGUAUAACAGAAGACCAGAUGAGAAGCCCCCGGGCUGGUAAGAUUCGACCAUCAGUUUCUACUCUUAACUCAUUUCACUCGCAAGACCAGAAACUGGGGGACUGGUGUUAAGUAAAUAAAAGCACCAGGUCGGCCAUGCUACUAUUUCCACGCCAGUAUGGAUCACCUCAACCAAAUGGUACGAGCAGAACACGGGGACAAAUAUGGUCCGACCAGAGAUGAGUACCAACCAGGAGAGUAUACCGACCAGAGGUAGAUACCGAGCCGAUACCCAUCCCCCAAAAAAGCGGAAACACGAUCUCACAGAAUCACGGUAGUUGCGCUUUCCCAGAACCGUUGCGGGAGACGCGAGAUCCCACGUUUGCACGUAAUGCAGUAGUUAGAGUCCCAUGAGGGGCUGCCACUACCCGAAAAAGGUGGGAUGAAGGGCAAACGGGAACGUGGGGACAGAGGCUAUAAAAGAAGAAGAAAUCGAUGAAGACAGGGAUAGAAAAAUUAUGAGAGGGAAAACGCUGCCAAAUUACAAUCAGACCUUUUUCUUACAAACUUCGAAACAAGUUAGAAACCCUUCUUGAAUCCAAAUUACACUGUUUUUCCGUAAACACCUUGUGCUAACUUGGGCAUCGGAGGGUUUACGCCGGCAAAACUACCGGCGUCUCUGAUCCAUUUUUGGUGAACGUAGGUCUAGUAAGAGAAAGGAGGGCGAUUCCAACCCCAGUGGUCCGAGCAACAGUUGACAACACAAACGUUGGAGAAAGAAUCUGGUCGGUCAAAAGGCGAGCAGAUUUAAGCAUCAACAAUAACCAACACCAGAAAAGUAGGAACAGUUUCAAACUUUCAACUAAGCAGCAUUUAUUAUUCCACAUCAGCAGUCCUAAACACAUCUUCUAACAAUUGCAACUGUUCAUUUUUGCUUCUGCCAAUAAAGAGUUGAUAGUAACCAAAGAUUAUUGUCUUUAUUGUCAUUUGAGAGUAACCAAUUACUUACGCAGUCACGUAAGUUGCUGGUUGGCCUCGCACAUUUUUGACAAGUUUGUUUCUGAAGGAAAGUAGCUGAGCAGCAACCUCUUCCAUGCUCAUUCGUUCUCUCGGCAACUCUGAAGAGCAAAUGACUCCGAUUCCCAGAACUGAAACCAAGCACUCUUUACCACCAAAACUUCUUGUCUCCCCUUCUUCUCUUUCUACAAGAAGCACUAGAUCAACAAUUUCAGCGAGUCUUUCAGGAAGAGCUUCCUUGAUAAAAUUAUGUAGGGUUAGAUUGCCUGUAAACAUUUCAUUUGUCGGCCUCUUUCCUGUAAACAUUUCCAGCAAGAGUAUUCCAAAACAGUACACAUCUCCACUUGUUGAGACUUCGCUCCCCAUUCCGUACUCUGCAAUUCGAAAACUAAAAUUGUUGGUUCAACUAGUAAAAUCUCAAAGGAUUGAAAGACAAGUUAAUUAAAUAAUAGUAUUUACCUGGAGCAGCAUAACCAACGGUUCCUUUUACUCCAACAGAGCUUGAUUGAUUAGAUGACAAGUUAUUGGUGGCUUCCAGAAGGAAUUUUGCUAAUCCAAAAUCACCUACAUGGGCAGUCAAUUCACCAUCCAGAAGAACAUUGUGUCGGCAUGAGUUGGCAUGAACUGUUGGCAUGUGCUGUCAAUUAUAGAAUUGAUUUUGUAAUUACGUCCAUGAAUCUUUUAGUUGAUCAAUCUUGUUUUUAAAUAUAGAAACAAUUUAUUUCUUCCUUUUUUAGGAUGUAAUUAGCUUCAUAUAUUGCCUCUGAUUUGGAGAAGAAUAUACGAUAGAAUUAUUUUCUGCAUUGAAACCUUUGUUUGUCAUGGUAUCAGAGCAGGUUCCUCAUCAAGAGAAUUUGUGUUGACAACCGAAUAUUUUCUUUUUCCUUUUUUCUCUCGAAAUUCGUAUUCAUAUUCUGAAUAUUCACCGUUGUUGUGAACUCUAUGGCUGAUAUCACAGGCGUAUCAAUGGAUAUUAUCCCACCACCAGCACCACAAGUUGUUGUUCAUCAAGACAACUCGGCAUUUCCAACUGGAAUCACUCUGGAUGAGACCAUCUACUCAUUAUGGUCUCAACUCAUGGAGAUGCGGAUUAGUGCUCGCAACAAAGCUGGUUAUCUUACUGGAGAAACGAAGAAACCAGCACCUGGAGAUCCGAAUCUUGGAUCAUGGAUUACUGAAAAUCAAAGAGUCAAGAGCUGGUUGAUUGACUCAAUGAGUCCAUCGUUGAUGCAACGAUUUAUUCGUCUCCCUACAACCAAAGAUAUAUGGGAGGCUGUAUCGAAAACCUUCUAUGACGGAACCGAUGAAACCUGUAUUUUUGAGCUGAACCAGAGAUCUUUCUCUACCAAACAGGAUGGGCGACCAUUGCCAACGUAUUACAAUGAACUAGUUGCCAUUUUUCAGGAAAUCUAUCAUAGGACUACCACUCAAGAAGGCACAGUCAAAGGGGUGUUACAGCUGCAUUCUGAAUGGCUAGGCUUCGAGUUCAUAUUUUUCUAAGUGGCCUCGACUCAGAGUUUGAACAGGUUCGUGGAGAAAUAUUGCGAAAAGACCCAAAGCUUGAUUUAGAAAGCACAUAUGCUUAUGUUAGAAGGGAUUACCAACAGAGACAAACAAUGGGAGGCUCUCAUUUAAUUUCGGAGAACCUUGCCAUGCUGGCCAGUCAAAACCGAAAUGGAUCUUCGAAAAAUCGAGGCAAUCAAUCGUCCAAUAAAGUUAACAACCUUGUGUGCACUCAUUGCAGAGAAAAAGGUCAUUCACAACAACGCUGCUAUGAAAUCAUUGGCUAUCCAGAUUGGUGGGAUUUCUCAAAGAAGCCCCGUAAGAAAAUAUCUGGGAAGGCUAAUGUGACAGCAGCAAAGGAUGAAAAACAACCAUCCCCUUUAGCAAAUGUUGCCCACCCAGGUAUUAUUGGUAAGGCAUCUGUAUGUUCUGUAACUUCUAAGAAUAGAAUGUGGAUUAUUGAUACAGGUGCAUCUGAGCAUAUGACCAGAGAUUCUGGCCAAUUAAAAUCUGUUCUUCCUUCUUCUCAAUCUGUUAUCUCCACUGCAAACAGUAAUACUUCUCCUAUUAUUGGGGAAGGGUCUAUUACCCUGAGUAAUACUCUUACAUUAGAUACAGUUCUUGUUGUCCCAUCUCUUGAAUAUAAUCUUUUGUCGGUUAGCCAAAUUACCUCCACACUUGCUUGCACUGUAACGUUUUGGCCCACUUUUUGUGUUUUUCAGGACAUCCUAACUCGGAAGAUUCUUGGUUAUGGUGUUAGACGGGGUAAACUCUAUUACUUGGAAUUGACAGAAAAUGAGGGACCAAGUAUCAGUCAGGCAAAUCAAGCUUCUAAUGAAGAUAGAACUUGGGCAAAUGUUUGGUUAUGGCAUCGUAGAUUAAGACACCUUUCUUUUGGUUAUCUCAAAAAAUUACAGCCUCAUCUUUUUUCAACUCUAAAUGGUUUGAAUUUUCAUUGUGACAUUUGUGAGAUGGCUAAAAGCCAUUGUACUUCUUAUUUACCAAGUUUAAAUAAAAGUCUAGAACCUUUUGUGGUGAUUCAUUCUAAUGUUUGGGGUCCUACAAAAGUUGCUUCUCUUUCUAAAGCUCUUUUUUUUUGUGACAUUUAUUGAUGAAUGCACUAGAAUGAUUUGGGUGUCUUUACUUAUCAGAAAAAGCGAUGUAUGUCUAGCCUUUCAAGAAUUUCACAAAAUGGUAAGUACUCAAUAUCAAAAGCAGAUUCGUGAACUUCAAUCUGACAAUGGUACUGAGUAUAUGGAUGCCUCUCUUGGCAAGUUUUUAAACAUUCAUGGAAUUCGUCAUCAGACCUCAUGCACUUACACCCCACAACAAAACGGGCUGGCUGAGAGGAAAAAUAGACAGAUUUUAGAGGUGGUUCGUGCUUCUCUUUUUGGCAUGAACAUGCCUCGGUUUUAUUGGGGAGAAGCUGUAAAAUCUGCAGCUUAUCUCAUUAAUCGAACCCCUUCACGAGUGCUAGAUUUUCAAACUCCCCAACAAAAAAUGCAAUCCUUACUCUCAAUUCCUCAUCUUCCUAAUCUUGAACCCCGAAUAUUUGGUUCUAUUGUUUAUGCUCACAUUCCAAAAAGUUUACGAACUAAACUUGAUCCAUGUGCCAAACGCUGUGUUUUUAUUGGCUAUUCUGAUCUUCAAAAAGGUUAUAGGUGCUAUGAUCCACACACACAAAAAUUACAUGUAACUUUGGAUGUCUCUUUUCAUGAAUUAGAACCUUAUUAUUCAGGGGGAGUCUCUGACCAUUCCCUCCAGGGGGAGAGUUUGUGUGAAGAGAAUGGUCAAAGGGAAAAUGAAGGAGGAGGUGAAUUUGUAGAAUUAGAAGACAUGGUCGAAAAACUUCAAAACGGUGAUGGAAAUGAGGUUCAACAAGGGUGUGAUAACAUGACUGAAACCGAAUGUGAUCCCUCCAAUUUUCUGGACAUGUCCGAAGCACAAUCAAGGCCAUUAGAGCUACCCAUGUCUACACCAUUAACUGAAGAAUUAACCGAAAGUGUUCCUCCUCAGGUAAUUUCAAAUCCAUUGUCUAAUGAGUCUAAUGAACUAUUUUUUUUUGUAGAAGACAUGAAUCCUAGAUAUCCACAAAGGUCAAAUAGAGGAAUUCCAAAGAAACAAUAUGAACCUGAUCCCAAAUCCAAAAUAAAAUACCCAAUCAGUAAUUACAUGUCAUCUCAUAGGUUGUGUGAAUCAUAUGCACUUACUAUUAAUCAAUUAUCCACUAUAUCUAUUCCUAGUAGUGUACAGGAUGCUUUGGAGGAUCCAAAAUGGACUAAGGCGAUAAAUGAAGAGAUGGAAGCUCUACAAAAAAAUGCCACUUGGGAACUGGUUUCACUACUUAAGGGAAGGAAAACAAUUGGAUGUAGAUGGGUAUUCACAGUAAAACUCAGAGCGGAUGGAAGCAUUGAUAGGUAUAAAGCGAGACUAGUGGCAAAGGGAUAUACACAAAGGUAUGGAAUAGAUUACCAAGACACUUUCGCACCAGUAGCCAAGAUAAAUACCAUUCGUAUUAUUAUUUCUAUAGCAGCAAAUCGAGAUUGGCCCUUAAAACAGUUCGAUGUCAAAAAUGCUUUUCUCAAUGGAGAUUUAGAAGAAGAAGUUUACAUGGAGCUACCUCCUGGUGUCAAACAUAGUUCUAUGCGUAGGAAUGAAGUAUGUAAGCUGAAGAAGUCCUUGUACGGACUAAAACAGUCACCUAGGGCAUGGUUUGGGAGGUUUUCAGCGACAAUGAAAGCUGCUGGUUAUAAACAAAGUAAUUCAGACCAUACUUUGUUUAUAAAACACAAAGGCAGAAAAGUGACGGUGUUAAUAGUGUAUGUUGAUGAUAUGGUAUUAACAGGGGAUGAUUUAUCUGAAAUGAAAGCACUACAAGAACAUUUGGCUGCUGAAUUCGAAAUGAAAGAUCUUGGGCAGCUUAAAUACUUCUUAGGGAUUGAGGUAGCAAGAUCGAAAAGUGGAAUUUUUCUUUCACAACGAAAAUACGUGUUAGAUCUCCUCACUGAAACUGGUAUGCUUGAUUGUAAACCAGCUGAAAUGCCUAUAGAGAUGAAUCACAAGCUCGGGAUUUUACCAAAUCAAACUCCAACUGAUAAGGGUCGUUAUCAACGGCUAGUUGGGAGGUUAAUCUAUUUAUCCCACACAAGGCCAGACAUAGCAUAUGCCGUAAGUAUAGUAAGCCAAUUCAUGCAUUCACCAAGUGAAGAACAUAUGGAUGCAGUCUAUCGAAUUCUGAGAUAUUUGAAGUGUGCUCCUGGAAAAGGUUUAUUGUUCGCAAAAAAUAAUGUCUCAAACAUUGAAGGAUAUACGGACUCUGAUUGGGCAGGUGACCAGAUAACAAGAAGAUCGACCUCAGGUUAUUUUACAUUUGUUGAAGGCAAUCUCGUCACUUGGAGAAGCAAGAAGCAGAAGGUUGUGGCAAGAUCAAGCGCUGAAGCGGAAUUUCGUGGAAUGGCACAAGGUGUGUGUGAGAUGUUAUGGAUCAAGAACAUACUAAAAGAUUUGGGGAUUGAUUAUGCAAAACCCAUGAAUCUUAAAUGUGAUAAUAAAGCAGCCAUAGAGAUUGCCCAGAAUCCUGUACAACAUGAUCGCACAAAACAUGUUGAAGUAGAUCGUCAUUUCGUCAAGGAGAAGCUUGACGAGAUUCCGAUGCCUAACACUUCUCAAGGCUUGACACUCCGCCAUGAAACUCUUUGAAGCUCCUCGAUGUUGAAGAUUAAGCACCUUAACUGCCACCAACGUUUCAUGAUCAUCAUGAUUGAGGACUCCUUUAUAGACCGAACCAAAGCUACCGGCAGCAAUCAAGUUUUCCAAAGAAAACCCAUCGGUUGCUUUGAACAUAUUCUCAUAGGACACUCGUAAAACCGAAGCCAAGGAUGCUGAUGGAGGAGUGGCCGGCUCCCUUUUUGAUUUGCUCCGCCGGGAAGUAAUUAUCAAACACGACAUCCCUGUCACUAACAAAAUUAUUGUAAUUACAGGAAUAAUCAGUUUCAGGGAACGGGCACGUGAUUGCUUUGAUUCUUUGAUGGAACAAGUAGAUAAAUGCAAGUCAGAUAUGCCACCACAGAGGUUAUCAUUUCCAUCAAGAGAUAUAGCACUUGAAUUGCUGAAGACUCCUUUUAUUGGUACUUCGCCCUCAAAAUGAUUAAAAGACAGAUUUAAUUUCUGCAAAAAGAGAAAGUUUUCAAAAUAUUUUGGAAUCCGGCCAGACAAAUUGUUCCGCGAAAGAUCAAGCUUCUCAAUGCCUCUCAAAGAACUGAAUGAUGAAGGUAUAUUCCCUUGAAAGAAAUUACCAUUCAUGAUGAGUUGCACCAACAAAAUGCAACUUCCUAUACUACUUGGAAUUUCACCAGACAAUUUGUUCUCAGAUAUAUCUAUAAAACCCAGAUUUUUCAAGAUACCAAAAUUUGAGGGCAAAGGACCAUUCAACUGGUUUUGAGAUAGAUCAAGAUAGAUUGACAAGGAAGAGAGACCAAUUACUUCAGUGGGAAUGGUACCACUUAGGUUGUUAUUAGAGAGAUUUAAGGAUAUUAAGUUUUGGCAUUUCCCUAGACUUGAUGGAAUGCUUCCCUCUAACAAGUUUGCGGAAAAAUCUAGUAUGGUUAACGAUGCCAAAUUUCCUAUAGAAGAUGGAAUUUCCCCCAAAAACUUGUUCCCGUUCAGCCCCGACCCCUGCAGCUUUUGAAGAUAUCCUAUGCUUUCCGGAAUUCGGCCUGUGAAUUGGUUGUCCCCAAGGUCUAAAAGCUCUAAGUUAACAAGAUUUCUUAAUCCACUUGGGAUAUUUCCGAACAAUUGAUUGUUUCCAACUGAUAAUUUUCUAAGUCGGGUUGACAAGUUCCCCACAGCUUCAGGUAACAUUCCGCCACAAUUGGUGUCACUAAUUUGCAGUAGCUCUAGUCUAGAAGCGUUAACCAAAGAAUUGACAAAUUCCAAGUCAUCUUUUUCCCCAUUUCCUAAGGGAUGCUGAGAAAUACUAACCUCUCGGAGUUUAUGUAAAUUUUCCAAACUAGGCACCUUUCCACUGAAUCCAUUCCCUCCGAUUGCAAGUGUCAUUAGAUUUGAGGUAUUGGAUAUGGAAGCAGGAAUAGGUCCAGCAAACUGAUUAUCAGCAACGUUUAAUAGUUCAAGAUUAGGAAGAGUGAAGCCUAAGUCUGAUGGAAAGCUUCCUUGAAGUGGUUAACAGGAAAAUCAAAAACACUAAGCGAAGACAAGUUGUAGAUAGAGACAGGGAUUUCACCUGAUAGCUUAUUUAUUCCAAAUGCUAUAAUACGCAUCCUCUUAAUCUCCCCCAGGGUUUCAGGAAUUUGUCCCACAAAUUGAUUUCGAGCUGCUGAGAGGACUUGGAGUGAUGACAAAUUGCCCAAGGAAGAUGGGAUUUCUCCUGACAAACUGUUUAAGUGUACUACGAGAAUCUGGAGCUUUGAUAAGGAGCCCAGUUUCCCUGGAACUUUCCCCACAAGCUCAUUGGAGCCUAACGAGAGGGAUUCAAGGUUAACGCAAUGCGAUAUGUUGUCGGGAAUUUGACCUCCGAAUGUAUUGUUGCUCAGCCAUAAAAUUCGUAACCUGAACAGAUAUCCAAUCUCUUGAGGGAUUUCGUUUCGGAAGCUAUUGUUUUUUAGAUCUAACACUCUGAGAAAACUUAAAUUACCAAUGUGAGGCGACAGAGACCCCUGCAAGAGUAAAGAUGGAAGAAGUAAUGCAGUCACCCUUUGGUGCCGUGGACUGCAAGUGACACCUUUCCAUUGACAAAAGUGCCUGGAAUAGUUCCAUGAACUCAAAACCUCAAGAGGAUCAUGAGUAACUUUGGCCUUGAAUUGAAGCAAUGCAAGUUGAUCAGUUUCAUUGCUUUUGAGCAUAUAAUCGGUUGACUGCAAGCUGAAGCUGAAGCAACAGAAAAUAAAGAAACAAAUGCUUGCAAUGAUUGAACUCGUCAUGUUUACAAAAUCCAUUUAACGUCCGAAGGAAAUUAAAAUGAUAAAACUUUUAUAGAGGUUGGUAGGAUAAACUAUGUUUGCAUAUUUUUUGCAAUGAUUUAUAGACUCUGUCCCUGAUGCUCAAAUGUGAACCGGCUGGCACCGUGACAAUGAAACUAAUACUUUUUGUUUUUCUAAUAAUAUUAAUUAUCAUAUUUAUUACUAUUGUAAGAACAAUAUAUUCCAGCUUUAAAGAAAGACCCACCGGACUUCCUUUUGAGUCUCGGUCAGUUUCCAGCAUUUUGUCAUUUUUAUUUUAUUUUAGUGCUUAAUCCACAGUAAAUAUAGAACAAUUUAAUCAACAAUAUUGAAAAAGAAGAAAAGUAGGACAAGAGAAAGGUAAAUACGAUGGAUGGAGUGUUAGACUACUGUUAAAUGAGUUGGGAAACGUUCAAAGCACGACGGGAAUUAGAAAAGAAAAAAAGUAGGAUAAGAAAGUUAAGUAUGAUGGAUGGAGGUUCAGAUUAUUGUUAAAUGACUUAGGAAAGACUUAAAGCACCACAGGAAUCAACGUUUCACAAAGCUUUUUUCCCUUUCUGAAAUAUUCGGUGCAGUCACCCCCAGAUUUUGCUAGUGCAACCAAGAGACGUCAUGCCGUUAUCAAUUAUAAACUGUAAAUGACAUGUUGUUUUUACAAGACAUAUUAUGCGUCGAUACAUACCUUUUCUGGUUGUUGGUCUAUAUAAAUAUAUGAGACGGCAUGUGUGUGACAACACUUGUCAUUUGUGUUUACACGGCCUGUCGUUUUCAAAGGAAAAUUUUAUCAUGGUAUUCUUAUCUCCCAGCUGCCGUUUGCCGUUUGGAAUUGUUCUGUACAAGAUCUUGAUCAUCGAAUUUACUACGAGGGCGUAUGUUUUAUUUUCUCGAAUUACAUUGCCGCCUCAUCUUUUGUGUUUUCGGUUCUGUUGUGGAUCGCCUCUGUUUUUGUUGAUAGGCGAUUUUUACCUAAACUAAACCAUUAUUGGUGGCAUGUUGAUCCUAGAAUUAAGGUGUGGAUGGCUCCACUACCGCAUAAAAAGGAGAAAUUGGCCAACUAUUAGGGAGGGGGCAAUAUAAGUUAAAAACAGAGAAGAAGUGGGUGUGGGGGGGGGGGGGGGGGGGGGGGGGGGUGGAUUAUGAACCUUUUCGAUAAUAACUAGAGAACACUAUGCAUGACAUUUUGGAUGUCGAGAAAUUCAUGUUCAACUCACUGUACAGAUCGUGCUCUCUUUCCCCAUCAAAACAAAUUCAAUUGUUGAAGUUGUUUUUCGGCAUCAACAGUUUUGAUGUGUGCUAUGUUUUUAAUAUACAAACAUAAUUUUCUUUAUUCAGAUUGGAGAUCUUUUUCAUCCAACAUAAUUUUAUAUCCCUAGUAUCAAUUCGAUCAUUUGAAUAGCUCUUCAGUUUUAAGUUCUGCAAAAAGAUAGAUCUAAAUUCACCCUCAAAAUGGUUAAAACUUAAAAGAGACUUAAAUUCUGCAUAAAGGGAAAGCACUCAAAUUUUUUGGAAUUUGGCCGGACAAAUUGUUGCGAGAGAAAGAUCAGUUCUUAAAGAACUCAAUGGUCUUUUCCCUUGGAAGAAAAUGAUGAGUUGUUUCAACGUAAUGCAACUACCUAGACUGCAUGGAAUUUCACCAAACAAUGACAAUUUAUUCUCAGAUAGAUCUACCGCACCCACAUUUGUUUAGUCACCCAAAUUUGAAGGCGUCUGUUUUGAGACUGAUCAAAACUUUUUCCAAAAAUUCGGGAUUCAGGUCGAUCAGGCCGGUUAUGUUUUGAAAAACUUGUAAAUUUUCAGUGAUCAAACUUCAAAACUUUGCAAAUAGGUCAAAAUAUGAAAAAUACUUGAUAUAUUAUUGAAUACUCAUUUUCUUUUGCAUUAAUAUAAGGCUGUGGGUGGUAUCUAGUAAUGUUGGUAAAAUUUCUUGAGUUGAAAACAAUAAAACGAAAACAGCUCUAAUAGAUCCACCCCUGUUUGAAACUCACUCAUAUGGAUGGGAAAGAAAUUUAGUUACCAUUGGAUUAAAAAAUUAUUAUUAUUAUUAGAAAAAAAAAAUUGUAAGGCUUCGACAAGAUUUGCUAAUCAUGUAUAGAUUAAAAUUUAUGUGGGUUUGGCCACCAAUUUAGCAUUAGGAACUUAUUGUUUAGGAAGCUAUGGUGGGUUUCGUAGUGGGACUUAUCCUGUUUAAUGCAUUUGGUGAUUUUAAACCAACAUUUAUAUAAUCCCAUUAUAAAACUCAUCAAACCUUCUAAAAUAACAUGUUGAGAUAGUGUGCUAGAUCCAUAUAAAUGUUUCUCCAACUUCUUAGCUUGAAGCAAUAUUCAUUUCCAUUGAUAGUUUAAUGGGCAAAGCCUUAUGAAUUCUCCAUGUUAUCAAGUUAAUUUUUGCUGGAAAAUGCAAUCUGGAUAUGAAUAAAUUUUUUGUGCAAACAAAUUUUCUAUGUUGACACAUCCUCUAGAACUUUCAGUAAAUUUUAUGGAGAAGCUUUAACUUCUUAGCCGUUGAUUUCAAAUAUAUUAAGCUCUUAUUUGGUAUUAAAGUAUCAUGGCCUAAAAGUUAUAGUUCGUAUGGAAAGAAAUUUGUAAUUACGAAAUAAAAAUUGAUAGUGUGAUAAAUAUAAUUUCAGAAUAAAAAAAAACUGAACUUUAAAAUUACAAUAGUAAUUAUAAAGUAUUUACUAAAUAUAUUAGUGUUGCAGUGACUGCCCUACCACAAUGACAAAUAGGGGGCUAAUACUACAAAUUGUUCCAUUAAAAGUCUCCCAAAAAGGAAGAAGUGACUUAAAAAAUUAAAAGAAUGCAGGAGCUGAAGUUGGCAAUUUUGCCUAGUAAAGUCAUCCAUCAGCACUAGCAAUUUCGUAAUAUACAUUAGUGGCAAUUUUGUAAAAUUGAAGUAGUGAUAGUUUUGCAAAUAAAAGUAAAAACUUUUUCCCUAAAUUCGGCUGAGCUAAAAGCCAGCUUAGCCCACACUCUCCUUCGCCACCGGUUGACGAGCUCUUUCUUCAAUUUCUGAACUUGAAGUGAUGCCCCAUCGAUGUCCAGAAUUUUUAAAGUCUCCCCAUUGUACAAGUUAAACAAUAAAGUCAGAAUGAUGUCGGAGUUACAAACAAUCAAAUAUGAUCCUAAUGAUUCUUUUUAGAGAGUCACCUGUACGUUGACGUGUUUAAUUGAUGUUUAUUUAAGCAGAAAUUGAAUUUUGAUCCUGAUUAUUUAGAUGAGAACACACAUUCAUGAGUAAUUACUUAAAAUUAAAUUAAUCAAAAUAGUAUAAAUACAAGAGAAAAUCGAUCAUAUGCGUGCAGACACCACAAACGAAUUAUAUAUAUCACCGCCGCACAUAAAUCUGAUUCCAAUGAUAUAUGAUUAAUUAAUUAAUUUUUUUAAUAACAAUUAAAUUGUAAUGUCAAUUGUCCACAUAAGAUUUUUUUUUUUUGUUGAUGAAAGUUAGUAAUUUUUUUUCCAUCUUUUAAAUAAUAAUUGUUAAUACAAAUCAAAAAGAUAUUAGCACUUGAGAUCAGGGUCUACUUGAGUUAGAAUUUUUUAUUGGAAAAGUUAUUAGCCAGCGAUGAAAAAUAAAGAAGUAACACAAGAUAAAGAGUAAAAUGAGAGAGUAUAUAUUAUAAAAAGAUUUUAUCCAUUUCAAGUGUGUACCAAACAAAGAGAUGAACUCUUCUUUCAUAAUUACAUAAUUAUUACAAGAAAUUAAUGAAAAUAUUAUGGAUUAUAAUUCCUUGCGAGAUAGUGGGAGUUAUAGAAAAGUCAAAAGUUGUUAGUGGAAAAUAAGGGGAGAGUAAAAGAUAUAUGUUAUGAAGGUUUACAUUUAUUUUAAUAAAUUCAUAGUAUUUUUUUCCUUAAAUAAUAGGGUGUGGAGAACAAUUGGAAGGACUUUACGUGUGUGUGUGCCGACCGCGUCUACUCCGAGCUGCUCCAGCUUGUCGAAGCGUUUAUAGUGAACGAUUCCGAAAAUGACGUGGAUAAGGCUUGUCGAGUUAUUCUGCUCAUGUGUCUUUCAAUUGCUGCUCUUUUUUGGUUCACUCAGUGUAACGUGACUGGGUGAGUUUCUUAUUUAUAAAUUUUUAAAUAAUUGCAAUUAAUAUAAUAAAUAUUAGUAAAAAAUUAAAAAAAAAAGGUUUAGUGAUGAACGUUUGAACUUGAAUUAAUAGAGGCCUUUAGUUGAUAAUUCGCCAAAGUGUUGGUUUCCACUAGAAGUUUCAACUUUAGAAGGCAACGAAUUGAUAGAGUGGGAGAAUUGGGCGCGUUAUCAGCUCAUGUCUGUUGGCUCUGACUUGCUGGGAAAGUUCUCCUAUCUUCAGGUACUCAGUCUAUCGAAAAAUGAAUAGAUUCUAUUGCUUAGACAGUGUUAAUGUUAAUAUUAUCUUUUUUAACUUAUUUUACAUUUUGUGAUCUUUUUGUAGUAUAUAGUUUUUGCCAAAAUGUUGAUCAUGAAGACAAAAGAUUUGCUGUCUGAUGCAACUGUGUUGCCUGUGAAUGGGAUUGGAACCAUUUCAUGGUGGCUCACAAGACUCCUACUUAUGGAUCAAAGGAUUUUAGACGAGCAGUCGUCUUCUUUGUAUGAUCUAUUGAAAGUUUUUAUGGCUGAGACUUUACAAAAUUUUGGCACUUUGGUAAAUGUUAGUACUUAUUGGGGCAACCAGUUGCAUGAUAUCGAUCCUUCAGAGAUUGUUUCAACAUUUCAUUUAGAAGCAGGACUGUUAGAACACAUUUACAGGAGAGUUGAUUCUUGCAGGUGAGUUAUCCUGGGAAAGUUUUAUAUUCGAUGGUCUUAUUUCUGGCUUCAUUAGAAAAGUUUUCUCUUGGAAACAUGUUAUUUCCAACAUGGAACUUGCCUGUAGAACUCUCUCCGUCAUCGAAAAUGAUUUUGUGCAUUGUGUGUCAGGGAGAUGCAAGAACAAAGUUUUAUGUUUGGACUUCAUCAAAAUCUCCCUUUUUUUAAUGUUUAUUGUUUCAAUCAUCAAACAUUAGUUUGAGUUGUUAGCAGUGGAAUUUGCAUUAACUGAUUACUAACUUCCAUCAUUACCUUACUAUAGGACUUCUUCUAUAGUUUCUGCUGAUUUCUAAAAUGCUUUAUGGUAUCAGGAAACAUUUUGAAUCAGCUGAAGUGGCAGCUGGUCUCCAGCUUUCAGUUACUGGGGUUCUUGGUUUCCGUACUGUCCGUCAGGUAAAGAUUGAAUGUGCAUCAUUUAUAAAGUUGUCAGGAUCUUCCUUCUUAGCUUUGAGAUUGCUCCUGCAUAUAGGUAGAACCAAAGGCAAAAAUGGUACUUGUUGCAAACACAAGCUCAACCAACACUUCUGAUGUCUGCCCUUCAAUAAACCAAGUCAUUCAUACACAUGAUUCUACUAUUGGUGAUGCCUCUGAUGUUUUUGUGACCCCAAAAUUAUUGGGGAAUAGUCAUGAAUCUGAAUCUGGAGUCCAAUGCAUUCACGCUGGUGGCUCAGCAGCCCAUUUAAAGGCAAUCCAACAGGCAGUGAUCUUGUCGAGGUGCGUUCUAAUAGAAAAGAGCUCACGGGAAGAUGAAAUGCAAAGUAAGUUGUUUUAUGGUUGGGCGGUGUGUAGUCCUCUUGUUAAAGGCCAUAAGAUGUUAAGCAUAUUGCUAUUUAAUUUUUAAAUCAUUCUCAGUAAUAAUUCCUUUAGUAGAUUGAUGAUAAGAGAUUGCAUUACAGAUGAUAACUGAGCACAAUUUCUGUAGUUGUAUCCCUGUACAUCCAUCUUAAUAUCCUCAUUAUAUUCACAUGCCUUUCACGGGUGUUAUUUCUGGAUGCUGAAUGCUUUGUUCCACUUUUGGAAACCAAAUGCGUUGUUACACAAAGCUGAGCUGGUUGAAAAGCUAGCUGAUGAGGUCAACAUGUCCCUUAAGUAAUUUGAGGAUGAACACUGUGUUCCCGAAAGUCUUACUCUAAUGAUACUUAAAGAAGCAAUGAGACUGGAUGUUGCAGCAGCUUUGCUGAACUCAACCCCAGUUCCAAAAAUGGAACAUGUGAAAACCGAAAAUGCAUUGUUCUUUUUUUUCCUCUUUAUGACUUCUCUAGUUGGGGAAUGUAUUAGAUAUUCACCUAAUCAGUAGGCCUUGAAGGGAUCCCAUGUUAGCCCCUUGAUGUUGGUCUGUAACUAAGUAAAUACUUGACCUUGAAAAAGCUUUUGGAGGCAUCAGUUUCUCUCUGACUGUGUGCUACUUUUUGGAUCUGUUGAUUUGGUCAUUUGCUGAUUUAUAGUUAUUUUUCUGAUUCAGGAUGGGAUAUGGCUCCAUACAUAGAGGCAAUUGAUUCACAGCAGUCGUCAUGCUUCAUUGUAAGUAUAUAUACAAUACAGCAUCAGGUUUUCUUGAUUUUAAAUCUCAUAUUCUGAAGUGGUACUUCUGAUUCUCACAUGAUUUUUCCAUCUUUCAGCUAAAGUUUUUCUGUGAUCUCUUACGUAUUAGAUGGGAGUCCACCCGUAGUCGCACAAAAGGGCGUGCUUUAGAGAUGAUGGACAAACUGGUAUGAUCUGUGAGCCUUUUCUUCUUAAAUAUUUUGUUACCUAAACCAUUUUCAUUCAAAUUGACAAGAGUUGCUUAUCGAUCUAUAGAAGAUUCCAAACUUUCUGCAGCUAGUACUUUAUUGGACCCAAAAGCUUUUUUGCUUUUUCUAAGCUGCUAAUCAAGACUAGGUUUCUCUCCCUUAUAUCGCUAGAUAUGCCAUUAAUCGUUUGAUUUAAUUGUCUAGAGAGAUUAGGUACUUGCAUCUUUGCUUUUCACUUCAUAAGUGAUUUCAUAUGCUAUCCUGUAUUCUGGUUCAAGAUUUUUGAAGGUUGCUUACCAUCAUAUUUUGCUUUGUUUCAGGUUGAGGGCAUUUCUAAUUCUUCUCCCGGUGUGACUCAAAGGAUUCCCUUUUGUUAUGUGAUUUACGUUCCAACUAUUCCUGCCCUGCGAAAGUAAAACUAUUUCUUCUGCAUCUUUGAAUGAUUGUGAUUUAAUUUUCUUGUCAUUUUGCCAACUAUCAUUACGCUGUCAUUGUUUCAUAUCUUAGUUGACAUAUGUUGACUUGGUUAGAGUUUAAUUGCUCUGUUUAUUCUCUUCAUAAUCUGUCUAUUUCGAUUUUUCUUGAUUUUAGGGAAUUUGCUGAACUUUUAGUAAGCUGUGGCUUGAUUGGAGAGGCUAUUAAAAUUUUUGAGGAUCUGGAGUUGUGCGAUAAUCUAAUAUACUGCAACUGGUAUGGUGUCAUAGAUAACCAUUAUCCUAAUCUCUCUCUCUCUCUCUCUCUCUCUCGUGUUGCUAAUGGGAGUUGGUUUUGUGUAUGAUGUAAAAAACAGCCUAUUGGGCAAGAAAGCAGCAGCUUUUGAACUAAUAAAAGCAAGGCUGUCUGAAAAGCCUAAUGACCCUAGAUUAUGGUUUAUUGAUGAACCUUUUCUAUGAUCCAUUUUAUAGUUACUUCUCAUUUCAGUUAUAUCCAUUGUUGAUGUCACUUAUUGCAAUCUAGGGAUAAUUGUUCAUUGGAUGUGAGGAUAUUGUCAGAAGAAAAUGAAACCUUUUAAUUUUAUCUUUUACUUGCUGUAUCCGAUUUAAAAGCUUACUGUGCGUUCUUACUGAUUGCUUUUGGUCUUGCAUUUGAGUCAAUGUAUUUUAUACUCAUAUUCUGACAUUUAUUGUUAGUCUUCUGACGGUUCUGCACCUUGGUCCUAUAUUAUCUUCAGCAGUAUUAUCUAAAAAAUAAGUUUUUGCCGAAUAUUUGCAUUCUAAACUAGAAAAGGAGGGGCGCCCGGCGGGGGGGGUUGUGAAGGAAGCAUCAGGAGGCUGUUUUCCACUUAUCCUCUUCCCUGCCUGCAUUUUAGAUGAUUCUGAUGCACCAGGUGCCGUGAAAUGUUUGAGAAAUACAUACCAUCAAGUGAAUUCUGAAAAUCAUAUCCUUUGUGAGAAUAUUUGGUUCGAGACAUUUGAAUAUGUGGCCACAAUUUAAACAAUAAUGAUUUUCUGCAUUGAUUUCUUAUAAUGGAUAUAUGCAUGUGAUUAUAAUAUGAUAUCUUUUGAUUAUUGACCCAUUUGUUUAGAAAGAAGGAAAAAAAAAAAACAUGGUUGAAAGACAACUGUUACUUGACCUUAUCUCGGUCUCUUCACUGCCGUUUGUUUCUUAUAACUUGUGGUGAUAAUGUAGCCAGAAUGAUGAGUUGAAUUGUGGAUUGCUGACUUGUGAUGUUCAUUAGGUGAUGUUACAAAUAAUGAUGCCUGCUAUGAAAAAGCUUUGGAAGUUUCGAAUGAUAAGUCAGCUCGAGCUAAGGUGAUAUUCGUUGCACAGAGAAAAUGUAGUUCAUAUUAUGCUUGUACCAUGAUCAUUUUUUAGUUAACAUAUCUUUAUGUGAAUCGCAGGUCUCUAGCUCGUAGUGCAUACAAUAGAGGGGAGUACGAGACAUCUAAAAUCCUGUGGUAUGUUGCUUUAAUGCUUUACUUCUCUUUCUGCCACACAGUAAUUUGCAGCAUUGACAACUGAUACGGCUGAAUGACAAUUUACCCUUGGUUUGUCUCAGGGAGGCUGCCAUGGCCUUGAAUUCUUUGUAUCCGGAUGGCUGAUUUGCUCUUGGUGCUGCUGCAUUGAAGGUAUCUUAUUUUUGUAUUAGUAUGUGUUUAGUUUGGAGAGAUUUCUUAUCCUUUUGCCCCAAGUUUCUGAAACUCUCAGCUGAAAUAUAAAUACAGGCUCGGGAUGUUGAAAAGGCUCUGGAUGGGUUUACUCGGGCUGUUCAACUUGAUCCAGACAAUGGGGAAGCUUGGAACAAUAUUGCUUGCUUGUAUGCUCUUUUCUUUGUCAUCGUGUCAUUCCAUCCUCUUGCUCUGUAUUCUUUAAUAUGGUGUCAAUCACGUUCAUCUUCUAUCUGCAAGAGUAUGCUUCCCAUAUUUGGUUUACUUUGUUUUGACUUUCUUGUUGCAGUUGUUCUAUAUAAAUUUUAUAUGGUUCCAUAUUCCCUUGAUGAGUGAAUUUAGUUGCUGCAAAUGCUAAGAACUAGAUAGUACUGUUAUAAUUAGGAAUAGGGCAAAUAUUAGCCAGCUCUUUUGAGGAUUAUCCAUAGCAUAUACCUCUGUCGUUUUCAAAGCGAUUGAAGUUCUCCCUUUUGUCUUAUUUAAAUUUUUAAAAGAAAAAAGCACAAAUUGCUUCCCUCGCAUCUCUCUACAGUCUAUUUUCUCUCUGUUUAAUUUUUUCUUGUGCUUAUUAUUUGUCUUUUAAUGCAUCUUUUCUUCUUAUUUUAUACUGUACUAGAAUUUGUGCAGUCUCGAUUUCAUCUUGUAUGUGAGUUACUGUGUUUUUCACAAUUGUAGAACUUUACUUAGCGGUAUAAUUAUUAGUUAGAGAGACAUUAAUUGGUUAAUACCACUUGUGACAAGAUAUGAAGAGCUACUUAUUCUCUCUUCUAGUACAUUUAAAAAAUUCAUGACAAAAAAUAUCUGGGAUGGUAAAAUUCUCGUCAAUUAUAACUAUGGAAGUCUUGAGAUUUAUGUAAUCUUGCAGGCAUAUGAUCAAGAAGAAGAGCAAAGAGGCUUUUAUAGCAUUCAAGGAGGCCCUAAAGUUCAAGUUCUGUCUUUUUUCCCCCUGAUCACUACAUUUUUAUCUUCUGUCACGCACAAUGCAGUUGGACACUAUCUGAUCACAACAACACUGUCAUACAUAAUUUGUUGCUGCUGGGCAAAAGGUGAUAUCUAAUGUAAUAACGUAUAACAUGAUUUUGUAACAGACAGAACAGUUGGCAAUUGUGGGAAAACUACAGCCAUGUUGCUUUGGAUGUGGGCAAUAUGGGUCAGGUAACCGCGGUUGUGCGCUUAAUGUCGAUCAUUUAUCACUGAAAUCUUUUGAGAUGAAGUUGGCAUUUUCUUAGGCCAUUAAUUGUAGCUUUGAAAAAAGCUCUGCUUCGGCAUGCGCAAAAGUCAAAGAAAUGGGACAUGUGCUCAUGUAUUAUGCAGCCAGCAUAUGGGAGAUAGCAGACGUAUUUAAUCUUUUAGUCUUUGUUUACCAAGCUUUGUUAAUAAUGUCACAUUACAUUAGGGGAAAGCCGGGAACUUUGUUUGUUGGUUCACGUGAUAAGUAUAUAUAAAAAAAUAAUAUAUGGUUGAUAAGUCAAGCUUUGUUAAUAAUAUAUCUUAUUGAUAAGUUAAGAGUUUGAACGCCAAAAAAAUUCGAUAAGUUCAAAAAAUUUGUUUAAAAAAAAAUUAACUCUCUCACCAAUUGUAUAUAUGUCUCUAUUUAUUGGAUGCAAGUAUAUUAUAUGAGGUUGGUUACAAGAAUUUUUAAAAAUAAAUCCUAAAUUAAAAUCAAAUCAGAAUCUAAAUUUAAACAAAUUCAUAUUUGCUGGGCAUCCUAUGGUCUGUGGGUCAUUAAUAAUCCAUAGUAUCUGAAUUUCUAGACAAAAUUGGUCAUUUUUGCGUAUCAUUUGGACGUAUCUAUGCAGCAGUUUACUAUUUUAGUGCUCUCAGGAAUUGGUAUGCUUAAAUUUUGGGCUCAAAUUGUGUGAAACUAAUCGAAGUCAUAUGCAAGUUAAUUCAAGCCACAUGAGGAAAGAAUAUCCUUUCCUCUGUUCUUUUCUGUAUUGCUUACAUGCCGUGAUUUCAUUAACCUCAAUUUAAGGACAAUUUUUUUUUAUCAUUUAAAAACAAUACACACACACACGUAUAUAUUUCAGAAAGCAUUUAAACAAAGCAACCGAACGUUGCCGGUGUCUAUUGUUACAUUGACAGCAGUAAAGCAAAAAGCAACUGAAAGUUAUCUUCAUAUGAGAAAGAUAGCUUUUCAGCAGCAUAAGCCUUUCACUAUUCAAUUCCAAACAUGUUCCUCAACGUGAUAACAAUUUCGCUUGUCUCCCCUUCUUCUCUUCCUACAAGAAGCACUGGAUCAACAAUUUCAGCGAGUCUUUCAGGAAGAGCUUCCUUGACAAAAUUAUGUAGGGUUAGAUUGCCUGUAAACAUUUCAUUCAUCGGCCUCUUUCCUGUAAACAUUUCCAGCAAGAGUAUUCCAAAACUGUACACAUCUCCACUUGUUGAGACUUCGCUCCCCAUUCCGUACUCUGCAAUUCGAAAACUAAAAUUGUUAGUUCAACUAGUAAAAUCUCUAAGGAUUGAAAGACAAGUUAAUUAAAUUAUAGUAUUUACCUGGAGCAGCAUAACCAACGGUUCCUUUUACUCCAACAGAGCUUGAUUGAUUAGAUGACAAGUUAUUGGUGGCUUCCAGAAGGAAUUUUGCUAAUCCAGAAGAACAUUGCUUGGCUUGAGAUCACAAUGGACUAUUGGAGUUUCGCAAUAAUGAUGAAGAUAAUCCAAUGCGGAAGCAACAUCAACGGCAAUAUUCAGUCUUUGGAGGAGAUUUAAAUUCCUUGGUGCCUCAGGGUUUGGAUGCAACCAUUCCUCCAGGCUCCCGUUCACCAUGAACUCAUAAACUAAGGCCUCGAAAUCAUUUCCUUGAAAGUCAACACUUGCACACGAAGUUAUUAUUUUGACGAGAUUCCGAUGCCUAACACUUCUCAAGGCUUGACACUCCGCCAUGAAACUCUUUGAAGGUCCUCGAUGUUGAAGAUUAAGCACCUUCACUGCCACCAGCGUUUCAUGAUCAUCGUGAUUGAGGAUUCCUUUAUAGACCGAACCAAAGCUACCGGCACCAAUCAAGUUUUCCAAAGAGAACCCAUCAGUUGCUUUGAACAGAUUCUGAUAGGACACUCGUAAAACCGAGGCCAAUAAUGCUGAUGGAGGAGUGGCCGGCUCCCUUUUGAUGAAGAGAUAUUCCCCUGAAAGAAAUUACCAUUCAUGAUGAGUUGUUCCCAUAACGCAACUUCCUAUACUGCUUGGAAUUUCACCAGACAAUUUGUUCUCAGAUACAUCUAUAACACCCAGAUUUUUCAAGAUACCAAAAUUUGAGGGCAAAGGACCGUUCAGUUGGUUUUGAGAUAGAUCAAGGUAGAUUGAGAAGGAAGAGAGCCCAAUCACUUCAGUGGGUAUGGUAUCACUGAGGUUGUUAUUAGAGAGAUUUAAUAAUAUUAAGUUUUGGCAUUUCCCUAGACUUGACGGAAUGCUUCCCUCUAACAUGUUUUCGGCAAAAUUUAGUGUGAUUAACAAUGUCAAAUUUCCUAUAGAAGAUGGAAUUUCCCCCAUAAACUUGUUCCCCUUGAGCUCCAACCCCUGCAGCUUAUGAAGAUCUCCUAUAAUUCCCGGAAUUCGGCCUGUGAAUUGGUUGAACCCAAGAUCUAAAAACUCCAAGUUAACAAGAUUUCUUAAUCCACUUGGGAUAUUUCCGAACAACUGAUUGUUUCCAACUACUAAUUUUCUAAGUCGGGUUGACAAGUUUCCCACAGUUUCAAGUAACAUUCCACCAAAAUUGUUGCCACUAAUUUCCAGUAGCUCUAGUCCGGAAGCGUUGACCAACGAACUGAAAAAUUCCAAGUCAUCUUUUUCCCCAUUUCCUAAGUGAUUCUGAGAAAUAAUAACCCGUUGGAGUUUAUGUAAAUUUUCCAAACUAGGCACCUUUCCACUGAAUCCAUUCAUAUAAAUUAAAAGUGCCAUUAGAUUUGAGGCAUUGGAUAUUGAAGCAGGAAUAGGCCCAGUAAACUGAUUAUCACCAAUGUUUAGUUGUUCAAGAUUAGGUAGAGUGAAGCCUAAGUCUGAUGGAAGGCUUCCUUGAAGUUGGUUAACGGGAACACAAAUAUAAUUAAGCGAAGAUGAGUUGUAGAUUGAGAAAGGGAUUUCACCUGAUAGCUUAUUUACUCCCAAUAAUAAAUAAAGCAUCCUCUUAAGCUGACUCAGGGUUUCAGGAAUUUGUCCCACAAAUUGAUUUCGAGCUGCUGAGAGGACUUGGAGUGAUGACAAAUUGCCCAAGGAAGAUGGGAUUUCUCCUGACAAACUGUUUAGGUGUACUACGAGAAUCUGGAGCUUUGAUAAGAAGCCCAGUUUCCCUGGAACUUUCCCCACAAGCUCAUUGACGCCUAACCCCAGGGAUUCAAGGUUAACGCAAUGCGAUAUGUUGUCAGGAAUUUGACCUCCGAAUGUAUUGAUGUUCAGCUCUAAAAUUCGUAACCUGAACAGAUAUCCAAUCUCUUGGGGGAUUUCGUUGCGGAGGCUAUUGUUUUUGAGAUCUAACACUCUGAGAAAACUCAAAUUACCAAUGUCAGGCGACAGAGACCCCUGCAAGAGUAAAGAUGGAAGACGUAAUCCAGUCACCCUUUGGUGCCGUGGACUGCAAGUGACACCUUUCCAUUGACAAAAGUGCCUGGAAUAGUUCCAUGAUCUCAAAACCUCAAGAGGGUCAUGAGUAACUUUGGCCUUGAAUUGAAGCAAUGCAAGUUGAUCAGUUUCAUUGCUUUUGAGCAUAUAAUCGGUUGACUGCAAGCUGAAGCUGAAGCAACAGAAAAUAAAGAAACAAAUGCUUACAAUGAUUGAACUCAUCAUGUUUACAAAAUCCAUUUAACUGCCGAAAGGAAAUUAAAAUGAUAAAACUUUUGUGGAGGUUGGUAAGAUAAACUAUGUUUGUAUAUUUUUUGCAAUGAUUUAGGGACUCUGUACUUGAUGCUGAAAUGUGAACCGGCUGGCACCGGGACAGUGAAACUAGUACUUUUUUAUUUUUCUAAUAAUAUUAAUUAUCCUCUGUACGGAAUAAUAUAAUACAGCUUUUCCUUUCAACAGUAUUAGAAAAGAAAAAAAAAAGUAGGGAGAAGAAAAUUAAACAAUUUAAUCAACAGUAUUAGAAAAGAAAAGAAAAGUAGGAGAAGAAAGUUAAGUAUGAUGGAUGGAGGUUCAGAUUACUGUUAAAUGACUUAGGAAAGGCUUAAAGCACCACAGGAAUCAACGUUUCACAAAGCUUUUUUCCCUCUCUGAAAUAUUCGGUGCAGUCUCCCCCAGAUAUAUCAUGCGUCGAUACAUACCUUUUCUGGUUGUUGGUUUAUAAAAAUAUAUGAGACGGCAUGUGCGUGACAACACUUGUCAUUUGUGUUUACACGGCCUGUCAUUUUCAAAGUAAAAUUUUAUCAUGGUAUUCUUAUCUCCCAGCUGCCGUUUGCCGUUUGGAAUUGUUCUGUAUAAGAUCUUGAUCAUCGAAUUUACCACUAGGGCGUAUGCUUUAUUUUCGGUUCUGUUGUGGAUCUCCUCUGUUUUUAUUUAUUUUUUGUCGGCUUUAACCUCAUUGUCAUUUUGAAUAGCCUACAAGAGUCGAAUGACUAGACUUCCAAUUUGCUAUCAUCCCCCUUGAAUGGGUUCAAGAAAUUCAGCAGGUUGCGAAACAAUAAGAUUCAUUCAAUCCGCGUAGAUAUCGAACUGACUGAAGUUAAAUAAAUGAUGAUGAUGAUAAGAAAUAUGAAAUCAACAAAUCUCGGCACAUCUAUUCUGCAAUUUGGCCGUACUUCAAAUAAUCUUGCGAUAAAAAUUUCAUAAAAAUCACAGAAAGAGGACAGAACAACCAAGGCAUCAGCGAAAGCAAUCGGGGCAGGGCACGCUCAAGCCACGAAUUAGAGGAAUUUUAAAUAUCAAAACCAGCUCAGAAUAAUAAGAAAUAAAAUGAAUCUAUGAAAGGCUCAGAUUUUGGAUGAGUGAAGGGAAGAUGAGAAGAUGAAAUGCAGAAAGUCAAGAAAUGAAUAAACCAAUAUUAAUAAUCUUGGACCCACAGCUCUAAUUUGGAUUAAGCAUCCAUCUGCCUAUGUGGAUAAUAUUUUUGCUAAUUUUUCAGCCAUGCAGCAGGAUCAUGUUCUUCCUGUUUUAUUUGAUAGAAGGAAUUUUCCCUUGGAAGAAAAUGAUGAGUUGUUUCAACGUAAUGCAACCGCCUAGACUGCAUGGAAUUUCACCAGACAAUGACAAUUUAUUCUCAGAUAUAUCUAACACCCCCACAUUUGUCUAGUCACACAAAUUUGAAGGCGUCCGUUUUGAGACUGAUAGUUUUUUUUUUCAAAAAUUCGGGAUUCAGGUCGUAUUAGGCCGGUUAUGAUUUAAAAAACUUGUAAAUUUUCAGUGAUCAAACUUCAAAACUUCGCAAAUAGGUCAAAAUAUGAAAAAUACUUGAUAUAUUAUUGAAUACUCAUUUUGUUUUGCAUUAAUAUACGGCUGUGGGUGCUAUCUAGUUCUAUUAGUAAAAUUCCUUGGGUUGAAAACAAGAAAACUAGCAUUUGAAACUCACUCAUAUGGAUGGGAAAGAAAUUUAGUUACCAUUGGAUCAAAAAAUAAUAAUAUAACAAUUAGAAAAAAAUUGUAAGGCUUCGACAAGAUUUGCUAAUCGUGUAUAGAUUAAUAUGAAGAUUAAGAACAUCACCUAAGCCAAUUAUUGAAGUUGAAAUUUUAGGAGAAAAAUUUAUGUGGGUUUGGCCACCAAUUUAGCAUUAGGAACUUAUUGUUUAGGAAGCUAUGGUGGGUUUCGUAGUGGGACUUAUCCUCUUUAAUGCAUAUGGUGAUUUUAAACCAACAUUUAUAUAAUCCCAUUAUAAAACUCAUCAAACCUUCUAAAUUAACAUGUUGAGAUAGUGUGCUAGAUCCAUAUAAAUGUUUCUCCAACUUCUUAGCUUGAAGCGAUAUUCAUUUCCAUUCAUAGUUUAAUGGGCGAAGCCUUUUGAAUUCUCCAUGUUAUCAAGUUAAUUUUUGCUGGAAAAUGCAAUCCGGAUAUGAAUAGAAUUUUUUGUGCAAUCAUAUUUUCUAUGUUGACACAUCCUCUGGAACUUUCCAUAAAUUUUAUGGAGAAGCUUUAAUUUCUUAGUUGUUGAUUUCGAAUAAAAAAUAAACUUAACUUUAAAAUUACAAUUGUAAUUAUAAAAUAUUUACUGAAUACAUUAGUGUUAAUACUACAAAUUGUUCCAUUAAAAGUCUCCCAAAAAGGAAGAAGUGACUUAAAAAAGUAAAAGAAUGCAGGAGUUGAAGUUGGCAAUUUUGUAAAUUGCAAUGGCAAUUGUGGCCUAGUAAAAUCCCUCAAUGAGUCACAGCACUAGCAAUUUCGUAAUAUACAUUAGUGGCAAUUUUGUAAAAUUGAAGCAGUGAUAGUUUUGCAAAUAAAAGUAAAAACUUUUUCCCUAAAUUCGGCUGAGCUAAAAGCCAGCUUAGCCCACACUCUUAGAGGUGGCAAAAAUACCCGCCCGGUCCGAACCCGGACUGUACUCGGACGUUGCGGGCCGAGUAUUACCUAGCCCGGGUAUAAAGCCGGGUCGGUUUUAGGCAUCACUUGAUAAACCCGGAACCCGGAUUUUAUUUAAAAAAUUAUAAAAUAUAUAUUAUUUUAAAUAUUUUAUAUUUAUUUGACUUAUUUAUUAUACAUAUAUAAAGUUUUAAACACUUAAAGUUUAUAUUUUCAUGUCAAAUUUUAUUGAAAUAAAUUUAAAACUUAUAAAAUUACCAAAAAAUAAAAAAUAUAUACACAUAAAAUAUUAAAAAAAUAUAAAAUUCGGGUACCCGGAUUAAAACCCGGCCCGGACCCAGACCGAUUGCAUCCGGGCAGGGUCCGGUCAUGGCAAUACCUGGACCCGGCCCGGGGUUUUGCCAUCUCUAGACACUCUCCUUCGCCACCGGUUGACGAGCUCUUCCUUCAAUUUUUGAACUUGAAGUGAUGCCCCAUCGAUGUCCAGAAUUUUUAAAGUCUCCCCAUUGUACAAGUUAAACAAUAAAUUCAUAAUGAUGACGGAGUUACAAACAAUCAAAUAUGAUCCUAAUGAUUCUUUUUAGAGAGUCACCUGUACGUUGACGUGUUUAAUUGAUGUUUAUUUAAGCAGAAAUUGAAUUUUGAUCCUGAUUAUUUAGAUGAGAACACACAUUCAUGAGUAAUUACUUAAAAUUAAAUUAAUCAAAAUAGUAUAAAUACAAGAGAAAAUCGAUCAUAUGCGUGCAGACACCACAAACGAAUUAUAUAUAUCACCGCCGCACAUAAAUCUUAUUCCAAUGAUAUAUGAUUAAUUAAUUAAUUUUUUUAAUAACAAUUAAAUUGUAAUGUCAAUUGUCCACAUAAGUUUUUUUUUUUUUGUUGAUGAAAGUUAGUAAUUUUUUUCCAUCUUUUUAAAUAAUAGUUGUUAAUACAAAUCAAAAAGAUAUUAGCACUUGAGAUCAGGGUCUACUUGAGUUAGAAUUUUUUAUUAGAAAAGUUAUUAGCCAGCGAUGAAAAAUAAAGAAAUAACACAAGAUAAAGAGUAAAAUGAGAGAGUAUAUAUUAUAAAAAGAUUUUAUCCAUUUCAAGUGUGUACCAAACAAAGAGAUGAACUCUCCUUUCAUAAUUAUAUAAUUAUUACAUGAAAUUAAUGAAAAUAUUAUGGAUUAUAAUUCCUUGCGAGAUAGUAGGAGUUAUAGAAAAGUCAAGAGUUGUUAGUGGAAGAUAAGAGGGAGAGUAGAAGAUAUAUGUUAUGAAGGUUUAUAUUUAUUUUAAUAAAUUCAUAGUAUUUUUUUCCUUAAAUAAUAGGGUGUGGAGAACAAUUGGAAGGACUUUACGUGUGUGUGUGUGUAUUGACAUAGAAAUUGCAGGACGUGUAGUUUAGCGUUUCUUGGUUGUUCAGUACUAGUUUUCAAAAUCUCGAGCGCGCGGGUUAUUUUUCAUUAUCUUUAUCGCCGAAAGGCUGUUUUAACCAACUAAGAACUAAAAGCUAAAACCCAAAACCCCACUCUUGUUCGUUUCCACUUUCCAGGGACUUUACCUUGAUGGCUGAAAAGCAACUGGAAAUCCUCCGCGGGUACGAGCUGCGGCUCUUGCGCUGCACCCUCGCUCCCCCACCGUCCGAUCUUCGCAUUCAAUCGCAACCGUUGAACGAAGAAAGCCAAUGCUCUAUCCUUCCACUCCACGAGCACAUCAACAGCCUCAUCAACUCCAUCGAGUCCGGCCACUAUCUCCAGGCUCUGUCCUCCGACGAGGCUAAACACGCUCUCGACACGCUCGAUUUCGUCGACAUCAACGACUCAGCCGAGUGUGCCGACCGCGUCUACUCCGAGCUGCUCCAGCUUGUCAAAGCGUCUAUAGUGAACGAUUCCGAAAUUGACUUGGAUAAGGCUUGUCGAGUUAUUCUGCUCAUGUGUCUUUCAAUUGCUGCCCUUUUUUGGUUCACUCAGUGUAACGUGACUGGGUGAGUUUCUUAUUUAUAAAUUUUUAAAUAAUUGCAAUUAAUAUAAUAAAUAUUAGUAAAAAAUUAAUCAAAAGGUUUAGUGAUGAACCUUGUCGAGGUGCCUUCUAAUAGAAAAGAGCUCACGGCAAGAUGAAAUGCAAAGUAAGUUGUUUUAUGGUUGGGCGGUGUGUAGUCCUCUUGUUAAAGGUCAUAAGAUGUUAAGCAUAUUGCUAUUUAAUUUUUAAAUCAUUCUCAGUAAUAAUUCCUUUAGUAGAUUGAUGAUAAGAGAUUGCAUUACAGAUGAUAACUGAGCACAAUUUCUGUAGUUGUAUCCCUGUACAUCCAUCUUAAUAUCCUCAUUAUAUUCACAUGCCUUUUACGGGUGUUAUUUCUGGAUGCCGAAUGCUUUGUUCCACGUCUGGAUACCAAAUGCUUUGUUCCACAAAGCUGAGCUGGUUGAAAAGCUAGCUGAUGAGGUCAACAUGUCCCUUAAGUAAUUUGAGAAUGAACACUGUGUUCCCGAAAGUCUUACUCUAAUGAUACUUAAAGAAGCAAUGAGAAUGGAUGUUGCAGCAGCUUUGCCUGAACUCAACCCCAGUUCCAAACAUGGAACAUGUGAAAACCAAAAAUGCUUUGUUUUUUUCUCUUUAUGACUUCUCUAGUUGGGGAAUGUAUUAGAUAUUCACCUAAUCAGUAGGCCUUGAAGGGAUCCCAUGUUAGCCCCUUGAUGUUGGUCUGUAACUAAGUAAAUACUUGACAUUGAAAAAGCUUUUGGAGGCAUCAGUUUCUCUCUGACUGUGUGCUACUUUUUGGAUCUGUUGAUUUGGUCAUUUGCUGAUUUAUAGUUUGUUUUCUGAUUCAGGAUGGGAUAUGGCUCCAUACAUAGAGGCAACUGAUUCACAGCAGUCGUCAUACUUCAUUGUAAGUAUAUAUACAAUACAGCAUCAGUUUUUCUUGAUUUUAAAUCUCAUAUUCUGAAGUGGUACUUCUGAUUCUCACAUGAUUUUUCCAUCUUUCAGCUAAAGUUUUUCUGUGAUCUCUUACGUAUUAGAUGGGAGUGCACCCGUAGUCGCACAAAAGGGCGUGCUUUAGAGAUGAUGGACAAACUGGUAUGAUCUGUGAGCCUUUUCUUCUUAAAUAUUUUGUUACCUAAACCAUUUUCAUUCAAAUUGACAAGAGUUGCUUAUUUAUCGAUAGAAGAUUCCAAACUUCUGCAGCUAGUGCUUUAUUGGACCCAAAAGCUUUUUUGCUUUUUCUAAGCUGCUAAUCAAGACUCGGUUUCUCUCCCUUAUAUCGCUAGAUAUGCCAUUAAUCGUUUGAUUUAAUUGUCUAGAGAGAUUAGGUACUUGCAUCUUUGCUUUUCACUUCACAAGUGAUUUCAUGUGCUAUCCUGUAUUCUGGUUCAAGAUUUUUGAUGGUUGCUUACUAUCAUAUUUUGCUUUGUUUCAGGUUGAGGGCAUUUCUAAUUCUUCUCCCGGUGUGACUCAAAGUAUUCCCUUUUGUUAUGUGAUUUGCGUUCCAACUAUUCCUGCCCUGCGAAAGUAAAACUAUUUCUUCUGCAUCUUUGAAUUAUUGUGAUUUAAUUUUCUUGUCAUUUUGCCAACUAUCAUUAUGCUGUCAUUGUUUCAUAUCUUAUUUGACAUAUGUUGAUUUGGAUAGAUUUUAAUUGCUCUGUUUAUUCUCUUUAUAAUCUGUCUAUUUCGAUUUUUCUUGAUUUUAGGGAAUAUGCUAAACUUUUAGUAAGCUGUGGCUUGAUUGGAGAGGCUAUUAAAAAUUUUGAGGAUCUGGAGUUGUGGGAUAGUCUAAUACUGCAAUUGGUAUGAUGUCAUAGAUAACCAUUAUCCUAAUCUCUCUGUCUAUCUCUCUAUCUUAUUUUUGUAUUAGUAUGUGUUUAGUUUGGAGAGAUUUCUUAUCCUUAUGCCCCAAGUUUCUGAAACUCUCGGCUGAAAUAUAAAUACAGGCUCGGGAUGUUGAAAAGGCUCUGGAUGGGUUUACUCGGGCUGUUCAACUUGAUCCAGACAAUGGGGAAGCUUGGAACAAUAUUGCUUGCUUGUAUGCUCUUUUCUUUGUCAUCAUGUCAUUCCAUCCUCUUGCUCUGUAUUCUUUAAUAUGGUGUCAAUCAAGUUCAUCUUCUAUCUGCAAGAGUAUGCUUCCCAUAUUUGGUUUACUUUGUUUUGACUUUCUUGUUGCAGUUGUUCUAUAUAAAUUUUAUACGGUUCCAUAUUCCCUUGAUGAGUGAAUUUAGUUGCUGCAAAUGCUAAGAACUAGAUAGUACUGUUAUAAUUAGGAAUAGGGCAAAUAUUAGCCAUAGUAUCUGAAUUUCUAGACAAAAUUGGUCAUUUUUGCAUAUCAUUUGGACGUAUCUAUGCAGCAGUUUACUAUUUUAGUGCUUGCAGGAAUUGGUAUGCUUAAAUUUUGGGCUUAAAUUGUGUGAAAAUAAUCAAAGUGAUAUGCAAAUUAAAUCAAGCCACAUGAGGGAAGAACAUCCUUUCUUUUUUUUUUUUUUUUAAGCUUAUGUUUCAUGUUUCUCUGUAUGGCAUAGGUAGUUCGAAGUGAGAGUAGUGCAGAUAUGUGGGGAUUAUAUGCAAGGUGGCUUAAAAGUAAAGGAGAUCUUACAAUGUGGUCUGAAGCCCUCUUAAAGCAAGUCAGAUCAUAUCAGGUUUCUCCAUAAAUCCCAUCAUCUUAUAAUAAGUUAGCAUUAUGUUUUACUUUGAUGUUGAUGGAAUUUGUUAAUGCUAAUCAAAUUUUGUUACUCUCUCUCUCUCUCUCUCUCUCUCUCUCUCUUUUUUUAAAGAAGGCAAAGAAAAAGCAUUGUGAUUUCAUUUUUGUUUUCUAAAUUUGUUAUCUAAAGGAAUGACAAGUUGACAACUCAGCCUCUCUCUCUCUCUCUCUCUCUCUCUGUGUCUGUGUCAGGGAUCUGAUUUGUGGAAAGAAAGAGAUCGGUUUGAAAGGUUUUCACAUGCAUCCUUGGAACUUUGUAAGGUUUACAUGGAAAUUUCUUCCUCUUCUGGUAGCCGUCAAGAACUCUUUGCUGCUGAGAUGCACCUGAAGAACGUACCUAAACAAGUAAAAUACCUUAUAAUUCGAUAUUUAAGACACUUACAGUUGGUAUUACAUUGACAGCAGUAAAACAAAGAAGCAACUGAAAGUUAUCUUCAUAUGAGAAUGAAAGCUUUUCAGCAGCAUAAGCCUUUCACUAUUCAAUUCCAAACACGUUCCUCAACAUGAUAACAAAUUCGUAGACCUUUUCUGGGUCUGGAAGGAUCCUGUAACAGUUUCUCUUUGCAUGCACUUGUUCAUCCAUGCUGAGAAUUUGGGGCACUCAUUCUCAACCUUAAAUCCCUCAAAUUCCUCAACCGCGUAAAACCAUCAAGUCAGUGGAAUGGCAAUGACAUCAACGAAUCCAAAGCUGUCCCCGCCAAAGAAAUCCUUCUCCCCUAAAGCUCCCUCAAGUUGCUUCAAAAUCUCUAUAAAUUCAUUGUUCGCCAUCCCUGGGACCUCGCCCUUGCUUUUCCAUAUGUUGCAGACUGGAUCGAAUACCUGCCAAAAAAGUGGUGUCAUCUUUUAAGUUCGCAUUUAGAAAGAUACAAACAUUUACACUUGAGAAUUAUAGACUGACCUUCUUGUCAAUAAAAUCUGCCCAGAACCUUGCCUUAUCUCUCUCAGAAGCAUAGGAUGGGAGAAGUGAUGGCGAAGGCCAAGUCUCGUCAAUUUAGUUGACUAUAAUAGUGGAUUAACACAAUGGUUCCCCAUCGUGCAGCAAAACUGGGACUUUCUUGUAGAUGGGGCUUGAUUUGAGCAACAGGUCACUCUUGCCCCCGAACAAGUUCUCAGCUCUGGCUUCAUAUCCAACUCCUUUCUCAGCCAAUGCAAUCUUUGCUCUCAAGCAAAAUGGGCUAACCCAACAGUCCAAAAGAACAACCUCUCCCUUUGACAUAUCCACUUUCUUUGUUCUUGUUUCUUUUAGUUGGUUGAUGGAGAUUAAACCUUGAGUAUCAAGGUUGGUAUUUAUAUAGGAGAAAAGAUGAAAUUCCCAAAGAUUGUGUUGCAAUCAAGGUUUGUUCGUUGGCACUUCGAUAAAGGAUGUGGCCUUGUUCUUAUUAUUUCUUAGUUUUUUAAGCUAAAUGUUUUACUUGGCUUUCAACAUGCACAAGAACAAGUUUGUCUUGUGUAAAUAAAAUAAAACCAUAAAAUUCCAUUAUUAGUGUAAAACUAAAAUAAUUAAAAUAAUAAAAGUGAGUUAGUCGCCCAGUUAAUAGAUUCUCAGAAUGGGUCCUCUCUUGGGUUUGGUUUCGUGCGUGUAGACCUCCUCUUUAUGAGCUUGUUAUCACACCAUAUUUGGUUUCUAUAAAUAAAAUAACUAAAACUCUCUUAUCUAAGUAAGAAUAUUGUUAUUUUGAAAUACCAACUCAAUCUCUAACAAAUCUUAAAAUAUAACUUAAGAUUCUUGGGCUUCCAAUAUAAAACAAGUAAGAUUAACACAACUUUUUCACUUCCUUCCAUCAAAGAAGGGAAUAAGUUAUAUAAUUUAAUUUAUGUUUAAUUAAAUUAUUUUAAAUGGGUAAUAAUUAUAAAUUUUUCCACUUUAUUUAAUUAACUAGAUAAGACCAUAUUGUAAAUUCUUACAUUUAUCACUUUAAUCUCUUUCCUUUUCAUUCCAAUUCCUGUACAAACAAUUCCUUUUCAAAAAGUUGUACUCAAAUUGAUAAGUCUUGGAAGACCAAAACACUAUUUAAAAUUUAUUAUUUGCUUUAGUAGCUUUCACGGGUGCAAGGUAAGGAACAAAACUCGGUGGAUUUUAUGACAAAAGCUUUAUCUUAUGUGGCACUUUUUUCGAUAUCUCGAACUUUACUCUUUAAGUAUGUUGUAUAAUAUUUCUACAACAACAACAAACAAAUUAUAACCCUGAAAGAUCUAUAUACACUUCGAUCUCUAGCUAGUUCUCUACAAAAUAUGGCACUAAGCAACAAUGUAAUCGGAGCCAUCAACUUUGUUGCCGUACUUCUUUCAAUCCCAGUCAUCGGUGCUGGAAUCUGGCUUGCCACCGAGGCAGACAAUUCUUGUGUCAAGCUUCUACAAUGGCCAGUCAUUAUUUUGGGAAUCUUGAUUCUAGUCGUGGCUCUAGCAGGCUUUAUUGGAGGAUUUUGGCGCAUCCCUUGGCUCCUUAUACUUUAUCUCGUUGCCAUGCUCAUUCUUAUAAUAUUGCUGGCUUGUCUAGUUGUUUUCAUUUACAUGGUCACGAUUAAGGGCUCAGGUCACCUUGCACCGAGUAGAGCAUACUUGGAAUACCGCCUCGAUGAUUUUUCUGGAUGGCUGCGGAGAAGAGUUCGAAGCCCUUACAAAUGGGAUCGGAUCAAAAGCUGUCUUAGCUCGACACAGAUGUGCCCUGAGUUGAACCAGAGUUAUAGGAUGGCUCAAGAUUUCUUCAAUGCACAUAUUACCCCUUUACAGGUACUUAUAAUUAAUUAAGUUCUCGAUUACCAUUAAUUUUAUUUUAUUUUUACCAUUAAUUUCUAGAAAUUAAGAUUUAUUAGAACUCUAAAGUUAAAUUCUGAUUAAAAUUUUAAUUUUUAACGUACAUAUUCCUCUUUAUAAUUAUGACUGUACGUAAUUUUAUAGCAGAGGAUAAUUCCUACCCAUUAAUUAAGCUAACCCACACGCCCAUGGAACAAUGAAGAAGUAGCUAAUAAAGUAAAAACAGUGAAUUAGAUUCGGAAAACCAAGUUUCAAAUCUUCUUUUCAAAAAUAUUCUUCGUCUUUAUCUUUAUUGCGUGCCUUUGAGGUUUAUUUUUUUUUCUAUUUAUUUAUUUUUCUUCUUUACAGUCUGGAUGCUGUAAGCCUCCGACAGAGUGUGGUUACACAUUUGUGAACCCAACAUAUUGGAUAAGUCCAAUUAACAAUGCGGCGGACAUGGAUUGCCUGCAGUGGAGCAAUGACCAAAUGCAGCUUUGCUAUAAUUGUGAUUCAUGCAAAGCAGGAUUACUUGCUAAUCUGAAAAAGGAGUGGAGAAGAGUAGAUAUCAUAUUACUCGUUACUCUUGUUGCUUUGAUAUGGGUUUAUCUGAUUGGAUGUUGUGCUUUUAGGAACGCCAAAACUGAAGACCUCUUUCGCAAGUACAAGCAAGGCACUUACACGUAAUUGUUAGCUGCACGUAAACUCUCUUUGAUAGUAAUAUUAUAAUGUGUGAUUAGGGAUUGGCUUGAAUUGUUAUUUUGAUAAUUUUAUGAAUUUUUUGUUUAAGAUCCGUCUUCUUGGUUACUUACAUUUGGUUAAAUUAUGUGUGGGGUUUGAUUUGAUGACGACAUAAUCUUGAGUUGUGCGUGCGUGAUUUGUGGAGGGCGCCGAAAGUAGGUGGCUUUUGAAUAUUUGCUUUUAAGGAGAAGGGAUUUCGCACUUCCGCUCCCUGCUUGCUCCCAUAGGCCAUUAAUUGUAGCUUUGAAAAAAGCUCUGCUUCGGCAUGCGCAAAAGUCAAAGAAAUGGGACAUGUGCUCAUGCAUUAUGCAGCCAGCAUAUGGGUGAUAGCAGACGUAUUUAAUCUUUUAGUCUUUGUUGACAACUCAGCCUCUCUCUCUCUCUCUCUCUCUCUCUCUCUCUCUCUCUCUCUGUCUCUGCGUCAGGGAUCUGAUUUGUGGAAAGAUAGAUAUCGGUUUAAAAGGUUUUCAUAUGUAUCCUUGGAACUUUGUAAGGUUUACAUGGAAAUUUCUCCCCCUUCCGGUAGCCGUCGAGAACUCUUUGCUGCUGAGAUGCACCUGAAGAACGUACUUAAACAAGUAAACCACCUUAUAAUUCGAUAUUUACGACACUUACAGUUGGUUUAAAGAUUGCAUUUUCCGUUUCUGUUUUUGACUGGUUCAGGGUAAAACUUUUUCUCACUGUGUUAGAGUGCAUUUCUGUUAUUAUAUAAUUUCCUAUAAGAAAAUGCACUUUUUGGAAUCUCAGGCUGAAGGAUUUUCGGUGCUUUAACUAACCUCAUUUGACAAUGUAAAUAU
rnacentral:lncRNA from 1 species